AAAAGUAAUUGGCUAUAACUUAAAAAGAAAAUUAUCUAAGAGAAAAUCGAUUAAUUUGGUUCGCACCACAAGAAAAAGAAGACGACCGCAAGAUCAUAAGCCCCGUUAAGUUAGUCCAAUUUUAAACCAGACCACGUGAAUCACUGUUAUUAUCAGGCCAAUAUCACUUCCUGUAAGAGUCCAUGGGCUCCCCACCUCGUCUCAGCCCAUUUGAACUCCUAAAGCACGCGAAGCUAACUCGUUUCCAAGCCUGCAUCUCUGCAGAAUAGGCCCGGGGACUUUCCUGAGCCAUAACCCAAUGAACAGGCCCAAGCCCAUUCACAUCGUCUUGCGGUCUAGUUAGUGUACUUGCACUUGAGAAUUGUAUUAAAAUAGGAUUUCGGACUAUCUGUAAGGCGAUAUGGGACAUUAGUUGCUUCAAUGUCCGUCAAUGAUGUGAAAACACUUUCUGAAGUCGAAUUUUAACUCCCAACGUAUACAAUGGGCUGCUAGUUGUAGCGCACAGAAUUUCUUAUGAUUUUCCGGUGUUUAUUUUUACGUUUCCAACUAAUAUUUGAAUUUUAUACCGCGUAAAUCUUAUUAAAAGGGAAACACUCUUAUCAAGAUUUUUCUCAUUCCUCGUCUCAUUCACUAAAUUAUAUGGUUAAACAAAAUAUUUUGCAUAGUAACAUAAGAAAAAAAAUUCACUUUUCCAUUCUUGAAAGGUAUCUCAUUCAACAAAAAGAAAUAAAAUAAUGAAGUCAAACCGACAAAAAAAUAUAAACAAAGUGAAUUAUGAAGUCUCAAAAAAGAUCUUAUAUAUGCUAUAUUUGUGUGUGAUGAUCAUGUAUGUGGUAUGUACAUUAUAUAAGAACAUGCCUUGGCUAAAGUUGACAUCAUCUUUCACGUAAACACCUUUGUUUGUUUAGGCUCUUCACGCACCUGCUUGAUGUGAAAAUCACACGAGUUGCCAAGUCAAUGAAAAGUGUCAAAAUGGAAUAUGGGAUCCUACUAUAGGGUGUUUAAAUGGUGCAAGUCUUAGUUGUGGUAUCUAAGUGAAAGAUAGUACCAACUUUAGGUGUCUGUCGAUAGGUUCAACCUUGUUUAUAUGGUUUUGAGAUUCAUUUUUGAAGGAAUGUUGGAAAUUUCUACUAAAAUCUUGUGGAGAGCUUGAGGUUUCGACAAAAAAGGCGAAUGAUCGGAACCUUUAAUCUGGAAAACUUGUUCAGGUUGAUUUGUAUCUAUCAUGACUUCUUGAAGAGAUGCAGGAAUUGCAAAAUCAUCUCGUGUUUUGACAUAGAAUCUUGGAAUAGAACCAUAAUUUGUUGUAGAAAGUGAAAGUUUCUCUGUUAAUGGUCCAAAAGGAACUUGCCUCAUUGAUACUGAUGCUAAUUCAACAUCCUGAAAUUAACACGAACGUGUCAAAAAUGUUGUUACACCCUUGUCGGAUCCUCCAAAAAUACCUACAUUUGAAGGACUUGACAUGCAUCUGUUGACAUUUUUGAAGAGUCAGAGCAACAUAAUUAAACGCGAUCAAUAUACCUUAGCAGGAGUUUGAUUGAAUAAUACUUCUUUGAGCAAUGACUUGUCAUAAUCUAUAGCAGUUGGAGGAUUAUUCUUCCCAUUUGCAUAGCGAAAAAUAUGAGCGCGUUGACAUAGGUUGUUCAAUCCAAGCUACAAAAUAGCAAAUUUAAUAACUAAUAUCUGUAUAACUAAUAUCAUUUUCUCGGUAUAACUAAUGUAACAAACCUGUACGGAGAAUAUAUCGAGUGUACUCUGUCCACUCUUCAGCAUUGCUGCGGCAACAAAAAUUGCUGCAGACACUUUUGAUGGAUACAAUUCCAUUGCAUAAGAAAUGCAAGCUCCCCCUAUAUCGUGCCCGACUAAUAUAACCUGCAUCAAAAGAGUACUAUUUUUUUUCAAAUUUAUUCCUAUUUGAAAGUGAAUAUAUAUCAUCAUAUUACCUUUUUAUCAUAGUCGAUUUUUUCGAUGAAAUCAGUGAGGGGUUUAACAUAUUGAGACAUUGUAGUAAUGUUGUUGGAAUCAAAAAAAUGUGCACCAGAACCAGUUAAGUCAAUUGCAUCAACUUGAUAUCCGGAUUCUUUGAGAAGUGUUGUAGUUUUGUACCAACACCAUGCACCAAAACCACCUCCAUGUACUAGAACAAAAUGUUUGUUCUUCAAAUCUUCAACAUUUGUACCCUGAAAAAAAAGGUUUAAAAUAUGUUAUUAUGCAUAAUACCACAAAAUGUUACUUCUCGUAAUAGAGUUAGCUGAUCCUGUUGCUGGCCGGUGCUCGUUUGAUUGCUGGUUAGAGAGGAAGUAUUUACGUUUUAAACAUAACAUUGCUAAUAUAUACAAUGCUUGGUUUAUGUUUUCCUUUUCCGCAUAAUUACUACAUGUAUAAGUUAUAAGAAAAUCUAUGUAUUAUUUUAUGCAGGAUACAACAUGAAAAACUAAAUUCUGCAUAACUAAUCCUUGCAUUACUAAUAUCUCUAUAACUAAUUCCUACAUUACUAAUACUUGCAUAACUCUAACUAGCAACCAAACCAAACAACCCCUAAAAUCAUCAUAUUAUUUUUUCUCACAUUAAAAUAGGCAACUAGGUGAACCACGUGUGACUUGAUCAAAGAGUUCAAAAAUGUCAAUCAAAUGAUGAAAGAUUUUAAAUAAAAAAAUUGACUACCAAUACUUUAUAAACAAGAGGACAAUUAAGAAAAUUAAUUGAAAACAAACCAAAACAAAAAAGUUUGAUUACUCAAAACCGAAAAAUUGACCUUUCUACACGUAUAGAGACCUUUUUCUCUUGUUCUUUCGACCCACAAUCACGAGGAUCAAUAGUAUCCUCUCUUACCUCGAACCUGACUCGAGGUGGAGAAAGCCUCACUUGUCUUAACAAACAAAAAGUUUGGUUAUUUUAAUGUGACAAAAAAAAUAAUUUUGUCACUUAGUCAUAUAAUUCGAUGAAUAAAAUAGUUUACAUUUUCUCAUGUUAUAGUGGAUAAAGUUCAGUUACUAUACGUCAGGUAAAUUUAAAGUACUAAUACCUAAAAAGCAAAUAGUAUAGCAAGACAAACCUGAUGAUGAAAGUCGAGAUGUUGAGGAAAUGAAUCAGAUAGUGAUCUAGCACGAGUUCUAGGCAUAAUAUUUCUAGUUUGCCUCCUUGAAGAACAAGUUAAAGUAUCUUUUAGAGAAACGGAACGUUCAAAUUGACUGAGCGUUCCGUUUUGCUGAUGAUGUUGCAAUAGCAGUGUUGCUGCAACACGAGCCUGUUCUCGAAUAUAAUUAUCACCAUCAAAAUUAUUACCUUCAUGGUCAAUAGUUCUCGAAGAUUUUCGACUAGUUGAUCUUGAGAUACAUGAAGGAGGUGGAACAGAAUGAUGAGCACGACCAUUAGAUGAUCUUCUAGUGAUAUUAUCACCAUCAAAAUAAUUAUUGUUACCUUCAUGAUGAUCGAUAAUUCUCGUAGAAUUUGGAUAAAUUCUAUCUGAUUUUCGACUAGUUGAUCUUGAGAUACAUGGAGGAGGUGGAACAGAAUGACAAACACGACCAUUAGAUGAUCGACUACUACGAAUUGUGCUGUUUUUGUUGAUUUUUCUAAUUUUUUUGGUUUGAUUUUUGUUAGAGAAACACGCUAAUGAAUUGCCCAUAUUGUUAGCAUGUGAAUGAGAAGAAAAUUUUGUGACAUGAAUGUUCAUAUAUGUUUGCAAAAAGAAAUGGAAAGUUGUUAAUGAAAGUGAAAUUUCUAAGAACGUGUGGAGUCAAUGAGAAAAUUAUAAAAAGUGGUCAACUUUUGUUUGGUGUAGGUCCAAAUUGUCCUUUUUUUUUUUUUUUAAUUUCCAAAACGGUAGGUAGUGUCCGCGUUGAAGUCCCGAUCUAAUUCGGAUCGCGCAUUGCAGGGCCCAUUAGGGUGACAGUGCUCCCAACAGAGUUUUCUCUAUAUCCUGAUCAAACGCUCGACCUCUGGUUAAGGGUGAAACAACUUCAUCUACUGCACCACAAGUUAUGUUGAUGUUCCAAAUGGUCCUUAAAUUACACUUUAGCAAUUUUGAUCCCUUAAACUUGCUAAAUAUUUAAAGAACUUUAUCUGUUAGAUUCGAUGAAAAUUAUAAUUCCAAAAAAGAUUUAUCGGACACUUAAAGUCGAAUGUACAUUUUGAAGUUUCUGCCACUUCUUAUUUAUUGCUAGAGUCUGAUGCAGUCUUUUAAGGCACAAUUCAUAUUAUUUUGCUCUAUUUUUUUUAUGUCUGAAAUACUAUUUUUUAUGUUGUAAUUUCUAAAAUUUGAUAGGACCUUUCUAGUGCUUUUGUGUUAAUUUUUUUUGUCUAUAGUUCCCUUCGAACAUAACACGCUAAAUAGUAGUACUAUAUAAAGAUUUAAUUCUAGAGUCUACAUAAAUACAAAAUAUUUUAUGGAUCAUAUUAUUUUUUAAAGAUCAAUAUUGAUGUUUACUUUUAGCAAAUUUAAAAAAUCAUCUCACUUCAAAGUAUAUUUAAGAGAUUAUUUUAAACAUACCUUAAAAAUAUAAGGGUCCAUUUUUGUCAUUUCUGGAAUCAAUUGGAAAAUUGGUUUUUGGAAAGUAGUGUGGAAGAGAAAAAGAAAUUCAUAAAUUCAUAUUAUGCAGUGGUACAAUUUUGACCUUUGAAUUAGGAAAAAAGAUUGUUAUGCAUUAUCUAAACAACCUACACAUCACUACUUUGGAAUCUAGUGGAAUAUUUCUUACAUCCCAUUUUUUUAAAAAAGGAAGGUGCUUGGACCAAUGAAAAAUUUACAAUAUAAUAUACUAUAUGUUGUUGAAGAUAUAUUUGUCAUAGUAACAAGUUUGAUAUACAGGCACAUCAACCUCAGUUGUAGUGUGGUGAUAAAAUUAUUUUAUGCUUAAUUAUAUAUUUAGAUUUGAGUUCUAAAUAUGGAUAAAUUUUUAUUAGGAGCGUCUUUGAAACUUCAAUGCAGGUACUGGAUAUCAGAUAGGAAUUUAGAAAAAAAGUUUGAUGAAUACAUAUACUUAAAGUAUUUUCUCCAUUCAUUUUUACUUAUUAUAUUUCAACUUGAUAUAUUCAUUAAGAAAACAAUACUGUCACACCCCUGUUUUUCACCGCAUCCGACUCCGCUAGGGAGUUGGUUUUAGAGAAAAUGGGUUUUUCCAAUUAAAGUGACGUUCUGGAAAGGGAUUAUUUUAUUUACAGAGUCGCCACUUGAAAUGGAGUUUGGGUGUUCCAAGUCACCUUAUUGAAUCCCUAUUCAAAAGGAAAUGACUCUUUAUUUUUAUUUUUUGAUCUGUGAACUAGGAAUCCGGAUAAGGAAGGAAUCCGGAUAAGGAAUUCUGUUGACCGAGGGGAAGGUGUUAGGCACCCCUCGAGUCCCGUGGUUCUAGCACGGUCGCUUUAAUGACUUAUGUCUGGCUUAAAUUAAUCUCUAAUGCAUAAAAAAUUUGUUAGCCUAAAAGUUACUUACAUCCUACUUUGAAUUUAUUUUAAAUUAUUUAAAACUGCAUUGAUGUGUGGCUUACCGAUAGUAGUACUUUUCGGCCUUACCACGAGUUUGGAUAAAUCCACAACCCAUCUCGCUCCCUUAAAAAUUAUUUUUCCUCUCUUUUAGAGUUUGAAAUAAAUUCGCAGCUCAUCCCGCUCAUCUCAUGUUAGUUAAUUCAUUAGGCCUUUAAUAACAAAUUAGGCGUGGUGAUGUUUUUAAAACGGGAGAAUUAAUUCGACAACUAUUACGACACCUCAAAAUAACACGAUAACAUUUCAAAAUUUUAUGAAUUAUUUAUUCAGAAAAGAACAUACAACAAAUAACAUGCAUAUUUUAUAACAUUAACAUGAAAGAAUAUUCUGUCAAUUAAGGAACCAAGUAAACUCAUUCAAAUUUUACAAUCGUGUUAAAUUCCAAAUCUAAAAAUAUAUAUAUAUUUUUUAAUUUAAUUUAAACCUCACAUAUAUUUCGGAAACGACAUUACUUACUUGUCACGUAUACCUCCCCUAAUAAAUGACACCCAAAUAUAACAACUAAUCAAAGAAAAUAAAUAUAGUGAACCAUACUUCCCGUAAUCAUCUACAUGGAUGAAUUGGAACCAUAAUAAAUAAAUAAGUAAACUAAGUUUAAAGAAAGCAAGAAUGAUGAUUCUAACUUAAUUGAAACAUGAAAAAUUAAUUUAUUAAAAGAAGCCUCAUUUUAUUUUUUUUUGGUUGUAUAAACAUACAUUUUAACAGCAACUAAAAACGAUGCAUGAGGAUAAUAUAGACUAAACAAUUCUAACAUAUAAGCACAUAUAUACUAUCAUAUUAUAUAUGCAUGUAAGAGAUGGAGAAUGGACUUCACAUAAAUAAUCAUCUUUGUAUAUUAAAUAAUUCACGAGAUUACUUAAAUACUUCAUUCAUACUUUGAUUUAAAAUAAAAUUUAUAACAAAUAAUACAGGAUUGGAAUAGAACCUGUGUGACAAAUUAGAUUGAAUAUUAAACCAAGAUAUCAUUACCGAGAAUUCGAGCGAAACUCCGGACUCUAAACCCAAUUCUUCUUCUCUUCUAUUUUUGUUUUCUCCUUUUCCGUUUCUUCUGUUUCUUUUCUUUCUUUUGUUUCUUUUUGUUUCUUUUGUUUUCUUUUUUUUGUUUCUUUGUUUUUCUUGAUCCGUGUGUUUGUAUUGUGUGCAUGUGUGUGUUAUAUAUAAUGAGUGUAUGUGUUUGUGUCGUGUGUGUGUGUGUUUGUCGUGUGUGUGUUAUGAAAAAAUGGGGGAGAGGUUUUGUGAGAGUGGGACUUGUGGGUGGUUUGGGUAGUUUAGGAUUGUAUUUUUUUUUUUUAAAUUUUAAUUAAUAUUUUAAAUAAAAUAAAAAUAAUAAAAUUUAUUUUAAAACUAACAAAAUACAAGAUAAGUUAACUAGCUAGUCUUAGGAAUAUGGUUAAGAAAUAUUAAUAUCACAACAUUCUUUAUUAAAAAUUGAAAGAAGAAACAAAUAUAAUUUAGAAAAANNNNNNNNNNNNNNNNNNNNNNNNNNNNNNNNNNNNNNNNNNNNNNNNNNNNNNNNNNNNNNNNNNNNNNNNNNNNNNNNNNNNNNNNNNNNNNNNNNNNNNNNNNNNNNNNNNNNNNNNNNNNNNNNNNNNNNNNNNNNNNNNNNNNNNNNNNNNNNNNNNNNNNNNNNNNNNNNNNNNNNNNNNNNNNNNNNNNNNNNNNNNNNNNNNNNNNNNNNNNNNNNNNNNNNNNNNNNNNNNNNNNNNNNNNNNNNNNNNNNNNNNNNNNNNNNNNNNNNNNNNNNNNNNNNNNNNNNNNNNNNNNNNNNNNNNNNNNNNNNNNNNNNNNNNNNNNNNNNNNNNNNNNNNNNNNNNNNNNNNNNNNNNNNNNNNNNNNNNNNNNNNNNNNNNNNNNNNNNNNNNNNNNNNNNNNNNNNNNNNNNNNNNNNNNNNNNNNNNNNNNNNNNNNNNNNNNNNNNNNNNNNNNNNNNNNNNNNNNNNNNNNNNNNNNNNNNNNNNNNNNNNNNNNNNNNNNNNNNNNNNNNNNNNNNNNNNNNNNNNNNNNNNNNNNNNNNNNNNNNNNNNNNNNNNNNNNNNNNNNNNNNNNNNNNNNNNNNNNNNNNNNNNNNNNNNNNNNNNNNNNNNNNNNNNNNNNNNNNNNNNNNNNNNNNNNNNNNNNNNNNNNNNNNNNNNNNNNNNNNNNNNNNNNNNNNNNNNNNNNNNNNNNNNNNNNNNNNNNNNNNNNNNNNNNNNNNNNNNNNNNNNNNNNNNNNNNNNNNNNNNNNNNNNNNNNNNNNNNNNNNNNNNNNNNNNNNNNNUUAAUUAAUAUUUUAAAUAAAAUAAAAAUAAUAAAAUCUAUUUAAAACUAAAAAAAAUACAAAUAAGUUAAUUAGCUAGUCUUAGGAAUAUAAUUAAGAAAUAUUAAUAUCACAACAUUCUUUAUUAAAAGUUGAAAGAAGAAAACAAAUAUAAUUUAGAAAAAAAAAUUCUUUUUUUUUCUAAAAAUAAAUAAACAAAUAAAUAAACAAUAAAACAAAAUCUUAUUUAAAAUGUAACUCUAUUUUUGUAGUUUUCAAAUUUUUUAACAAACUUAAAAAAUAAGAUAAAUUUAAAAUGCCUAAAAAAAAUAAAAUUAAUUGAACAUUAAAAUGGUAUAAAAAUAUUAGGUUUUGGUCAAAAAUUAGGUGUUUACAGAUACUUAACAUGAUUAUUUUACCACAUUAUUCUUUUUAAUUGAUGUUUACCAUAUCAAUUUUGAAAAAUAAAUAAUUAGUGCUAAAAUUAAAACAUUAAACAAAAUAAUUUUUUUUUUCUUGGUACUUUAAAAGUUUAAAAGUUCAUUUGAGAAUUGUUUUUUCCCAUCUGCUUAUGAGAAGUCAUUAUUAUAUUUUGGAGUUGCAAAGCUACUUUCCGUUCUCUUUCUUGACUAAUGCGACUGACUGUAGAUAUUUGGAAAAAAUAAAAGGGAAGGAGGGCUUGAACCUCCGACCUUGUGGUUAACAGCCACACGCUCUGACCAACUGAGCUAUUCCAGCGAAUGCAUUCGUUUCCAUUCUAAAUGCUACACAGUUCCUUUUUUUUAGUAAGACUUUUCUAAUUGCUUAAAUAUUUACUUUUAAUCAUUCUAGUUAGGAGUGUACAGACAAAACCGUCAAGUCAAACUGAACCGAUGAAUCAAACUAAACCGAGAAAAAAAACCGACUUAUGGUUUGGUUUGAUUGGUUUGGCGUUAGAAAAAAAAAACCGACCAUUCUUAGUUUGGUUUGGUGUUAACAAAAAAAAAGUCAAACCGAAUCCGAAUCAAACCGACAUAAUAUAUAUAUAUAUAUAUAUAUAUAUAUAUAAUAUUCAAACUUUUUUAUACAUAAAAUAUUAAUUAUAAUCUACUUUUUAANNNNNNNNNNNNNNNNNNNNNNNNNNNNNNNNNNNNNNNNNNNNNNNNNNNNNNNNNNNNNNNNNNNNNNNNNNNNNNNNNNNNNNNNNNNNNNNNNNNNNNNNNNNNNNNNNNNNNNNNNNNNNNNNNNNNNNNNNNNNNNNNNNNNNNNNNNNNNNNNNNNNNNNNNNNNNNNNNNNNNNNNNNNNNNNNNNNNNNNNNNNNNNNNNNNNNNNNNNNNNNNNNNNNNNNNNNNNNNNNNNNNNNNNNNNNNNNNNNNNNNNNNNNNNNNNNNNNNNNNNNNNNNNNNNNNNNNNNNNNNNNNNNNNNNNNNNNNNNNNNNNNNNNNNNNNNNNNNNNNNNNNNNNNNNNNNNNNNNNNNNNNNNNNNNNNNNNNNNNNNNNNNNNNNNNNNNNNNNCAACACUUUUAUCAAAUUACAUUUUGUAGCAUAUGUAUUUGUAUUUUUGUAGCAACAGUUUGCGAAAAAUACAAAAUACAUAUCAUCAUAAGGGCAGUAAAAAUCAUAUAUAUUUGUAUUUUUGUAGCAACAGUUUGCAAAAAUACAAAACAUAACUUGCUAUAUUAUGUAAUUAUAAAACUGUUGUUAUGAAACUCAUAAUUAAGGGAAUAAGUAUGCUAUUCUUGAAUUUUUCCCUAUAUAUAUUUAGAUUUAGGCCUUUAAGUUAUAACAUUUGUCCAGUAAUUGCUAAUUAAAUGACCGAAAACCCAAUAUAAACUUAAAACCUAAACUUUUCACUCUUCAUCUCACUUUUUAAUUUCAAGAUAGUUUUCCGCUCCUCUAUAAUUAUGAUUUUUCAUUAGCAAAUGAGUGAAAACAUAUUUGGUCUAAUCUUCAAUCACAAUAUAAUUGUAAAAACUAAAGAUUAUAAAAAAAAAAAACCCAAAAAAAAUGAAAAACCCAAAAAAAUCGACUAAAACCUAAACCGAAAAAACUAAUUUUACGUUGGUUUGAUUUGGUUUAUAGUUCUAAUAAACCAACAUGAUUGGUUUGAUUUUUUCUUUUAAUAAAAACCGAACCAACCCAACCUAUGUACACCCCUAAUGCCAGCAUAACGUACGUGCUUUGCACGUGUGUCUCACUCGAUCAAUGAAAAUACAUUCAUAAGAAUGUUUAAUAUAAAUAAAUAAAUAUUGUAUCAAAUGUUUAAUAUUGUCUGUUGUAUCUCAACUAAUCUUUUUCAUAAUGAAAAAGAAUAAAGUUAAUUAGAAACUGAAAAUUUAAAUUAUACCACGUAAAUUAAGAUAAGAAAAUUAUUUGAAAAAUUGUUAAUCUCUAUACAUUAGCUUCAAUUUAUAGAAGUAUAACUUUGAAACGUAUGGCACGAUGUUUGAAAUAUCUCAUCGGAUAUUUAUUUAUUUUUAGAUUUCAUUCAAAGAACGUCACGAUGUUUGAAACAUCAGGACGUAACAUUGUUAACAAAAUUCAGAAAAUAUUGAGAUUAAUUGCAUCAAACUAAUGCACAGUAACAAAAUAUAAGGUAGAGUUGCAUGUUUGUCUUUAAUUUGGAUAACCAAAUUCAAAACUUAACUAUAAAUUUAUAUGUUAAAUUCAACAAAUAAGUUUAAUUAAGAUUCGACUUUACUACUAAGAAAUAAUAUAUCAAAAUCUAAUUAAAUAACAUAAGCAAGACCAAGUCACAAUGAAACAAAGAAGAAAAAAAAAGAAAAGAAAUAAAUCUCUGGUUUUCUUGGCUAUUUUAUUCAGCGAUAAUGUGCUUGGUUCGUGCACUUUUUUUAUCAAAAUUUUCACCUGAAAGAAAAAUACACAAAAAAAUUCAUUGUAAUCAAUUGUUAAUUAUGUAUAAUUCACAUAUAGUCUUUAAGGUCAUUAAUUAAAAAAAUUAAGAAAGAUAGAAGUAGAAAAAGAUGUCUGUUUCUUGUUAAUUUUUAUUCAAGAUAUUAUCUAAAUAGAAUUAUAGAAAUUACGUUUUAUGUAAGGUAAAAUUGUAAUUGAUUUAGAAGUGUUAAUUCAUAUAUAAUCUUUAAGGCCACCAAUAAAAAAAAUUAAGAAAGAUAGAAGUAGAAAAAGAUCCACGUUUCUUGUUAAUUUUUAUCCAAAAUAUUAUUUAAAUAGAAUUGUCAAAAUUACUUUUUUAUAUAAGGUAAAAUUCUAAUUGAUAUAGAAGUGUGAAAUACUAUAAUUUAGAUCAAUGAAUUUUAAGUCCUAAAUAUUUUGUGUAAAUCUUUUUGGUAUAAAUAUUAAAAAAAAAAAUAGAAGUAGAAGAAGAUGCGUGUUUCUUGUUAAUUUUUAUUCAAAAUAUUACUUAAAUAGAAUUAUAGAAAUUACUUUUUUAUGUAAGAUGAAAUUCUAAUUAAUUUAGAAGUGUUAAAUACUAUAAUUUAGACCAACUGAAUUUAAAAAUGCCAAAUAUUUUAUAUAUGUUAUAAAACAAGAAAGAAUAAAGAAGAAGAAUAGAGAGAAUAAAUAGAGUAAUUCUUAUUUCACUUGAGAGAUGAGAGAUCAUAUGAUUGUGAAUACAAUGAACAAAAUCCCUCAAUUUACGCUUAGUCUGAGUAAAAUACAGAUGCUUCAAAUCCUAAUAGAUAUCAAAGUGGAUCUUGAUAGAUCUUGAUAGACAUUCACUAUAAUGUAAAUAUAUUUAUAACACCCCCCUUGAAUGUCUAGGUAGAUAAUGUGCCUCGUUAAAACCUUACUAGAAAAAAUCCAAUAGGAAAAAAAAUCCCGUGAAGGAAAAAGAGUACACAUUUCUAACAAUACGCAUAUUGGCUGCCUCAUUAAAAACCUUACAAGGAAAAUCCAUUGGGACAAAACCUCGUAAGGGAAAAAGAGUACAACGCGUAUUAACUCCCCCUAAUGAGAACAUCCUUGAACUUUUGCAUCUCGAUCUUAUGCAGCAUCUUCUUGAAAGUUGCAAUUGGAGAAGAUUUGGUGAAUAAAUCAGUCACAUUGUCAUUUGAAUGAAUCUGUUGCACGUUAAUAUCAUCAUUCUUUUGUAGCUCAUGUAUGUAGAAAAGCUUUGGCAAAAUGUACUUCGUUCUAUCUCCAUUUAUGAAUCCUCUCUUAAGAUGUGCUAUGUAUGCUGAAUUAUCUCUGUAUAAAAUUGUGGGUAGAUUGUCAUAUUUCACACCACAUUUUUCUCGAAUGAGAUGUAUCAUAGACCUCAACCAUACACAUUUUCGGCUUGCUUCAUGAAUAGCUAUUAUCUCAGCAUAAUUCGAUGAAGUGGCUACGAUAGACUGCUUUGUAUAUCUCCCNNNNNNNNNNNNNNNNNNNNNNNNNNNNNNNNNNNNNNNNNNNNNNNNNNNNNNNNNNNNNNNNNNNNNNNNNNNNNNNNNNNNNNNNNNNNNNNNNNNNNNNNNNNNNNNNNNNNNNNNNNNNNNNNNNNNNNNNNNNNNNNNNNNNNNNNNNNNNNNNNNNNNNNNNNNNNNNNNNNNNNNNNNNNNNNNNNNNNNNNNNNNNNNNNNNNNNNNNNNNNNNNNNNNNNNNNNNNNNNNNNNNNNNNNNNNNNNNNNNNNNNNNNNNNNNNNNNNNNNNNNNNNNNNNNNNNNNNNNNNNNNNNNNNNNNNNNNNNNNNNNNNNNNNNNNNNNNNNNNNNNNNNNNNNNNNNNNNNNNNNNNNNNNNNNNNNNNNNNNNNNNNNNNNNNNNNNNNNNNNNNNNNNCUUAUACAAUAUAAGGAUUAUAAAUAAGUUUCCCAGAAACUUUUAUAUGCUUCAAGCAUUUUGAAUCCUUAAAAGUUUUCCACAUAAGUUUUGUCAAGUGACAAUAUUCAACAUUUCAUGAGUGACAUCUUCAAAUAUCUGGACUGCAAAUCAAAUAAGUUUUAUACUUACCAAAAUGCAUCCUUUUGUGUCACUUGAUAAAUGUUUCUACGUCAGCAUGCUUAAAUAAACGUAGAAUUUAGAUCCUCAUAAUCUUUUACAAUAUUGCGCCAAUAUCGUAUCAAAGAUAUCGUUAAUGAUAUAUCAUUUUGUAUUGGUUCAUAAUGCGACAUAACAUUUUGAGAUCUCAUCACUUUAUUAUUUUUAGGUACCUGAACCUCUCAUAAGGUUUCCUGAAGUAUUAUGUCUUAGGCUCUUCAAGAGUACAUUGCCUUCUUAGUAUGAUUAUUUGCUCCUUGUUUCAUUUGGAACCGAUUAGUCUAUCGUGCUUCAUGCAUGCAUAGACUUUGUCCUUCAAGGAUACAAGCUAGGAGCACUUGCAGCUUAAAUAUGAGAUGCUUUCGGCAUUUGACUUGAAUUAUCUUAUGAAUGAGGAUCUUAUGAUAAUUCCUAACAUAUUUCAUAACUGCUUAUAAUCUCCCCCUUAUGUUAGAAAAACUAACAUUCAUCCUCAUCUUCUUUGAAGAAUCCAUCUUUGUNNNNNNNNNNNNNNNNNNNNNNNNNNNNNNNNNNNNNNNNNNNNNNNNNNNNNNNNNNNNNNNNNNNNNNNNNNNNNNNNNNNNNNNNNNNNNNNNNNNNNNNNNNNNNNNNNNNNNNNNNNNNNNNNNNNNNNNNNNNNNNNNNNNNNNNNNNNNNNNNNNNNNNNNNNNNNNNNNNNNNNNNNNNNNNNNNNNNNNNNNNNNNNNNNNNNNNNNNNNNNNNNNNNNNNNNNNNNNNNNNNNNNNNNNNNNNNNNNNNNNNNNNNNNNNNNNNNNNNNNNNNNNNNNNNNNNNNNNNNNNNNNNNNNNNNNNNNNNNNNNNNNNNNNNNNNNNNNNNNNNNNNNNNNNNNNNNNNNNNNNNNNNNNNNNNNNNNNNNNNNNNNNNNNNNNNNNNNNNNNNNNNNNNNNNNNNNNNNNNNNNNNNNNNNNNNNNNNNNNNNNNNNNNNNNNNNNNNNNNNNNNNNNNNNNNNNNNNNNNNNNNNNNNNNNNNNNNNNNNNNNNNNAGAAUUUUCGAAUUCUUCAAUAUAUGUUUAAUAUUUAAUAUGCACAUCUUUAAGAUGUCGCAAUCGUUCAUGUCAACUUAUGAACUUUUAUGCUAGUAAACUCAAAGUUUACCAUGACAUGUACUUUUUUCUUUAGUAAAUUUCCGAUUUACUAUUGCAUGAAUAAAUUUCAUAUUUAGUACUUUAGAAGUAGAUUUCGAAAUAACUCUUGUCAGUUAUUCUACCUCAUUCGGAGGUGAGUUGUGAUACCAUCACAAUCAAGUGCACGUUUGCAUUAAUAAGCUUCUCAUUCCCCAGGAAUGAAAUAUAAUCAUGCAUUAAGCGUAUCAAAUUAUGAUAGCUAUUACAAAAGCAAAUUGAGGCAUACAUAUGAUUUAUUGCUACCACAUUCAAUUCACGGAAUAGAGCAUAUCAAUGGGAUAUAUUUCAUGACUUUUCAUCAAAUACACAUUAUUUUGCCUUAGCCAUCAUAAAUUAUCAAUACAUGCAUUGAGAUCCAAUCUCAAAGCCUUAUCCAUAUAAAGGCGUCUCAGGCAUAAAUUGAUGGGGUUUGAACCCAACAUAUUAUCAUCCCCUUUGAUAAUAUUGUUCUUGAGAAAUAAAUUUAAAACAUAAAUUGUUCCAAACUAAUUAUUUUUCCUCAAAUCCAACAAUAAUUAUAUUAUUAGUAGCAAAAGAUAAACAACAUAAGAAAUUACAAACCUUGAAAUACUUAAGAUUUAUAAUCUCACCUUGUUUGACAGAGUCUCGUGCUGAUAACGUGUUAUGAAACAAUAAAGAACGAGAAGAAGAGUAGAGGGAAUUUUCUUCUCUUGAAUGAGAGAUCAUAUGAUUGUGAAUACAAUGAACAAAACCCCUCUAUUUAUAGGGGAAAUUUACUCCUAGUUUGAGUAAAAGACACAUGUUUCAAAUCCUAAUAGAUAUCAAAGUAGAUCUUGGUAUAUAUAGACAUUCACUAUAAUGUAAAUACAUUUAUAACAGUAUACAAUUUAAUUAGGAAAGGAUUCAAUGGGUAAAAUAUUUUUGUAUAGUAUUAACUACACUCAUUCUGACCUUAUAAACCAUAACGUAUUUUACAUAUGUUGAAGAUUAAUUGUUUAAAAAUUUUACCAUGUAUUUAAUAUUCCUUAUUUAUUAAUUUUGGUUGUACCUCUUAUCAUAUAUUUUAGGAGUCAUUAAUAAUUUUUUUAAUACCUCUUAUCAUAUAUUGUAGGACUCCUUAAUUUUUAAUAUUAUAAAAAUAAUAAUUAAUUAAUUAAUAAUUUGAGAAAAAAAGAUUAAAAAAUGAUUUUUACUAAAAUAGAGACUUUUAAUAAAGGAUAAAAAGUUCAAAUCAUUUUUUUAAGGUCUUAACACUUUCAAUAGAUUAUAGAUUAUAGAUAUAAAUAUAGAUUAUAGAUAUAAAUUAUAAUUAUAGAUGUAGAUUAUAGAUUUAUUGUGAUCUCAAACUUUUAUGUGUCAAUGUUUUUUAAAAUAAAUUUUGAGGAAAUGUAGUUUGAACUUGUACCAACAUAUCCGGUGUGUAAAUUCCCUCAAAUCUUUUUGGGUUUGACUAUAUAACAUUCAAUUACUAUAAAAAACUAAACUCAGAACACACGAUAUUAUUAUAAAAAGGUUUUGACUAGUCGAUAUAAUUCGCUUUUCGUACUUAUAGUAGAUACAUGAACUUCAGGAAAUGGUCAAGUUCAAAAUAUAGAAGACUAAUGGAAAAACUAUUAUUGGGAUCUUUAGAGAAAUGUUGUCGCAAUCUUGUCAGAUAGUAUUUGCAAUCACUUUGUUGCAGGGAAAUAUGUAAACAAAACCAAUAAUUUCAACACCAAAUAUGUAAAAUACUGCAUUCAUUUGUUAACUAAGGAACAUAUAGUCAAAAUACUGGGCAAUAUGUUAUACACAAUCAAAAGCAUCAAAAACUUUGGUAAAAUCCCAGGACUGCGUCGACUAUGUUGUAAUGUGGUCGAAUUAACAGUAACAUGGAAGGAUGCUAAGUACUCAUUAGUUCCCUUGUCGAUGUUUCAGUACGCAUCAGAAAAUACCUCACACCAAUGUACAUUACAACACUAAUGACACCAACACCAAUUGUAACAGGACUAGCGAAAACUAACAAGUUUUUGGUUUGCUUGCUGUCGAUCUUUUUGGAGCUGGAUUCAAAUGAAUCAGCAGACCUUUUGGAUCGAUUCUUCAUGAAGGAAGAAUAGGAAGCAACCUCUUCUUCGGUAAGUGCUGGCUUCAACGACUUUUUGACUGUUUGGAAGUGUCGAUCACAUACAACUGUUGCGGAUAUGUUCUCUCGCAAAGCAACUAUUCCAGCUUCUCUGCAUAGGCCUUCCAGUUCAGCUCCAGUAAAGAGGUCAGUGUCUUCUGCAAUUUGUCUGAGAUUAACAUCAUUACUCAAUUUCAUAUCUCGCGUAUGAACACGGAGAACCUCAAAUCGAGCUUCCAAGUCAGGAGGAGGGACAUAAAGAACCUGCAAGCGAAGGAAAUUGAAUAAGAUGAGCUAAUUGCUGUUGCUGCUAAUGACGGUACAUGACCAUUAACGAGUACAAAUAUUUGCUUCUUAAUGUUCCAUGUGUCUUAAUUUGUUCGUUUGGUUUUGACUUGACAAGAAGUUUAGAAAGUAAAGAAGAUUUUUGAAUCUUGUGGUCUUGAGCUAAAGAUAUGUAGAAUGUACUAAAAUGCUCUUUAAUCUUGUGGUCUUAAACAUGUCAUGUGGAGAGCUAGAAGUAAAGAGUUGCGAAGAAAAGGAAAGAGGCAUUCUUUUGAAACAGACAAAGAAGGAAGGCAAGACAAACAAAUUGAAACGGAGGGAGUACUAAUAAUUCGUGUUGAGAUGCUAAGUUACACUAAGCAUUCAGAGUACUAAUAAUUCAUGUUGAGAUGCUAAGUUACACUAAGCAUUCACGAGUUUCUUACAAGAUCAAAUCGUCCUGGUCGCAUUAGUGCAGCAUCAAUUGCGUGGGGGCGAUUUGUGGCAGCCAAAACAAGAAUUCCCUGAAAGAAGCAGUGAUUAGGAAACACAGAAAUCACAUUCUAUACCUGAUCAAAAUGAUCCAUUACUUGCAUUCAGUAAUUAAAAAACUGCAAAUUAUGUAUUGCGCACUUUAGCCUGCUCUAAGCCAUCCAUUUCAGUUAGGAGGGUGGAUAAAAGUCUCUCUCCAACUGUACUGCUUCCACUUGAACUUCCUCCUCUGCAAUUUAAGGAUAAAUUGUAUCAGAGCUUCACAUAAACAAAGAGAAUUCAGGAAGAUAUACUUGAAACACAGUUAGAUCAACAAAUAGCUGCGCCCUGUAGGGACAUGACCGUAAGAAGUCCUGUACCAACUAAAAUGAGUCAGGCAGUGCCAAGAAAAGUAAUUUGUAUUGGUUGGGAUAAUAUAUGUCAAGGCACAAGUUGCCUGAAGACUUUCUGUACUCCAGAAAGAUUUCCGAGAAGAUUACUCCACACUCUCUCUCUCUCUCUUCAUAUACAAUCCACCCACCCCUCUCUUGACUACACUCCCAAUUCCCUAUUUUUCCCUGUCUCCCUGCAUCCAUCUAUCUCCAUCUUUAAGCUCAACAAAGACAGUGAAACACGUCUUUACCAGACCAGAAAUCAGAAUGGAGGGCAACUAUCUGUCAGAAUCUAGCAGCACAAUUGUACAAUCAACUCUAUAAUAUCCACCUCAACUUGACAUGAUACAAUCAACAUUCAAAUGAAUAAACACGAGAUGGCCAAACUAAUUACUCAACUCACAAGAUAUAGCUAGGCUAAAUAAACUUACCGUUUGGUUGCAACAACAUCAGCCUCAUCAAAGAAUAUUAUACUUGGCGCUGCAAGGCGAGCUCUUCGGAAAGUAUUGCGCAAUAAAGCUUCACCCUCACCAACAUACAUAGAGUACAGCUCUGCACCACUGUUUCAUGUUCAAGAAACUGAACAAUUAAGAUUUGCGAGUUUUAGUCAAAUCAAUAAUUAGUCACUACAUAAAUACCCAGUUACUGAAAACAAGCUAAUAAAGAUGGUUAAUAUCAUAGUAAAUACCAAUCUGAUGCCUUUGGUUCCAAAGGGGCAUAAACCCCAGCAUAUAUUCAAGAUUUAGGUGGAGCAUGCUAAAUGACCUUUAUUUCAGACUAACUUAACAUGAUUUUUGCUUUUUAGGAACUCUGAAAUAAGUUGGAAUAUAACAUGUUUUUGGUUUUUCAGAAACUGUCAUAUAAGUUGGCAAUGGCUCAUGGGGACAAGAAUCGCUCACUUGUUGCUAAGCAAUGCAUGCAACAAUUGUUAAACAAUAAUGACAAACUUAUUAGAUGCAUUAAAAAGUAAUAAGAUCAAUAGUUGAAAAUAUAAAAGAUACCAAAGGUAAAAAGGUAUGACAAUUGCAAGCACUACAGGAGUAUAACCGGCUAUUGGAUCAGUUUUGACUUCCUUUUAUGAUGGUGAAGUCUUGGACAGCUUAUAAGCACAUUGACUAUUCCACCUGAGAGCUACUACUUCACACCAGCACAGGUACCAUAUAAUUCUACCCACCAACGCUUAAGCAGACAAGAAUAAAUCACCUAAUUAUUUCUUUUUGCCUCCAAUGGGAUUUGAACCUGAAUUAUUACUAAUCACUUAUCGAUCCUUCUUAGUUCUUUUACAGCAAGAGUCAGAAGGAAACAGAAAGUCAAACAGCAGAGAGCAGUUUUAUCGUGCCAAGGGCAGAAGCGACCAGAAUUGUUAUCAGACCUCAUGGAAAAGAAUGAAGCUUGGGCAGCAUGAGCAGAAGCUUUAGCAAGGGUUGUUUUGGAGCACCCUGGUGGUCCAUGAAGAAGGAUUCCACGGGCAGGUGAUACUCCCAGCCGUUCAAACGCUUCUGAGUGUUUUAAAGGCCAUUCAACAGCUUGCUGAAGCUUUUUCUGUUUCAAGAAUUUACCACCCUAUUAGAUUUUGUAAAUAUUCUACCUGACCUAAUUGUUUGUGCGAGGUCAUACCUUUAUGUCUUUCAACCCUCCAAUAUCUUCCCAAGAAACCUUGGGUAUUUCAACAGUAACACCCCUUGUUAUACUAGGACCAACCACCGAUCUUGCAUGCUUCCAAUCUUCCAUAUGAAUGUUGUUAGAGUCAUAGUCCAGAUUUGAAUCAGAGCACUUUCUUACUGCAGACAUUGCAGCUUCACGACACAGAGCCUCUAAAUCUGCCCCAACAUAACCAGUACAAGAUGCAGCAACGGCUCGAAGGUCAACACUUGCAUCCAAUUGAAGCUUCUUUGUAUAAAGCUGAAAUAUCAAAAAUGCUCUUAAGAUCAACUUCAUAUAGAUCAUAUUAUAAAAGGUACUAAGCACCCAUAGAUGUUCACAAAGAGUACCCAUUCAGGUAUCUCCUUAAACUGGUGCAUGCUCGAAAUUCUAUCACAUGUCCUCAGUAGGUGUUGUGACUUCAAUUUCAGCAUCAAAACGUCCAGCCCUUCUUAAAGCUGGAUCAAUAGCAUCCGGCCUGCACAUAAAUGUAUAAUGUCAAGGUUAAUUUGGAAAGGAAGUGUACGCCACCAUGACACAGAAGUAAGCAUAGAAUUUCAUGACCAUCAAAAGGAUAUAUUAGGGUCUUGAUGGCUUGCUUAGAUAAAAUAAGCUGGCACUGUCGCUUGCUUACAUUUUCCUGUAGGAUACAUAACUCUGUAAAAAUAAAUUAUUUUUGAUCAUUAUAUAUUGGGGUUCAUUUUCUUCGGACAACUAUUUAGAGAAGGUCUGUUAGCAAAUUGACAUAGAUCAUGCUAGGGAAGCUUUCAUGGAUGUUUUACUUAAUAAUAAACAACAAAAAUUAAUCUGUUAAGAGUAGGCUUACAUGAUCACAGGAAAAGGCAAUCCACCACAAAAAUAAAAAAUAAUAUACCAAAAGAAAGCAAAUGUUGCAGAACCCUUACCUAUUAGUUGAUGCUACUACCACAACAUGUGAUACUGAUGUCGAUGAGGAUUUAAUGGAAUCCAUCAACAUAAAGAGCUGAGAGGCUACACGAAUUUCUUGCUCCCUUCUGCAAUUCAAGGACUCAAAUAACAUGUUAGUAAAGAAUAUUGGAAUAUACCAACUUUACCCUCCAACAUCAUCUUCUUUUUUUUUCAGUUUUGUCAACCAUGAUUUAAGCAAGGACAUUUUCAUAUGGAUGUUGAUAAAGUGAUGCAACAUGUACCUAGAAUCUCUACGAGGACAAAGAGCAUCUAUUUCAUCUAAAAAGAUGACUGAUGGCUUGCCUAAUUUUGCAUGAGAUGAUGCUUCUGAAAAUGCCUCUCGCAAAAUUUUCUCACUUUCACCAACAUGAGCCCUAUGAACAGAAUGGGGACUGCAAAUACAUCCAAAGCCAGAAAGAACAAUAAGGCAAAGAAAAAUAUAAACAAUGCAAGAUUCUCCUUAAAGUUCAAUGAAUUCAUUUCAUUCUUCUCUUAAUGUACGUAAAAGCGUGAUAUCACCAUACAGAAAUAACUAGCAUCAAAAGCUCAACUUUUUCAAAGCGCAGAAACUUUUCAGUUAUUUAAAUAUCACCAAGAACCAUAAUGAUCACAGAAUGAUCAGUGAUCCAAUGGAUAGAUCUGAACCAAUUAGAUAAAUUUCUGCCUCCAUACUUAAAAAGUACUUAUAGUACUUUUGGUCGUUCUAUAAUACAGGUCCUAAGGUGAACUUAAUUGGAGCAACAUUGUCAAUACGGAUUCGUAUCACCUACCCUUGGGAUUGUCGAAUUGAGGCAUAGUUAUUGUUAUCUGUGAGGUGUACAUAAUAAGGAACCAAUAACACUGAACUAAUGAAAGAAAGGACCAUUACUUUUAUGUACGUAAGCAACAAAAACAAAAAAAUGUCUAGAAGCCAGUCAAGAGAAAAUAAUGUUGGGUGAGAAUCAAACACACCUUAUUACGAUCAAAUGGGCACCACAUUCUUGAACAACUGCCCGAACUAAGCUUGUCUACAAUUAGAAAUAUUAGAAUAUUUUAACCAAACAACUAUCUUGAACCCAAAAGUCAUUUUUAAAUCCAGAGACCAGAUUUUGAAUCAAAUCCAAAUGUCAGUUGUGAAAUCGAUAAGACAGGAUUCGUCUAAACCAAGUGCUGAUUUUGAGAUUCAAAAAGAUGAUUGUGGCUCUAAGCCAACUGUAAAUUUCAAAAUUCAAAGACAAUGAGUUUGGCUCAAACCCAAAUGCAAACUUUGAAAUUCAAAAGUAUGAAUUUGGCUCAAAACCAACAUAGUUAGUUUUAAAUUAAAAAAAGACAUGACUUUUGGCUCAAACUGUGAUCAAGAAUAGGCAGGUAUAAUACCUUGCCAGUUCCAGGAGGUCCAUAUAGCAGCAAACCACGCGGCCACUACAAGAAAAAUGAGCAAAGCAAUGAGAGUUGUUAAUGAAAGAUGAUAAUCUGAAUAUCAAAGAUAUACUAUUUGAAAAACUUGUAGUACCUUUAGACCAAGUUUUCGAGAUUCGGCAGAGUAAAGGAGAGGAUAGGUUAUGAGUUCUCUGAGAACUUGAAGGGCUUCCGCAUUGCCAGCAAUAGCUUCCUCUGCUCUCCACUCACCGGCACAGCUGGUGGUCCCACUGCUACUGUCCAUCUCUUGUAGAGGUGCUGGAGAAGGGCGGGGAGCAAUACUUUCUAGCUGUGUGGUUGGUGGGGGUUUACAGUUUUGCCUUACCCCCUUUUUGAAUUCAAAGAAGAAGCCCCAACUCUUAAUUUUGGAGUUUCAUUCAAAAUAGUUCCUAAUAUAUAAAGUGAAAACUGUUAACGCUGUUUUCAAAUCCAAAUAAAAUGGUUGGCUACCAAGGAAAAAGUUGUAAACUCAUGUAUUACAUCUCCCAUGAAGGACUUUAUGGAUAGAGAUUAAUCAACCACCCCACCCCACCCCACGCCCACCCCCACCCCCAACACGCACACACACAUUGAUAACCGAAAUCAACCAGCGAUAUAUAUCCAAUUUGUUGGAUUCUUUACAAGCUAAAUUCAAGUGCGAAGAACCAUAUUACAUGAACUACUUCUCUUUCAAGUUUGCAAUUCAACUUUUAGGUGGUAUCAUCUUAUAUGUGCUAUCACCAAAAGCUCCAACCAGACAAAGGUUCCUAUUAACAUACAUAUAGUAUUCAAAACUGAAACUAUAGCUAGUUAGAAAAUAAGUUAUUCAUAUAUAAAAUUAACACAACAUAAAAUUUAAACCCGCAUAAUUAAUACAUAUAAGUUAUGAGGGAAUUAGUGUAUCAAAUAGAAGAUGGAAUAACUAAUGCUUGCAAAACUAAUAGCUACAUAACUAAUACCUGCAUAAUUAUAACCGGCUGCCAAACGAUCCCCUAGUUUUCUAUAGUUAAUGCAUUAUAAAUUGCCCAUUAUAAACAGAACCUAUGGAAAACUUUCUUCCCCACUCCAUUAUUCAACAAGCACAAAGAUUCAAGAAAGCACCCAAUAUAUAAUUAGUGGCAACAAAUAUACAGAAGCAAAAUAUAUAUAUAUCAAAAAAAGAUACUAUCUUUGAACAUUCAAGAAAGUACCCAACAUAUAAUUAGUGUUAACAAGAAAGAAAAUUGAUAAAAGUUCUAACCUUGUAGAGAAAAUUACUCUGUCAGCAAUGGCUGCUUUAGUCGUUUAGCUUUCUAUUUUAGUUUUCUGCAAAUGGGUUUUAGCCUUAAGAGAAAAAAAAUCAAACUUUAAGGGCAAUUUUGUCUUUUUGUAAAUAUUACUAUAUGAUACUCAUAUUUCAUAAACCCUUUUUCCUAUUUUCUUGUAUGUAGGGUUUAAGGAAGCUGCAGACACAGAAAGAUGUGUGGGAUAGCAGUCAUUGUGUCUGGAAUUAAGAUAAUUUUAUCUUCUUUAGACCCCAAUUUUGUCUCUCCAGUACCUCUAUUGGAACAACAGGUAAUAAUAUACUACUCUCUUAGUCAACUCGUAUUAUUUUGCUGUAGUUACUGUUGUGUUACUAGCUUUUAUUUUUGUUAAUAUUUAUUAUUUCUUGUACUUUUUUUACUUCGUCAUCUCUAACUUAGGUAAAGUCUGCAUAUACUUUAGCCUUUCCGGACCCCACGCCCACUUUAUGGGAAUGUACUGGUAUGUUAUUGUUGUUGUUGUCGCUUACUGAACUAACCAUUGAUGCAAGAACAGCAAAACUGCAGCUUUAUUAGGCUUAUUUUACUUGUGAUUUUUACAUUUAUCACUCCUUUAUGUAUCUUUGGAUGAAGCCCUUUUGAUGCUACAUCUAAAUUAAGUUAAAAAACAGCAAUUAGAAGGGGCAAAAGCAGCAUAUAAACUGUCCACAACCAGUGGCAAAGUCAGAAAUUUCGUUAAGGUUGUUCAAGAUUUAAUCUAUACGUAUGUAAAAUAAUUUUUGACCUAUAUGCUUCGUAUAGUAUUCUAUAUUCAUAGUAAUGGAUUUUUCGAUGAAGGGUGUUUGAUGGGCCACCCUUCACUACGUGUGGCUGCGCUACUGUCUGUAACUGAAAAGGGAAAUUAGUGAAAGCUAGUUUUGGUUAAAGAAUUGAAAGAAAGGAGCUAUCUAUGCACCUUAAUUUGAGGAAAAAUUGGCUUGCAAGAGUGUGGCCUAUUGGUCAAUGAAGUGGGUUGAGAACCACGAGGUCUUAGUUUAGUUUCAGAGUUGAAUUACUCGAGGUGGUGGCAGAGUUACUUGGUAUCUGUUGCUGGUGAGAGGUGUUUCGUGGAAUUAGUCGAGGUGUACACGCGCUGGCCCCGACACCAUGGUUAUCAAAAAGCAUGAGGAAAAGUUGAUGUCUGAAGUUUCUAAAGUUGCUAUUUUUGCAUCACUCCUUUCAGUAUGUUUAGAUGAACCCCAUUUGCUGCUACAUCUAAAUUAAGUUUAAAAAACAGCAACUAGAAGGAGCAAAAUUCAGCAUAAAAAUGCAAGCAACUGAAAAGGGAAAUUAGAGAAAGCUAGCUUUGAUUAAAGAAUUGUAAGAAAGGAGCUAUCUUUGCACCCGAAAGAGGAAAGCUUGAUGUGAAGCUGCUAAAGCUGUUAUCUUUUUUACCCCUCCUUUCUGUUUUGUUAGACGAAUCCAUAUGCUACAACAUCUAAAUUAUGUACAAGAACAGCAACUAAAAGGACCCAUCUAUGUAGUUUUGAGGAAUGAUUUAUGAAGUUUCUGCUUUUGUUUUUCUUUAGAAUCUUUUUGCUUGAUCGGCCUAUGUUCAUAUAAGUCAACUGAAGCAAAAACAGCAUAAGAACUGCCUGCAACUGUGAAGGGAAUUUUUAGAAAGCUAGCUUUGAUAUAAGAAUUAAAAGAAAAGAGAUAUUUUUUCACCUUAAUGAGGAAAUAUUUAUGCGAAGUUUCUAAAGUUAUCUUUUUCAUCACUCCUUUCGAAUAAUGAGAUGAGCCCAUUUUGCACAACACCUAAAUUAAAGAAAGAGCAAUUAGAAGGAUCUAUCUUUGUACCUGAAUGAUAAAUGAUUUAUUAAGUUUCUGUUAUUGUUAUUCUUUAGAAUCUUCUUGAUUGAUCUGCCCAUUUUUAUACAAGUCUCAAAUGAAUCAAAAACAGCAUAAAAACUGCCUGCAACUGGAAAGGGAAAUUUUAAAAGGAAGUUGUUAUCACUUAUCGCAUCACUCAUUUCCGAAUCGUUAGAUGUACCCCUUUUUCUGCAACAUCUAAAUUAAGUAGAAGAACAACACUUAAAAAAGGCCAUCUUUUAGCUUUAUUAUGAAUGAUUUAUGAAGUUUCUGUUAUUGUUUUCCUUUAGUAUCUUUCGACUGAUCUGCCCGUUUCUAUACAAGUCUCAGAUAAAGCAAAAACAACAUAAGAAUUGCCUGCAACUGAAAAGGGUAAUUAGAAAAGCUAGCUUUGACAAAGAAUCUUAAAAAAAGAGCUACCUUUCCACCUUAAUGAGGAGCCCUACUUCCCUCUUUCCGACCCCAUCACUUCAAUUCAAGGGCAAAAGAUUGAUGUGAGGUUUCUAAAGUUGUUAUCCUUUUCAUUUUUAAGAGUUAUCUUGUAGAGGCUGAUAAUGUUUAGUAUUGUCAUUAGACUUUGUUUUCAGUGGAUGACAUAAAAGGGGUGUUAAGAAGAAGGGGUCCAGAUAAUUUGGGAUGCAAGAAAGUAUUACUUCGUUCUGGGGUUUCAGCUUUACCAGGUGGAGAGCAAGAUAUAGUUGCCUUUGUGGAGGAUGAAGAUGCAAAUGACGGAGAGAAUUCUCAUAUGGGUGGUGGUGGUGGUAAAGAAUUCAUUGAAGAGUUGCAAUUUAUUGGUGCUACGUUACAGCUUAGAGGCAUAAGUCCAAUCAUUCAACCAUUGGUGGACAUGUCAGGGAACAUCCUUGUUUAUAAUGGUAAUACAUUGCGUUUGAUCCAUUACCAACAUGAUAGACUGAAGUGUCUCUUGGAUUUCUUGCAUCUUGACUUUUUUGUGCUUCAUAUAUUUUAUUGUCAACUUAAUUGAUGGUUAACUUUGGAGAGUUAAAUACUGUACACAAUUAUGUAGUAUUUGUUCCUCUUCACUUUCAAGUGACUGGCCAAAUGCAGAUUCUGCUAUUUUAGUUUUCUUGUUUGCGAGAAUAAUUCGGAUUUCUUUCUUCUCAACCAAGUUGAUUGCUUCAGCGCUUUUUCUUUCUUAUAUAUUCGUCAUUUCUGUCAAAGUAAAUCAUUUUUUUUAAGUAAUGAAAAUAUUGAGACUUAAAUUUUUUAUUUUUUAUCAAAAUAUUAUCCUAUUUACUAAGAGUCUUUUAUUGACUCUUGUUUACCCCAUUUAAAAUGCGUCUUUUAUUGACACUGCUUUGUUUUGCUGUGAUUUUUGUUUAGGUGAAAUAUUUGGAGGCAUCCAAAUGAGUAGUGGUAGCAAUGACACUGAAAUUCUUAUGCAACAUCUAGGACUAUGCGGUUGUCAUGUUUCCUCUCCACAUAAUAAAGCUCAUACUUCUGGAGAAAGGGGAACUUCUGUUCCAGAACUUCUUUCCAGAAUCAGGGGGCCGUGGGCUUUGAUUUAUUGGCAGGUAACUUUUGGUGGGUAAGUUUCUAUUGGCUUAUUAAGCAGGAAAGGCUGCAUCAUUUUUAAACAAACGCUUCUCUGAUGCUCCGCUUACACUUUGCUAUAGAGUAGUUCAAAAAUAUUGUGGUUUGGUCGAGAUGCAUUUGGAAGGCGAAGCCUUCUUGUUCACUGGCCAACAAAGGAGGACCCUCGGUUUCUGCUAUCUUCUGUAUCACCACUUGCCUCCGUAAACGAAAGUUCUGGUAAUACUUCUUCAGCAUCCUACUCGCUUAUUGAUCUCGUUUAACAUAACAAAGAUUUCUUAGAGAAGCUUCAACUUGUUUUAAACAAACAUAAGCAGUAAGUUGUCAUUAUCCUUUAUGGUAACAACUGCAUUAAAUUAGCAAUCGUGAUGAUUGAGCAUGUACAGGCAAGAACAUUUAGUAAUCAAACAUAUCGUUUUGAGCUAAGCAUUUUGGUGAUUUAGCCAUCCUCUAUGAAGUUUGUUGCUUCAUGGAAAUGUUAUUGAAAGUCAGCUCUCUCAAUUGAAAAUUGUUUCUUUUGAGCUUUCGAGCUGUCUAUUAGUUGGAUAGAACAGUUGAUGUUGGAAGAAAAUCGUUGUUGCUUGUUUGUCCAUAGUUCACUACUUCAAAAUUAAAAACAUCAAUGUAAAGUUAUUUGACAUUCUCGCAUACCGACAUGAAAUGAAGAAAAAUGCCAAAUAUGGCAGCGGUUGGUUGUGUAGUCUAUAUUUCCUCUAUCCUUCCUCUGUGAAUGACUGCAAUAUUUUAACUCAGUGUAGCUUUGAUCUUGCAGAAUUUGCAGAUGGAGGCCAAAUAGCCAAAACAGACUUCUGGGAAGAACUUCCAUGCGGUGUAUAUAGUUUGUCUAUUGGUGCUUUAGAAACGGAUGAAGAUUUAAUUGGUGAAGUUUUGAAACAUGACUGGACAGAUCCAAAGCUUAAGGAGUUAAUCACUUGGGAGAGAACUUCUAUCCAACCAAAACCCGAGGACUUGUGUGCUUCGCGCCAAAAGGGUUAUUGCAGGAAAGAGAAAUCGCCGUUAACUCCUUCCACUCUGAUAGAACCUAAGUUAGGUUAAUAUCACAUAGUUAUGCUGUUAAUACCGUUCAUUACAUAUUUGGUGAAUGUAGUAAUUGUGAUUGAACAUUCUGUCAGAGUGUAAAUUGAUUGCAGUCUUCUUCUAAUUGUUACAGCUUCGACAGACUGCCUACUUACAUCGUUACCACACAGGGUAAUGAUUGCGUUACAAGAGUCGAUGAUGCGACGCACUGCAUUAAAUACAAUCUACCAGGUCUGAAACUGAUUUUCUUUUGUUUUCUGUCUCCACCCAAUGGUUAGAAAUAACGUUUGACUCCCCCCUGUUGAUACAUGUAUUAAUCUUAGAAGCCCUUUAAUGGAACAGGAAAAGCAUAAGCUGCUAUAUUAGCUUUCUGAAUUGACAUAAUUCUUGGGUAAUGUGUAGGCCACUUCAGUUGAUUACACAAAUAAAUACAAUACUCCAGUUGCCGUGCUCUUUUCUGGUGGAUUAGACUCUAUGAUAAUUGCUGCAUUACUAGAUAAGUGCAUGGAUGCCAAAUGUAAGUGUUUCUGACAGCCCUUUUGUUUGAGUUACGAAUAGAAAAUUCUUCAAUUUCCUUUCCUGUUUGUUUUACCUGUGGAAUGUUUAAUCUAGUUAUGGUCAUUCUGGUGUUAUACUUGUAGAUGAUAUUGAUCUGCUAAAUGUAAGCUUUGACGGUCCAUUUGCUCCUGAUAGAGUCUCUGCUAGGGCAGGUUUAAAGGAACUUCAAAAAAUUGCGCCAUCAAGAAGGUAUCCAUUCCCCUUCUUGCUUUUGUUUGUACCAUUAGCCACUGGAUUUCUUCUUGAGAAAUCAGUAAGAUGACACACUUAUAUCUGAAAACGCAUGCUGAUAAUGCCCGGAAUGAUGAAUCUAACAAAUUAGUAGCCCAGAAUUAAAUGCAACCACAUUAUUGUGAAGAAUAAUUGGGCAUUGAAGGCAGCCAAAGAUGUGCCUAGUGGUCAAUGAAGUGGGUUAAGAACCAUGAGGUCUUAGGUUCAAACCCCCAGCGGAGAUUUAAAAAACAGUAGGCUAUUUCUUCCCAUUUGUUCUAGCCUUGGUGGAUAGAAUCACCUGACACCUGUUACUGGUGGGAGGUUGCAUGUAUCUUGUGGAAUUACUUAGGGUACGUGCAAGCUGGCCCGGACACCACAAAAAACAAAAACAACAUACCAAGUGUAAUCCCACAAACGGUGUCUAUGAAGCAGUCUUAUCAAAAGUGAAAAGCGCAAAAAAAGGCUCAAAGUUCUGAUGGGGCUUAAAGCGCAAAUAAAAGUGUGGGCUUCAAUGAUAAAAGGCACAAAGGGAGAAAAAGUACAAAUAUUUAUGUUUAGUCCAAGACUAAUAACUAUAAGCAUGAAUGACAAAUAUAUGAACAAAGAAAACGAUAAAGUGAUAUAUCAAUAGUUUAGUGUCGCCUCUUCAGCUGAGUCUCAUUGGCAAGGAAAAGUAUGCCUUAGAAACUUGAUGACGACAGUGAAGCGCACAGAAAGCGAGGCGAAGUGCUCAACACCUUUUGAGCUUCGCUUUAGGGCUCAAGCACGCCUUUGAUAACACUGCUGGGGAGGUUAGUGUUUACACAGACCUUACCCAUAUAGGUAGAGAAGUUGUUUUCUAUAGACUCCCGGCUCAAGAAACUCCAGUCCUAUGCAGCCCAGAAACAGAAGUACAUGGAACAACAGAGAAUAGCAAAUAGCAAAUAGUCACGGAAUGAAAACUACAACAAAAUAAUAGAAUAAUCGAGGUACAGGCAAAACAGAAGUAAAAAUAAAAAGCGGGGAUUGAAGAAGUUUGGCAAUCUAAGGAAUGACCCUACUUAAUGUACCUUCUAUAGACACAAAGAUAUUAGGUUGCUCAUGUGAAAGGAAAACAUUUUUAUGCAAUGCAACUUGGUUUUGCCUCUUCUAUUUUCUGUAUUUUUUCUUUCUUUUUGAGGUUUGUUCAUCAUAAAACUGAGUUGCAGAUGGAAACUUGUAGAGAUUGAUGCUGAUUUGCUGAAGCUGACCUCUGAAACGAAGCAUGUUAUGUCACUAAUAAAUCCUGCAAGUACCUACAUGGUAUCUUUCAAAUCAAUACCUCUAUGAAUAUGUCUCUGUUACUUUGUCAUUUUGAACCUCGAUCAAAUUGCAAAAUUAUUUUUUCCUUGCCUCAGGAUCUGAAUAUUGGUACUGCUCUGUGGUUGGCUGCUGGUGGUGAGGGUUGUUUGCAAGAUGAAACAGGCAACGAUGAUACCCGUGACCAUGUCAAGUACAAAUCUGCGGCUCGGAUUCUCCUAGUUGGUGCUGGGGCAGAUGAACAAUGUGCUGGAUAUGGUCGGCAUAGGACAAAAUAUAGAAACGGAAGGUGAAGUUUUCCUGUGUAUCAAUUUUUCCCAUCUCCCACCGUCUAAAAUAUAGAUUUGAGUAGAGUUUGGUGUGUAUUGAUAAUGUGCCAACAUCUUCUCUCUGUUUAAUACAUUCCCGUUAGACUCAUUGUUGUGAUAUCCACUGCAUCCCCGUUAUAUGUAGUUUUGCCUUCCUCAAAAGUACUUGGAGCAACUAACACUGGGAUGCAUUCACCUCUUGUUGAUAUAAUGUUGCUACUUACUCCUUCAAAGAAGUUGCUUAAAGAGGUAAUUGCUCAUGGUCUAAUCCGUGCUCUUUUGGUGCUGUAUCAGCUGGUUAGGUCUGAAUGAUGAAAUGAAACUAGAUAUGCAGAGGAUUUGGAAGAGAAACCUAGGGAGAGAUGACAGGUGUAUUGCUGACAAUGGGAAGGAGGUACUUGAAUUGCUUAAAUCGAGUACUUUCUUAUAUUAUAGUUACUUUCUGAAUUUAUUUUCUAUUCUUGCCAGGCCAGGUUCCCAUUCUUGGAUGAGGAUGUCAUCAGGAUUUUGCUAGAUAUUCCGUUGUGGGAGAUUGCUGACCUUGAUCAACCAAUUGGUAUUGGUGACAAGAAAAUCUUGAGAGAGGUUAUCUUCACCUCUGAGCUUUAUCUUAGAUUAGAUUUUGAAAUUGCAUUUAACAAUGAUUGAGAAUUGAUAGUCUUUAUGGUGGAUGUCGUAAUCCUUUGUUUAUAUCUGUACUCAGUGUUGCUUCCUCCCUCCCCCCUUCUGAAAUCUCUCGCUUAAAUAUUUUUCUCUUGCAGGUUGCACAUUUACUUGGUAUAUCUGAAGCAGCCUCUCUGCCGAAAAGAGCAAUUCAGGUAUAUAUUAUUUGCUCUUUAUCUGUCGUUGCGUCGAUAUUCUCUUACUCAUAUAUGAUUCACAAAAAGCCAUCUUAAUUGAGGAGUUUUGUUUCCAAAAUGCAUCAAAGUUGAUCGCGAUAAUUUCUUUUAAUCGUAUAAAGGUAUCACAAUAUAGAUCUCCUUUCCAUUCAUCCUCUGCACAGGCAGUUCUUGUGUGAUAAGAACUUUCUAUUAUGCUUGUCAUACUUUUGAUAUCCAUUUUGCCAAUAGAAUUAGCAUUCACAAUCAACUUGAUUAGAAUUUUACAUACCAUUUGUUGCUUGUUAGAGUAACAUUCUAAAAGUCUUAACAAUGACAAGUUUACUCAACUAUGCUUUAACUUUUUCUCUCAGUUUGGUUCAAGAAUUGCGAGAGAAUCAAAUCGGAAGAAUUUUGGAAGCAACCGUGCAGCCAAUCAAGCAUCUGCCGGAAGUGUGACAAUACAUGGGAACAACUCAUAAUCACGUUUAUAUAAACCAUAAAUCACAGUUCUUUUGCUGGAGCUUUAUCAACUCCAGGAAUCAGGACCACAAGUCAAGGUCGACAACACACAGCUGGUUUCAUAAUAUUUAUUCGAAUGAUGACGGAUCCCGCAUAUUAUUUUGAAUGACAGUUUUUGGCAGUCCAGGAUCUAGAUGCCAUCUCUCGUCUUCGUAUUCGAUACAGUGAAUACUUGUCUUUGAUCUUUUGGUUGAACGAUACAGUGGAGCACUCAGGUUUUCUCGGAAAAAUUAAGUAGAAUUAUUAGUCAAUGUAGUUUCUACUAGGUUGUGCCCAUUGUGUUUCAACUUUCUAUAGGGUCCCCUUUAAUUAUGUUGCACCUGGUGAAAAUAUCAAGCACACAACAUAUUUUUUCACUCGAUUGAUGCAUUUUCCCCCUUUGUUUGUUGUUUAUAUUAGUAAAUAAUAACGAGUUUUUUAACAUCUAAACUAACUAGUGUGUCAAGAUUAACAAAACUAAACAUGUCUUUACAACAAGAACGGCUCUUGGCUCAGUAAUAACAUCAGGGAUAUUAUUCAUAUUUUGUGAAGAUCGAGAAGGAAAUUAUGUUAUUCUUCUAUACUUUAAGGGCCAACUGACCAUGGCUUGAUGGAACAUACACGUACACCACUCUUAGAAGGAGUAGUAGUCGGUAACUCACCCAUCACAACUAAGUAUUACAAAAUGCAAGGCUGUUUUUGGUUUACCAGUGGCGACUGAUUCUAGUCUCUAGAUGUUACAACAACGUGCUGAUAGAUAUUCUCAUUUCCGAUAGACCCUAGCGAUUGACUAGAUAUUCAUUCUAGAUAUUACAAUAAUGACAUGCGAGACCAUUUUCUAUAGACCCUGGCGACUAACUAGAUAUUCAUUCUGGAUAUUACAACAAUGACAUGCAAGACCAUUUCCGAUAGACAUUCUGGAUGGUACAACAAUGACAUUCGAAACCGUUUCUGAUAUUCGGAGAAAAAAAAAAUGGAUUGAAAAAUUCAUUCUAGAUAUUACAAUAAUGACAUGUGAGACCAUUUUCUAUAGACCCUGGCGACUAACUAGAUAUUCAUUCUGGAUAUUACAACAAUGACAUGCAAGACCAUUUCCGAUAGACAUUCUGGAUGGUACAACAAUGACAUUCGAAACCGUUUCUGAUAUUCGGAGAAAAAAAAAAUGGAUUGAAAACGCUAGAAGGAGGGCUUGAACCUCCGACCUUGUGGUUAACAGCCACACGCUCUAACCAACUGAGCUAUUCCAGCUUAUAUAUUUGCUCUUGCCUAUUAUAUUAAUAUUUUGGUUCCAGUAAUUUUGAUCAUAAAAUUGUGGUUUAUAGCUACUAUUUUUUCAAUUAAAAUUUUUAUAUAUGUAACUGUUCUUAAAUAAAUUUUUUAGAAUUGUUGUUCGAAUUCAUACCAAAAAUUAGAUUCUUCAAUUUUUUUUUUAUUAAAUUCCAUCAAUCUUUUUCAGGAUAGAAGUAUAUUUAGUGAUAAAGAAAAAUCAAUUAAUUAAAAAUUUGUUCUCAUGAAAGCUUAUAAAGAAUUUAAAAAAUCUAUUUAUUUGUCAACAGAAAAAUGUCAAAAUAUUUUAAGGAAGCAGGUUGAUCUUAUUUCAAUAUUUGGAAUAACAUACUCAACCUAAUCCUAUAAGAGAAUAUGUAGAAAAUGAGACAUAUGCAAAUUUUUUCCUACCUUUGUUUCAAUUAGAUCAUGAGUUCAAAAAAAUAUAUAUUUUUCCAAAAAAUAUUUUGAUUUGUUUCUACGUUUCUUAUUAAUGGUCUUUUAUGUAUAUUCUUUCUAUCUUCAUUUAUAUGUAAUUGUUUUAAUGACAAUUCCUAAACCAGUAAUAGGAGUUCAUUCUAAAAUCACAAAACCUUCUCAAGAAAAUAGACUUAAACUAAUGCAUAAUCUUUUUUAUAAAGGUAUUAUUUUAAUUAAUCGAUGCACACUAUACUUCGAUUACUUCAUCGAGUAUCUACUAUUAGUCCACAUCAAUACAAGUGUCACACAUCAUUUUUAUUUAAAUUAUAAUUUUUUUAUACGCUUUAUUUACGGUUAAACUACACUUGAAAUAUGCUAAUCCAACAAUGUAACACAAAAAAAAGUGUCAUAUCAUUUUUACUGAAACUGUAAUUUUUUAUGCACUUUAUUGACGGUUACACCACUUUAAAUAUGUUAAUUGGGCAAAUGAAUCAAAAAGAAUUGUCACAUAUCAUUUUUAUUAAACUUUAUAAUUUUUUUUUACGCACUUUAUUGACGUUUACACUAUAUUUUAAAUAUACGAAUGCAACUAUAACCAAAAAAAAAAAAAAAAAAAAAAAGAAUGUGAAAGGAAAGGACGGAUAACAUGUUCAGUCACUUGUCUUUUGUUGCAUGGUACCAAUGAUUUUCAGCAUUGAUAAGAAUAUUUCGAAAAAUAUAUAUAUAUAUGAAUUAAAUAUUUUUAUGAAGCCACACUAACUCACUUGUCUUUUGUUGCAUGGUACCAAUGAUUUUCAGCAUUGAUAAGAAUAUUUCGAAAAAUAUAUAUAUAUAUGAAUUAAAUAUUUUUAUGAAGCCACACUAACUCACUUGUCUUUUGUUGCAUGGUACCAAUGAUUUUCAGCAUUGAUAAGAAUAUUUCGAAAAAUAUAACUAUACUUUAAAUAUGCUAAUGCGAUUAUAACAUACACACAAAAAAAUAAAUGUAAAAGGGAAGGCCGAAUCACAUGUUCAGCACUAGUCUUUAGUUGCAUGGUACCCAUGAUUUUCAUCAGAGUUUAAGUUCUCUGCACCGUUAGUACACAAAAUAUUUUAUACUAUCAGUUAACUUGACCUGCUAUUAUAGAUUAAGAUAACCUACAAUAGCAAGUCAAUUUUACCUGAUCGUGUAGAAUAUUUUGUACUCUGAUGGUGUGCAAAACUUAAAUUCUUUUCAGCAUAUUUAGGUAAAAAACAAAUUAAAAUCACGAUUGAACUACUAAAUAAUAAAACAUCAAGAAUAUUUCAAAAAUAAAAAUUAUGAAAUAUCAUAAUUUUUAUGAAGCGUUACAUUAGCACUUUGAAUGUGCUAAUCACACAAAAACAAAAGCUAAAGAAAACAAUACGAGAGUGAAUUUUUUCUUACCCACUUUAUUAACAGUUACGCCACACUUUAAAUAUGCUAAGGCGACUACAACACAUACCAAAAAAAAAAAGACACACACAAUGUGAAAGGGAAGGGCGGAUCACAUGUUCGGUCACUAGUCUUUAGUUGCCUGAUUUUCAGCAUAAAUAAGAAAAAAACAAAUCAAAAUCAUGACUUAAUUACUAAAGAUAAAACAUCAAGAAUAUUUCAAAAGAAAUUAUGAAAUAUAAUAAUUUUUCUGAUAAUAUUCAUAUAUAUUUUUAUUAAAAGUUUGAUUUUCUAACUUUUUGAUCUGAUGACUUAGAUUUUUCAAGUAUUAAUUCCUUCAAAUAUUUUUGAUUUCUAACGGAGAAAGAGUCAAAAACAACUUUCAUAUUUAAAAAAUGGCUCAAAAAUAUCCUUCUUCCACCUUUUACUUAAAAGAAAAUUUUACUCUUAUUGUUGGCUCAAUCAUAUAUAUAUUCAAGACAUGAUACUAUUGUUUUAUUUUUAUUAGGAUCUUAAUAAUCUAGUUGAUUGACUAUGAUUUAAAUUUUUAUUUUAUUGAUGAAGAUUCGAUUUUUCACCUUAUAAUAUCUUGCCUUAUUUCCUUACCUUGCCCCAAAUAUAAUAAGAAUUUUUCUAAGAAAAAAUGCUUUAUGUAUGGUAGGUAUAUUUUAUUUUUUUUCCCUUGAAGAGUUAAAACUAAGACUGUUUCAAGAUAAUUCGAAGAAAAAGAGAGAACUUUGAUGUUUCUUCAAAUGAAACUUUAAGAGGUUGUCUAAAAUAAAAAUUGAGUAGCAUAAUAAUAUGGUUCCCUUGAAGCCUUUAAAUUACUCUCCUAAACUAAUUAAAGGCUCCUUUGUAAGACUCCUUCUGACUUAAUUUAGUUGGUAACUUUUUAUUUUACAAGGUAUUUACGAAAUCAUAAAUAUUAUUAUUAAUUUUAUUAAUUUACUCUUUAUUCUUAUGUGCAUAUGAAGAUCAUUUAUGAAAAUUUGCUUACAUUAAAUUGUUUAAGCAUCUAAAGAAUAUUACUCAUUUCCUCCAAUAAUAGUUGUCCACUAUUAACUCAGGGCCGGCUCUACCUGUAAGAAAAAAAAGUGUCCGCCUUAGACCCCCAAAUUUGAGGGACCUCAUUUAUUACAACAAUAUAAUAUAUAUAGAUUUUUUCUAAAAAAAAUGAAUAUUACUUAUAAAAAAAUAUUUUUUUUUAUAUAAAAGAAAAAAAAUUAUUAGAAGAAGUUCAUAUAUCUAGAGUACUAUGGCUCAAAAAGAUUAAAUGCAUUGAUUAUAUUAUUACUUAAAAAGAAUAAUUAGAAAAAAAAUCGAUUAAAUAAUUUUGAAAAUAGAGUUCAUUAAAAGAAAGUUACUUUGUCUUAAAAUUUUAAGGUCUCCCUUUGAUUUUUGCCUUAAGCCACGAAUAUGCUUGAGCCGUCCCUAUAUUGACUUGACACACAAUUUAAGAAAUAAUAAAUAAUAAAAAUGAAUUUACCAUAUUAUCCUUUGAAUAUUUAUUAUUUUGACAAAUACAUUGCAUUAUGAAUGGAGUAUCAUUUAAUACUAAGGGUAAAAUAAGCCAAAAAAAGUAAGUGGGCAUUUGGCCAUAAAAUUUAAAAUUUUUGAAGUUGGAGUUGGAGCUGGAGUCGAAGUUGAAAUUAAAGUUGGAGUUGGCGUUGUAUUUGUCCAUGAAUAUAAUUGGAGUUGCUUUUGAAUUUUCAUGAGAGAAGAAAGAUGGAAAAAAGUGAAAAAAACUUUUUCUUGUUUUCCAUUUUUCCAAAUACAACUCUAGGUUGUGUUUGAAAUUCUCAUGGCCAAACACAACUUGAAGUUGAAUUUGACAUAAAGUGAAUUUUUUUUCGAAAAAGUGAAAAAAAAAUUCAUGGACAAACAGACAUAAAUUAUCCAUUCGUUUUUCAAACUACGCAAGUAUUGUUGGACAUCUGCUUUUAGUAUGGUGGAUAAGUAUAGUUAGGCAGAAGGAGUAAUUAUAGAAGUAAAAUGGAAUAUUUUUAAUAAUUUUGUCUUGAUUUAAUAAGUGGACAAAUAAUUUAAGAUAUGAAUUUAUAAUAAAGUGACCAAUUAAAAUGGGACAGAGAAAGUAUUCUAAUAUAUAUAGAAGAGGCUUGGAAGCAGGAGGAGGUCGUCAUACUUGCUUCCUCCGUAAUUUACCAUAUCACCCCUAAUUAAUUAUUAUAUGUCAUUUAGGUAUUAAAAAAUUAAUAAUAUUUAACAAAAAUAUAAAAUAGACUUUUAUGACAUGUCCGUUUCAGCUGCUUCAACCGUAAUUUUACUAUUUCAUCCUAAUUAAUUACUAUAGGUCAUUUAAGUAUUAAUCCGUGAUUUUACUAUAUCACCCCUAAUUAAUUAUUAUAUGUCAUUUAAGUAUUAAAAAUUAAUAAUAUUUAACAAAAAAUAAAAUACACAUUUAUGACAUGACUGCUUCAGUUGCUUCAACCGUAAUUUUAUUAUUUCAUCCCUAAUCAAUUACUAUAACUCAUUUAAGUAUUAAAAAAUUAAUAAUAUUUAAUAAAAAAUAUAAAAUAAACAAAAAAAAAAGAUAAACAAACUAGUGAAGUUUUAAAUUAAUUUGACAUCUUAUAUAAGGCCUGUCUAAAUUUUUUUCACAACUGUUUUUUAUAUUAAUUUUGUUAUACCACUUCUAAUAAGUUAUUUCCUAAUUGAUUAUUAUAUGUUUAAUAAAAAAAUAAAAUAAACAAAAAAAAUAUAAAUUAAUUAUUGAUGUUUUAAAUCAACUUGACAUCUUAUAUGAAGCCCGCUUAAAUUUUUUUGACAACUAUUUUUUAUAGUAAUUUUAUUGUAUCACUUCUAAUAAGUUAUUAUGAGUCAUUUAAGACAUGUCUACUUCGAGACUUCAAUCAUGAUAUUUGAUUGACUCUCGAAAUUCUAUCAGUGUCACUAAAAUUGAAAUAAAAGAAAAAGUAUUAUAAAUUUCAAUAAUUAAAAACUUAAAUUAUUCUCAAAAUAUUAUAGACUAUCAAUGUUACAAAACUUUGGACAAGGAGAAUAUUAUAAAUUAUAAUGGCUAACAAUUUAAAAUAGUAAAUUACAAUGUCAAAAAACUAUUAUAAAUUACAAUAGCUAACAACUUAAAAUAUCUACAAAAAUAUUUAAAAGAUAAUUAAUUAUCAAAAUUUUAUUUGUAUCAUAUAAAUUGAGACUAAAAAAUAACAUAUAUUGGCACGGGCCUUCGAUAUCUGGUAGAAUUAGAAGGAAGCAUAAGAUGUGUCCAAGAUCAAGUGCCAAAGGGCUCAAUGAUUUGUUUUAUGGGUGAGUUUUAGUUUAAUUCCGAAUUAAAAAAAAGGAAAAAAGAUAGAAACGACACUUCAAAUUAAAUUAUUUUCAUGAAAAUGACCAUGAAAUUUAAUUUCCACGUUCUAGCCAUUUCAAUUUAUUGAUUUGUUCUAUCUCGUUUCUACACACCUUCUAUACAGUUUCUACACAAAUCUUAUACAUAUAAGUAUUCCAUACGAAAAUUAUAUAGUUUUGAUACACAAUUUAUACAAUAACUGUACAUAUUUUUUUACACAUUUUAUACAACAAUUAUAUAAUUUUCAUACACUUUCUAUAUAUUUUUUAUAUAUAUUUAAUACAUAAACAUAUUUGAUAGAACUAUGUAAUUUAUAUACAUAUAUCUUAUAUUGAUACAUAUUCUAUUUAACAAUUAUAUCAUUUUUAUAUAAUUUAAUUAUUAUUUCUAAACAAUAAAAAAAAGAAUAUUUGAUCAGUUAAAAAAUUUAUAGCAAAAAAAAAUUGAAAUAGUUUUAAAAGGGCCGAAUUUCCCAAGUUGAAUAUUGUAUCAGUAUUGUAUAUAGACUGUAUCAGUAUUGUAUAUGGACUGUAUAUGAACUACGUAGGUCAAAAUGACCCAAAUUAGGAAAUGACUAUAAAACAAAAAUAGUAUAUCCGACUGGCCACUCUUUGAAAAGUUUUCAAACUUGGGUUAUUUGUUUUAAAAAGUGUUAGAGAGUGUCCUUUUUCCUUAAAAAAUGGUAAAUUAUAACACCUUAUAUAUCUAUUUAAAAGGUGAAAGGAGAAUAUUUGAGAUCUCAUUUUCAUAUGUCAGGGUUAUUUUGACAUUUUCUGUAAAUAGAAAUAACUGAUUUGAAAAAAUUGAAAUUAAAAAUGCAAAAAGAAAUAUUCAAAAAUAGGAAAACUAAAAGAGAAUGGAUGUACGAUAAAAAACUAAAAAGGAAAAAAUCAAAACAAAUAGAGUAGUGUUAUGAUAUAUAUCAAGGAAAAAUUGCAGUUUAUAGAUAAAAAUCUUUUAUAAUUACAUGGUAUGGACAAUGUUUUAAAUAAUUACAAUUCAUGAGUAAUUGUUAGUUAAAAUUCUAUUUUAUGUGGCUCAUUUAUACAAAUAUAUUUUCUAAUGUAUAUAACAAAGGCAAAUUAAAUUUUCUCUCUCAUAAUUAAUAUUUUAUCUCAACCUUAGCUGGUAGGAGAGAUAUGCGGCAAUAGGUAUUUCCUUUUAUCUUAUUGGACGUUAUGGAUAGUAGAAGCUAAAAUUUUGUGAUAAUCUCCUCUAAGUUUUAUGCUCAAGAUUGUGAUAAUCUCAAAAUUUUGUUCCAUUGAAAUAUCAAAGAAUAUAUUUCUGACUAUUUCUUCUCCCUAAUUUUCUCAAAUAUUGUGUUCUUCACCCACACAUUAUCUGUUUUUUGUCCAUUGAAGAUUACGUUGAAGCUUUGUUCAUCCCUAAAAAUUUGCAUAGAUUUGAUUUAAAAAAUUUUUGCGGUAAAUUUCAUAUCUUUACGGAUAUAUAUGUUUGUUUUUCUUGUUUUUUUAAAGUUAUUCUCUACAUUACCCACCAAUUUUAUUCAGUUUUUUAUAUAUUUACAGUGUUAAUUAGGUGUUCAAGUAAUCAAUUUCUAGUUUUCCAAAUGGAUGGGGAAACCCCUUUUAGGAGAGUAACAAGAGAUAUUGUUCAUAUAGAUAAGACUAAUUGUGGUACUCUAUCGUUUGAUUUGGGGGUUUCUCAAUUGGACAGUGAUAGCGUAGGUUUUAUAGCGGAAUUGAAAGAACACAAGUUGAAAGUAGACUCGAAGAAAAAGUGUCAAUGACCAUGUUAAUAUUCGAAAUAGCAUGGUAGAUUGUCAAUCAAAAGACGAGUUAAUCAACGCUUCAAAAAUAUCAAUGGUCAGUACAAGUGAAUCAAAAAAAAGGAAAAGAAAUGGCAACUUCUAACAAUAAUGUAAGAGUAAAAUAUUUCAAGGUUUAUCAAUUCAAAGCGGAGAGUAACAAUGUUGAGAUUCAACAUAAGGUAUUUUUGUAUAUUUAUCAAUUAAUUUUUUUUGUAGUGUAGUUUGUUUAGAAUGUCAUAAUGUUAAGGUUUUGUAUGUGUACGUUUAUAUUUGGUGUAAAGAUAUAUACAUAUAUCGACAUCAUACAGUUAUCAUUAUGUAAAUAUAACCAUAUAUGUAAAUAUAUACAUAUAUACAUACAUACAUACAUAUAUAUAUAUAUAUAUAUAUAUAUACAUAAAGUUAUACAUAUAUUUAAUUCGGUCAGCAUAUAAAAUUUUUAUAUGUUUAAGAUAUAUAAUUGUAUACAAUUAGUUUCAGGAUGAGGCUUUAUAUAUAUUUUAUAAUUUUUUUCUUGAUCAUUUAUAUUCUUUUUGGUUGAUCAUUUGUGUUUUUUUGGUUCAAUAGGAUAGUAGUUUUAUCAUCAUAGAUCUUUCUAAGAAGUCCCCGUAUGUUGCGUGUUAUGUGAAGUCUUCAUUGUUGCAUAUGCGGAGUAUCUUAGCCAUGAAAAAGGUAUACCACCUGAAUAUUUUGGUGCAGAAGCUUUUCGUACCCGUUAUGCUGCUCUUCUAUGGCAGCAUGGAACUCAGAAGAAUGAGAUUGACGCAGUUAGUGAUGAUGAGAGUUCGGAUAGGCUAGUGAGGCCUUAGUUUGAGUGUGAGAGUAGUGACAUGAUAAUUAUCCCUUAGACAGUACAUAUGUUCCUCCAUUUUGUUAGUUUUAAUUGAAAAUACAAACUGAUCUUCAACCUUUUUUUGUUUAAUUCUAAUAUCAAAUAUAAUAUUUUAUUUUAUUGAAAAUUGUCCAGUAACGUAUUUUUUGCAAUGCUACAUUAGUUUUUGUUAUAAGUGUGUUGUCUAAAGAAUACUAAUAAUACACAUAAUAAUGUGUAUGUAUUAGAUAAUUGAAUAUGUCUCAUAGAUGAGACAUGUAACACGUAUUUAUAAUAGUCUUUGCCUUUUUAGCAAUUGAAAUCUCUAUUGAUUAGUUAGUGUUUGUUUAUAAUUAUACAUUUAUUACGAAAAACUUUUUUUUUUUUUAUAUAAAACUUUGUAUAUCUAUAGGUUAUUAAAAUAAGUCAUGAUGGUAUAUUACCAAUCUUUUCAAUUGUUAUCUAUAAGUAAAUACCAUAUUUUUAAAUGCACAAAUUCAAUCUCUUAAGUUGCGACUGACAUUUAUUUUGACCCAUAUACUAUCUUGUAGAAUAUGGUCUACAUACAUACAUAUACAUAUAUACAUAUGAUAGAUUAAAUGAGGGUUAAAACCAACUGCAUAUUACUUUAGACCGCAUAUAUGGUUAACGACUGCAUUACUGAUAUUUUAUUUAUACAUUUGGAGCUAUUCAAAUAAAAGUUAAACAUAAACAAAUUAAAAUUUAUACAGUUAUAUAAGUAUAUUUAUAUACAUAUAUACAUAUCAACUGACAUUCCUACAUAUAUACAUACAUACAUACAUACAUAUCAACUGUAUGAAUAGAAACAUAUAAUAACAACUGUAUGUAUCUAAUUAGAUAAUAAUAGGAAUAAACUUAAUAAACUUAUCCAUAUUAUAUAUACAUAAAUACAUAAAUAAAUAAGUAUAUUUUUAUCAUAAGACAAAAUCAUGUACAAAAUAAAAACACAAAUACUUUAAUACGAUAAAUAUACUUACCCGACAAUAAUUGAUUGUAUUGUAUUGAAUCGAAAUCUAUUUCUGAUCGCAUAAAGCGUCGUCACCGAAUUUAAAGUGGCUUUGUCCUUAUAAACUUGACCAACGAGCACUUCGUUAUGAUUUGGAUCAGAAAUAAUUAUCCGAUCAUGUCCAUUUAUAUCAACAACUUCAAUUAAUGCCUCAUCAUCUCCGGAAUUCUCUUUUUUCUCAUUAACAACAAAAAUUUCGCAUGCAACAUUCGAGCAAGCGCUCUUGUUUUCCAUGAUUUUAUCAUAUACAGAAACACAUAAUGGAUAGUUUUUGAAUUCUUUUUCUUAUUUCCGUACCAUUACAUAAACUGUCAACCCCAUGUCGUUACGUAUCUCCAUUCUUUUACUGCUAAAUUAAACUUUAUAGUCAACUUUCAAUAUUUUUAAAUUCAACUCAAUACAAAGUUGCUUACCAAUCAAUUAAAUCAAACCAUCGGAUUUUUCUGUUUCUUCAAUUGCAAUUGAGUCCGACUCAUACUGUUCAUACUCAUUAUAACAGCUUCAUACGCCUGAAUGCUUCAGAACAAUUAGUAAUUACCCCAUCCUUUUUUAAAAAAUUCUGUAAACAAAUACAGUAUACAAAUUGUCAGUAACUGUGAAUUCAAAAUAAACUAACAAUUAUAAGGUUUCAAAAAUUGUAAAAAUUCAUGUGUUAGAUCACAAAUUGAAAUGGCAGUAUAGAUCGUGUAUACAUUAACGAAAAAUAGUGAAUCAAAAUAUAUUGAAAUUCAUAUAAUUUAGCCAAAACAAUAAAAACACAAAUAUAAGCGCAAAUACACAAUUUUAAUUUUCAAAAAAUCGUCUUUCAAGAAUUUUUAAAUGAAAUUUGAAUUGAGAAAAUACCUGUUAAAAUUUGUUGUCGAAUAACUUCUCUUUCUUUCCAACAUAAAUCUUUUUAGCUUUAAUACAACCAUCUUCGCAGAUAAUAAGCUUUACUGCUCAGUAAUGGAUGAGAAAUUAGUGGAAAGUUGGAUUAAUUUAAGGUAAUUUAUUGCUUUCAAAUUUCCUUUUUUAUCUCCUAUUUCAGUUAGGUUAUUUUUCUUCUAAUUUAUAUAAUUCUUGUAUAUAUACAAAUAACUAUUAACUACUUUUACCUAUAAUUUGUAAUUAUUGUAACUUUCACUAGGAAGUUAGUUAUAGGUCUUAUACUUUGCCUAUAUGUGAAUUUUUACCAUAUAUCAAUUAUAGCGAAUGUCUAUCAAGAUCUAUUUGUUGUCUAUCAGGAUUUGAUGAAUUUGUCUUUUAGUGUGAAACUAGGGGGCAAAUUUCCUCUAUACGUAGAAAAGCUUCCUUCAUUGUAAAUCAUCCCUCAAUAGAAGAAAUAAGAAUCACUCUCUCUAUUCUCUCUAUUCUUCUACUUAUUCUUUAUUGGUUUAUAACACGUUAUCAGCACGAGACUCUACCGUCUCAAAUUUGAAGGUUAAGGCUAAGGUAUUAUUAUUUUUCUUCCAGUUUUUUUUAUGGCUAACAAUCUUACGAAGUGUGAGUUCGUUGCCCUUCAAAGUUCAGGCAAGAACUAUAUUUCAUGGGUGUUGGCUGUUGAAAUUCACCUAGAUGCUAUGGGUCUUGGAGACGCCAUAAAAAAUAAAAAUACAGCAUCUAGUCAAAAUCGUGCUAAGGCUAUAAUUUUCUUGCGUCAUCAUCUUGAUGAAGUUUUGAAAAUUGAGUACCUUACUACUAAGGAUCCACUCGUAUCGUGGAAUAGCCUAAAAGAAAGGUUUGACCACUUAAAGAUGGCCAUCCUUUCGAAAGCACGAUAUGAGUGGAUGCAUCUAAGAUUUUAAGACUAUAAGUCUGUUCAUGAAUACAAUUCUGCCAUGUUUAGAAUUUCUUCUCAAUUGAAACUAGGUAGAGAGACGGUUAAUGAUGACGAUAUGAUGGAAAAAACACUCUCCACUUUUCAUGCCUCGAAUAUGCUAUUACAGCAGUAGAAUCGAGAAAAAGGUUUCAAGAAGUAUACUGAACUGAGUUCUCAUCUUCUCAUGGAUGAACACAAUAAUGAUUUGUUGAUGAAAAAUUAUGAGAACCGACCAACUGGAUCUGCACCAUUCCCUGAGGUGAGUGAUGUGCACGCUCACCAUGCUAGGCGUGGAAAAGGUCGCAGCCCUGGUCGUGGACUUGAUCGUGGUCUUGGUUGUGAUGACCAAGAAAGAAACCCUGUUACGGGUGUUAAUCAUUCAUCUAAUAAAAAGAAAAAAGAUGAGAACGUGAAACAAUUACUUAUUUCUGAUGUGGUGGAAAAGGACACUAUUCACGUGACUGUCGUGCUCUCAAGCACUUAGUGGAACUUUAUCAAGCAUCACUAAAGAAGAAAGAGAGAAAUCCCGAGGCUAACUUUCUCUCUGAAAAUAAUGUUGAUAUCACAUGCUUAGAUGUAGCUGACUUUUACGAGCACCCUUAAGGAAAGAUUAAUCACUUGAUUGGUGAUAGUUCCGUAAACAUGGAAGAAUGGAUGCUUUUAAUUUUUUUUAAUUGUUGAUAAGAGUUAGAGAAUAAAAAUCAUGUAAAAGUAGUUGUUUGCAUGAGUAUUGAUUUUUAAUUCGUAUUGUCACACCCCUUUUUUAACAACAAAAAAGAUUCAUUUUAAGUUUGAAAAGAGUUUUUAUUACUAAAGUGACAAGAGAUUGAAAAUUUGUUUCGAAAAAAAAAAGAAUUAUUUAUAUUUUUUAUUCAGAGUCGCCACUUGACAUAAUCCGGCGUGUCAAGUCACCUUUGAAAGAUCCUUUUCAAAAUAAUUUUUGACUCUUUUAAACUGAUCCGCGAACAGAGAUUCCGGUUAAGGAAUUCUGUUGACCGAGGGGAAGGUGUUAGGCACCCCUCGAUCCCGUGGUUCGACCACGAUCGCUUGGUGGGGCAUAUCGGCUAAUUUGACACUACAAAAUGUAUAAACCACACAAAAACAAUCAAUCAAACAAACAAACAAAACAAAUCUGAAAAUAUAGUGUCCAGUCCAAUUAUUACAAACCAAAAUAAAAAAAAGGUACUGAAAAUUAAACCUACGCUAACCUACACUAAUCCUAAACUACGCUCCAAUGACUUACUUGCUGCUUCAAGCCUUGAUCAUGAGCCUGCUUUGCGUACACAAUGCUUCGGGACAUUCCCCGAUGAAUAAAUACAAAUGACCACGGGACAUUCCCCGCCUAAAUGAAUAUAUAUUCAAAUCUUGUGCGAUAAAGUAGAAAGAAACAUUCAUAAGCACACUCAAUCAUUCAACAAAACACCACCAAAAAUUUGCCUACCCGACUUAGUAUUUGCCUACCCCACUCGACUUAUCAUAAUACUAUCAAGUUUGAUUAACAUUUAUUUCAAGUCAAACAAUAACUCAUGAAUCAAACCAACCAAAAUUUACCCUUUUUUUUUAUCAAGUUUCAAUUCCACCCCCAAAUUCCUUUUUAAUUCUUAACGAGAUAUCAUUUCAUUACACAGUCUAUAACCAAACAACGAAUCGAAACUAACAACUAUUCAUUGCCAACAAUGAUCAACCAACACAUAAUAUUUCAUACAAUGCACCAAAAAUCACAAAUAAUGAAAUAAAAGGAAAAGAAAGUAGAAUUGGACCUCAAUUUGAAGCUUUAUUUCAAUUAAUUGAUCUUUCCUAAUAGAACCACGUCCAAACAGAACCUCAAUGUUGGACCUCAAUCACGAACCCAAAUCAACAACUUUGAUCUCAGACUCCAAUUCACUCGGACCCAAUUGCGAGCAAGGCUCCGUGAAGAACAAACAAAAACAAAAAAAUCAAAAUCGAGGCUCCGAAUGAGGAAAAUCGAAAGCCGGUAUGACUGUUUCCAGAUGAUAGUUAUCUAGAAUCAGCCUGAAAACGACCAAUUCAAACCAGUGGUGACCGGAAUUAAAUGUUUUUUGGUGAAAGGAUGCUAUUUCUGGCUAAGAACGCCAGAACAAUCAAACCCCAUCCCUUUUCUCUCCUCUUUCGCUCAAAUAUCUCCUUCUCCUCUCUGUUUCUUCCUUGCUCCGACCAUUUCUCUCUCUACUCUAUGUGUGUGUGCAGCAGUAGAAAAAGGAGAAGAAAAAUGAAGUCCUCCACAAUGGCCUCCCCUUUUCUGUGAAAUCGCCUAUAUCUAUGGGUGUAUUUGAGAGAUGCACGCCUAUGGCAUAUUCUGGGUCCCCUCCAUUGUUAUGUGGAGUGUAUUGUAUAUAAAAUGGAAAUGGUGAAGUGUUAUAUGGUGGACAAAUUUCAGUGGGGCCCGUGAGUGGAAAAUGUAUAUUGUAUUUAUUGUUAAUGAAAAAAGGCCAUCAGUAGUGGUCCCUCCCUAUGCCUAUAUGCUGCACAAGUAUAUAUUCUGUGAAGCCCUCCAAAAACGUGAGGAUGGGUAGCGAGGUGGGGGUAUACGGGUAGAGAGGGUGGGGUACAGGUGUGGGGUGUGAGGUGGGGUAGUGGUGAGGUGUAAAAAAUUAGUUAGGAUAAGAUUAAAUUUGUUAUGGAUUUGAUUAUUUUUGUAUUUUUGUGGGGUGUGAUCACAUGGGCGAGGGUGUAUGAUAACAUGAGAUAAAAAUAGACGAAUUGAGUUUUCGUUUGGGACAAAAUUAGGUGUCUAUAUCAUGCCCCUCUUUGCAUGUAAACACAAAGUAUUUUCAUACAAAGACGUAGACAACGAGAUAGAAUUUUGAUCGGACCAUUAUUCAAAGGAAACAGAAGGAAGGAGGGAGACCAAGUCUUGAUUUAGGACACCCUACCUACCCAAAUUAUGAGGGAAUCAAGUCAUGGGUAUCUUAAAGGAUUGGAAAGAGAAGACUAUACCAAGUUGGAGAGUCAAGUGAGGUUCCAUCGAGGUUCUGGUAUGCGGCUCUGUCAUUACAUCAAAAAAUGAAAAUUAAAAGUUAAAAACAUAAAUGAAAUUAAAAAAGCUCUAUCUAUGCAGAUUUCCUUGACUCUUGACUUGCUACUUCAUCACCCUAUUCUUCAGGCGGGCUCCUGACUUGCAAUUUCUUCACCGUGUUCUUCAGGCAGGAUCCUGACUUGUAAUUUCAUCACUCUAUUUUUUGGGUGAGCUCCCGACUUACAAUUUCAUCACUUGUUGCUUGUUUUUUAAUUUCUUCACCCUAUUUUUCAGGCGGGUACCUGACUUGCUAAUUUUUGAUUUGCUGACUUUUAAUUUCUUCACUUUGUUACUUGACUUCCAUGUAUUCGCCCUGUUCUUCAGGUGGGCUCCUAAAAUCACAUCAGAACUAAAAAAAAUUAUCCCAAACAAAGAAAUGCAUCUUCUAUGAGUUAAUUGAAACGAUUCGAUUAGAAGCUAUAUCUUAUAGGAAUCAAAGGGGAUGACUCAACUAAAAGGUAAGUCUAUAGGAAUCAAAGGGGAUGACUCGACUAAAAGGUACUUCUUAUAGGAAUCAAGGGAAUGACUCGACUAAAAGGUACGUCUUAUAGGAAUCAAAGGGGAUGAAUCAACUAAAAGGUACAUCUUAUAGGAAUCAAAGGGAAUGACUCAACUAAAAGGUACGUCUUCUAGGGGUCAAGGGGAAUGACUCGACUAAAAGGUACGUCUUCUAGGGGUCAAGGGGAAUGACUCGACUAAAAGGUACGUUUUAUAGGAAUCAAGGUGAGUGACUCGACUAAAGGUACGUCUUAUAGGAUUCAAGGGAGAUAACUCGACUAAAAGGUACGUCUUAUAGGAAUCAAGGGGGAUGACUCGACUAAAGGUACAUCUUCUAAGAGUCAAGGGAUAUGACUCGAUUAAAAGGUACGUCUCAUAGGAAUCAAAGGUAAUGACUCGACUAAAAGAUACGUCUUAUAGGAAUCAGGAGAAUGACUCGACUAAAAGGUACGUCUGAUAGGAAUCAAGGGAAUGACUCGACUAAAAGGUACGUCUGAUAGGAAUCAAGGGAAUGACUCGACUAAAAGGUACGUCUCCUAGGAGUGAAGGUUCAAUUUAAGAAGUGUAUCACCUAGCAAAUGAAAACUGAAAUUCCUGGACAAGUGUGUCUUCGAGGGAUAUAGGAUGAUGAAUUUUUACCAUGAUUUUAUUAUCAAACCUGUGCAGCAAAAUUGCUUCCUACAUUUGUAAAAGUGAGGCAUUGCAGCCCUUGAUGUUUAUGCUUUGAAUUCCCUGCUUUAAAGGUAAUACGUUUCCUGUUUAAUCAAAGAAAACUUGUGAGUUUAAAACAUGGUGGCUGGUUUGUGGCUUUAGCUUUCACGACGAUCGCUCUGGCCCUCGUCACUUUUAACCUUACUUCCAACCAUUAACAUAUAUCAUUGACUUGUUGAAUCAUUGACCCGAACUCAGAUUAUUAAGAGUGACUGAAACAAAUACAGUAUCUCUUCUUUGCCAUGCUUUUCAGAUAAACCCUUUAAACCUUGGUAUUUUUAUGAGUUCCCAAGCUUGUCUGUUGACAAAACUUUCUGCAUGCCUUAUUUGGCUCACAAUCAUGUCUCUUUCAUAUGCUGAGUUUGUCUUACUUUGUGCAACUGAAGAAGCUGGUAGCCAGUUUUGAAAUCUUUUCUCACUUGUUUUGUCAUGGACUUGACUCAAAGACACGAGAAAAAUGACAAUACUUUUUUUUAUUUAGAUAACUGACUCAAGAAAAUAAAAAUAAAAAUAAAGAUAAAGAGAAGAAAGAAAAGACAAUGAAUAUCCCCAUUUGAAACAAAGAAACAAAAAAUUUAUCUAAAAUGACAAUCAACUCUAAUGAUUAUGCCAUGCAUUUGGAUUAAGCUGCCUGAUUUUUCAUCCAAACUUUCACCAAUUGUUGUUGAGCUAAUGACCUUGAAAUUGAGGUACUUCCUUGGGUCAAUUGCAUUCAGAGACCUCAUUCGGCUAGUUACACCUUAAAGGGUUUUCGCCAACAAGCCUCUCUUAUUUUCUUUCUCUCGGCUCACCAUUGUCUUAUGGUAUUCGUGAGGUUUUUUCACCAAUGAGAUUCUCUAAUUUUUAUUUCUCUCAACUCACAGUCGUCUUACGGUGCCCGUGAGGAUUUUCACCGAUAAGACUCUCUUAAUUUUUGUCUCAACUUACCAUCAUCUUACAGUGCCCGUGAGGGUUUUCACUGAUAAGACUCUCUCAUUUUUAUUUCUCUCCUAAUUCUUUAUGCUGAGGAAGACAAGUAGUUCCCAAAAUGCGUCACCACAUCCAUUACAUGCUUAGCCUUAGCAUUUUCAAAGAUUGAUCUGAAGGUCUUUCUUUAGUUGUAGCUUGACUUUUGGAUAGGGUUAGAAAGAAAGGAUGGCAUGGGGCCCAAACUACAGUUGAAGUAGGGUGGGACUUACAACUUUUGGAAUCGACUCAAACAAUGAGGAUUAACCCAUGCCCCAGUUUCUUUUGACUGGGCAAUUCUAAAUUAUUUAUUUGGUUGGAUCGAGCCCAGAUUAGGGUAGCCUAUGUAUCUCACCCCUGAGAGAGGAGAAUCAGGUCACGCGUAGUUCGGCAACUUGUUCUUUUGCUUGAUUCUGAUUUUUUUUGCUAUACUCCUUUAUUGACUUUUUUCUCUUUGAAACUUUCUGACUCUAUUUUUCUCGACACUCCUCUUUACUUUCUUUUUGGACAUAUUUUCUUCUUUUUUUUUCUUUUUUUUUGAAACUUUUCUGACUCUACUGUUUUACUCGAUACUUUUCUUUUGAGUUUUGUUGACUCUAUCUUGAUUCCAAAAAAGGGGUAUGAAAGAAAAUAACACUAAGGCUCAAAUGGGGUAAACAAAGGAUGAUACAAUAUUUGAAUACCAGAAUGAAAUGCCUUCGUCAUAUCAAUCUUUGAAAAUGCCAGUACAUAGCAUGCAAUGUGAAAGUACAUGAUCAAUAUCACUUAUGACAUAUUUUACAACACUAACUUGCCCUGAGCAUAUGUGCCACCUCUUCUUCUACACUUGUCAAACAUACAACUCCACCUUUGUUGUACCUCCCUCACAUUGAAUGAUUUAUGGUUUCAUGGAGUUGGUUUUUGUUCUGUUCCUCGGGAGCACACAUUCGCUAUUUGACCUAAUUGAGCUAGGUUUUUCAAUUGAUGACCAAGUUAUUCUUGUGAUUCUCAAAGUAAUUGCCUUAAUUUUUGAAGAAGGCUUCAACUUGUCACCAAAUGUCUCAACACUCCACCUAUUUUCUCAGAUAUUUUUCCUAACUUUAGCCCUAUGAUUCAAUGUUUCAUGGUUAAGUUGGAUUUUAAGAUCUGGCUGAAAAUUCUGCUAGCAUGUCAUAUCACUAGAAUCAACAUAAAAUGUACUGUAUAAAGAAAACAAACAAAUGAAACAUAUUUAAACACAAAGGGAAAGGGACAAUUCAUUUAGUUGAAAUAAAAGAUAGAAGGGUUUGAACAUAAAUGACAAAGGGACAAAAGAAAAUAGAUCCCGAACUACAAACCUGAAAUAAUUUGGAAAAUAGAAAAGAAGACAAAACAAACUACCAAAUCUCUUCCUAGUAAGGAGAUGGGUGACUUCUCAAUUGCUUAGCCUGAUGACUUAGCCACUGGUUUGCAUAUCAGUAUGACUAGAACUUCCCUAACUGUCAACGUUCUGCACCAUAAUCGAUCCAUCUUGAAUCAUCUUUUUGAUUUUUUUUGCAAAUCUCGACAAUCUUCAAUACUAUGACCCUGAGCAUCAGAAUGAUACACACAUUGUAUAUUAGGAUCAAAAUUUCUUGAACGCCGAUUAUGAGUGCACCCAAGGAGAGGAGUGAUCAUUCCCUAUUAUACCAAUCUCUAAAAUAAACUGACAUACGACUCUCUAAUUGGUGUGAAGCUCUCUCUUGACUUUUGCCUCAUUUCAUCAUUUGAGUUAGAUCGAAAAUUAGGCUUAGAAGGGUUUUGGUAUGUUUGUGGAGUUAGAGGAUGACUCUGAGGAGUUGGUGUGUUCCACUGUGGGUAAGAUGAGGGUUGAAUAUGAGGCUGUGCGUUAUAUACUGGAUAUGGAGGUGGAGGAGCAGAGUAUAAUGGAUUUUGGGAGUGCUUAUGUGGAGCUUGGGCAUGAACUUGGGUUUUUGCCUGAGAGUGACGGCGACGGGGUCUUCUUGACCGUUCCCGCUGUCCAACUACAAUAGCAGAUACAUCUUCCUCAUUCUUUAUCUCUCCAACACUUCCUGAACCCUUUUGAAUUGCUUGAGUAGUCGCUUUCAAUGUUGCAAAACUCAUAAUAGGACUCGUCUUAAUUCCCUCUUCUAUCAUCUCCCCCAUUUUAAGGACCUCAAUAAAUGACUUACCCAAUGCAGGUAACAAGUGUUGAUAAUAUAUUUCAUUCUGCGCUUAAAUAAACACCUCCACUAUUUUCUUUCUUUCAUUGGCGGUUUCACUCUAGCAGCUUGUUCGCGUCAUCUGAUCUCAUACUCCCUAAAGCUCUCAGUAUUCUUCUUCUUCUUCAUACUAGUUAGGGAUUUUUCGUCAGGGAUCAACUCCAUAUUGUAUUAAAAUUAUUGCACAAAGUCAUUAGCUAGGUUAUCCUAACUAAUCCACUUGUCGAUGUCUUGGUCAACAAACCAUUUUGAAGCUAGGCCUGAAAGACUCUCCUCGAAAUAAGCUAUGAGUAGUUCUUCCUUCCCUCCAGCGCCUCUUAAUUGGUUAUAAUAGCGCCUCAAUUGUGCCACUGGUCCCCAUGUACGUCAUAUUACUCAAACUUUGGCAUUUUAAAGCCAUGAGGAAGGUUGACACCUGGAAACAUGCAUAAGUCCUUAUAUGAGACACUUUUGUAACCCCCAAGUCCUUGCAAGUUCUUCAUAGCCAGUUCCAAACUUCUCAAUUUUAUGGUCAUUUUCUCUUGUUCUUCUGUCAUAACAGGCUUCUUAGUGUUAGGAGGAAAUUCAGGUGGGUGAGUGUCACCAUAAAGACCAGUCAACUUGAAUGUAGGCUCGAAAGUGUAACGCUGAUCACCAGUAAUAUUCAAUGCAGGCUCUCUUGUAGAGUAGGGAGGCAAAACUUGUGGAUGAACAUCAAAAGUAGGAGCUUCAAGUGGGGGUGGCGCCGCGAAAGCAUGAACAGCAGGUGGAGCCGAGUAUGUGGUAGUCUUGGAUUGGGGAGUGAGAAAAUGAACACUGGAAGUGGUUGGAUAUUGUUGCCCCGGAGUCGAUCCUGAUGCAUGUUGUGGCAUACCAACAAAAAUGGGAAAUUGUGCAUGUGACACGGGAGGCAAGCUAGAAAGAUAUUUCAGAUUAUCAGUGGGAACUGGAGGAGGCGGCAACCCAUUAGCCCAAGCUCGUUGCAUUUCUAUUAUUUGUCGCCUUAAUUUUUGAAUCUCUUUAUUAGCUCCUAAAUUCUCAUUUUUCAAACUCCCUAUUUGACUAGUGACAACAAACUCGGUAUCUUUGUUGGCCAUAACCUUCUCUAACAAAAGAAAUACCAAAUACAUUAGAGUUCAACCCCUUUUUUUUCAAAACCUUUUUUUUCUUUUUGAAAAGGUCACCGGACCGUAGAAGGGCAUCCACGUAUCUCACCCCCGAGAGGGGAGAAUCAGGUGUGCUUAGUUCGUGAAGUCUAGCCAAAAUGGCCAAAUAAACUAAACUCUUUUUCUUUUUCUUGAAAUUUUAAGAAGAAAAUAAAAAUGACAAAUUGUUAAAGGAAUAGAUGAAAAUCUUUUUGAAUUUUUCGGCUUUAAUAACCUAUACAAAAUGAUACAUAUGAUUACCAAAGAAACUCUUUUUGGUUUUUCAAUUUUGCACUUCAUACGAAAAUGAAACUUGAACCUAUUAAAGGAAAAUCUUUUGUAGUUUUGUUUUAUUGAUGCAUAUAACACCUACUCUAAAUGAAGAGUGAAAAAAAUAUUUUUGAAUUUUUGAAAUAAGAUCAACCAAAAAUGAAACCUACGACUAUUGAGGAAAAUAUUUUUUUUAAAAUUUUUUUUCAAGACAUGUAUGAAACACCUACGCUAAAUGAAAAUUGAAGAAAAUCUUUUUGAAUUAUUUUAAAUAAGAUCCCCGAACCUAUAAUAGGAUGCCUACGUAUCUCACUCCCAAGAGAGAAGAAUCAGGGGUGCGUAGUUCCUCCAGAUUGGACAAUUAAGGAUUAAAUGACAAAAUCCUGAAUUGAGAGACACAACUAAAGACAGACGAUGAAAAUAAAAUCUUUUUUGGGUUUUUAAUUAGAAACUAACACCAACAACUAUGAAAGACACUACUGCAAAAAUGCCAAAAAGCGACGACUAGUGUCGCUUUUUUGGGCAAAAUCAACAGAAAUCCGUCGCUUUUUUUUCGUCUCAAAAAGGGGCGUUGUUUUUUUAAAAAUGACGGCCUACGUCAAAUUAUUACGACGAACAACGUCGCUUUUGGAGAAAAGAAUUUUUUUAGUUAUUUUUUGAAAAAACGACGUUGUGCGUCGCUUUUUGUUCUUCACGUGAAGAACACAUGAUGAACAAAAAGCGACACUGUGCAUCAUUUUUUGUUCAUCAUGUGAAGAACACAAGAUGAAUAAAAAAUGACGGACAUCAUCGUUUUAUUGAAAAAAAUAAUAAUUUUUUCAGAAAAAUUGACGCUGUCCGUCGUAAUUUGAGAAAAAUAAAAUACUUUUUGAAAAAAAAAAGCGACGUUGGUCGUCGUUUUUUGUUCUUCAUAAUGAAUAAAAAGCGACGUUGAUCGUCGCUUUUUGUUUUCCAUAAUGAAUAAAAAAGCGUUGUUGGUCGUCGCUUUUUGUUCUUCAUAAUGAAUUAAAAACCGACAGCCGUCGUCGCUUUUUUGCAUUCUUUUAUGCAGAAAUCUGCAUUUCCUACAUCCCAGUGCCAAAUAAAAAUCCCAUUCAAUAUAUACAUCCCUCAUGCAACACACAUUAUUACAAUAAUCAUACAACACACUACAUCAACAAAUCAUUUAAGCAAUUCACAUCAACAACACUUAAACAAUGAACCCAACAACAUUCAAAAUACUUAAAACAAUCCUAAAGAUUUUUCACUAAAUAAAAGCUAAGAUCAAAAUAUAUAAAAAUUAUCUAAAAGUCAAGUCCAACAACACUAACGAGUAGCCCCAACAAACUCCUCAUCACUAUCUGUUUCCUCUUUCCUACUUGAAUCUGGAGCAACGACCUGUGUUAAGGCUCGUCUAAGAUGUGCAAUCUGAUGUGAUAUAUUAGCAUGUCUCUAAAAAAUUGUAGAAAUGGCCAGAUCGUGCUUUGUCAACCAACAACACAUUGUCUAAAAAUCAAUUGACUAGUGUUAUAUGAAUUUAUAUGACUAGUAUAUAUAUAUAUUAAAGUUAACUAAAUAAUAAUUAAAUCUAAUAUACCUUAACUCUUGAAACAUGGCUUGUUUAGAGACUAUUGAAAUAUCCCACCACUCAUGCCAAGGAUAUGUAAAAAGUCUCAUACGCUCUACCUUAUAGCCUCAUUAAAUUCUUUUGACCCGGGAUACCACCUGUAAAUAAAAUAAUAAGUAUGUAAGCUUGAAUAUUUUAUUAAUGAAAAAAAUGAACCUAUCAAUUAAAAAAUAAACUUACGAAGAUCCAUCAGGCUCGAUAAACACUCUACCAAACAUGUCUGUAUCUCCCGGAAUUAGACCAAUCAAAUCUGCAUCAAUAUCUACUUUUACAGGAGGAGGUGCACCAAUUUCAAGUCAUGAAUUCACAUUUUCAAAAAAUUACACUUUACUAAUUUUAAAACACAAGUUCAUCUUUCAAGUAACUACACUAAACCAUUUUCAAGUCACUAAUUCACUUCUUAAGUAACUACACUUGAUAAAUUUGAAGUCAAUAGUACACAUUUCAAAACACUAAACCAUUUUCAACUCUCUAAUUCACUUCUCAAGUGACAAAACUUAGCCAUUUUUAAGUCAUGAAUUCACAUUUCAAGUAUCAACACUAAACCAAUUUCAAGUCAUGAAUUCACAUUUUUAAGUGAUUACACUUUACAAAUUUCAAAACACAAGUUCACCUUUCAAGAACUACAUUAAAUAAUUUUCAAGUCGUUAAUCCACUUUUUAAGUGACUAGUACACAUUUCAAAAUGCUACACUUAACCAUUUUCAACUCUCAAAUUCACUUCUCAAGAGACUAAACUAAACCAUUUUCAAGUCAUGAAUUUACAUUUCAAGUAUCAAGACUAAACCAAUUUCAAGUCAUGAAUUCACAUUCUCAAGUGACUACACUUUACAAAUUUCAAAACACAAGUUCACCAGUCAAGAACUACAUUAAACCAUUUUCAAGUCGCUAAUACACUUCUCAAGUGACUAGUACACAUUUCAAAAUACUACACUUAACCAUUUUCAACUCUCUAAUUCACUUCUCAAGUGACUAAACUUAACCAUUUUCAAGUCAUGAAUUCACAUUCUCAAGUGACUACACUUUACAAAUUUCAAAACACAAGUUCACCAGUCAAGAACUACAUUAAACCAUUUUCAAGUCGCUAAUACACUUCUCAAGUGACUAGUACACAUUUCAAAAUACUACACUUAACCAUUUUCAACUCUCUAAUUCACUUCUCAAGUGACUAAACUUAACCAUUUUCAAGUCAUGAAUUCACAUUUCAAGUAUCAAUACUAAACCAAUUUUAGGUCAUGAAUUCACAUUUUCAACUGAUAUUACACUUUACAAAUUUCAAAACACAAGUUCACCAGUCAAGAACUACAUUAAACCAUUUUCAAGUCGCUAAUACACUUCUCAAGUGACUAGUACACAUUUCAAAAUACUACACUUAACCAUUUUCAACUCUCUAAUUCACUUCUCAAGUGACUAAACUUAACCAUUUUCAAGUCAUGAAUUCACAUUUCAAGUAUCAAUACUAAACCAAUUUUAAGUCAUGAAUUCACAUUUUCAACUGAUAUUACACUUUACAAAUUUCAAAACACAAGUUCACCAGUCAAGAACUACAUUAAACCAUUUUCAAGUCGCUAAUACACUUCUCAAGUGACUAGUACACAUUUCAAAACACUACACUUAACCAAUUUUAAAUCUCUAAUUUACUUCUCAAGUGACUAAACUUAACCAUUUUCAAGUUAUGAAUUCACAUUUUAAGUAUCAACACUAAACCAAUUUCAAGUCAUGAAUUCACAUUUUCAAGUGAUAUUACACUUUACAAAUUUCAAAGCACAAGUUCACCAUUCAAGAAAUACAUUAAACCAUUUUCAAGUAGCUAAUACACUUCUCAAGUGACUAGUACACAUUUCAAAAUACUACACUUAAACCAUUUUAAACUCUCUAAUUCACUUCUCAAGUGACUAAACCAUUUUCAAGUCAUGAAUUCACAUUUCAAGUAUUCAAGUAUCAACACUAAACCAAUUUCAAGUCAUGAAUUCACAUUUUCAAAUGAUAUUACACUUUACAAAUUUCUAAACACAAGUUCACCAUUCAAGAACUACAUUAAACCAUUUUCAAGUCGCUAAUAUACUUCUCAAAUGACUAGUACACAUUUCAAAAUACUAUGCUUAAACCAUUUUCAACUCUCUAUUUCACUUCUCAAGUGACUAAACUUAAACAUUUUCAAGUCAUGAAUUCACAUUUGAAGUAUUAACACUAAACUAAUUUCAAGUCAUGAAUUCAUAUAUUCUAGUGAUAUUACACUUUACAAAUUUCAAAACACAAGUUUACCAUUCAAGAACUACAUUAAACCAUUUUCAAGUCGCUAAUAUACUUCUCAAAUGACUAGUACACAUUUCAAAAUACUAUGCUUAAACCAUUUUCAACUCUCUAUUUCACUUCUCAAGUGACUAAACUUAAACAUUUUCAAGUCAUGAAUUCACAUUUGAAGUAUUAACACUAAACUAAUUUCAAGUCAUGAAUUCAUAUAUUCUAGUGAUAUUACACUUUACAAAUUUCAAAACACAAGUUUACCAUUCAAGAACUACAUUAAACCAUUUUCAAGUCGCUAAUAUACUUCUCAAAUGACUAGUACACAUUUCAAAAUACUAUGCUUAAACCAUUUUCAACUCUCUAUUUCACUUCUCAAGUGACUAAACUUAAACAUUUUCAAGUCAUGAAUUCACAUUUCAAGUGUCAACACUAAACCAAUUACAAGUCAUGAAUUCACAUUUUCAAGUGAUAUCACACUUUACAAAUUGCAAAACACAAGUUUACCAUUCAAGAACUACAUUAAACCAUUUUCAAGUCACUAAUCCACUUUUCAAGUGACUAGUACACAUUUCAAAACACUACACUCAACCAUUUUUAACUCUCUAAUUCACUUUUCAAGUGACUAAACUAAACCAUUUUUGAGUCAUGAAUUCACAUUUCAAGUAUCAACACUAAACCAAUUUCAAGUUACGAAUUCAAAUUUUCAAGUGAUAUUACACUUUACAAAUUUUAAAAUACAAGUUCACCAUUCAAGAACCACAUUAAAUCAUUUUCAAGUCGCUAAUACACUUCUCAAGUGACUAGUACACAUUUCAAAGUACUACACUUAACCAUUUUCAACUCUCUAAUUCACUUCUCAAGUGACUAAACUAAACCAUUUUUGAGUCAUGAAUUCACAUUUCAAGUAUCAACACUAAACCAAUUUCAAGUUACGAAUUCACAUUUUCAAGUGAUAUUACACUUUACAAAUUUUAAAAUACAAGUUCACCAUUCAAGAACCACAUUAAAUCAUUUUCAAGUCGCUAAUACACUUCUCAAGUGACUAGUACACAUUUCAAAGUACUACACNNNNNNNNNNNNNNNNNNNNNNNNNNNNNNNNNNNNNNNNNNNNNNNNNNNNNNNNNNNNNNNNNNNNNNNNNNNNNNNNNNNNNNNNNNNNNNNNNNNNNNNNNNNNNNNNNNNNNNNNNNNNNNNNNNNNNNNNNNNNNNNNNNNNNNNNNNNNNNNNNNNNNNNNNNNNNNNNNNNNNNNNNNNNNNNNNNNNNNNNNNNNNNNNNNNNNNNNNNNNNNNNNNNNNNNNNNNNNNNNNNNNNNNNNNNNNNNNNNNNNNNNNNNNNNNNNNNNNNNNNNNNNNNNNNNNNNNNNNNNNNNNNNNNNNNNNNNNNNNNNNNNNNNNNNNNNNNNNNNNNNNNNNNNNNNNNNNNNNNNNNNNNNNNNNNNNNNNNNNNNNNNNNNNNNNNNNNNNNNNNNNNNNNNNNNNNNNNNNNNNNNNNNNNNNNNNNNNNNNNNNNNNNNNNNNNNNNNNNNNNNNNNNNNNNNNNNNNNNNNNNNNNNNNNNNNNNNNNNNNNNNNNNNNNNNNNNNNNNNNNNNNNNNNNNNNNNNNNNNNNNNNNNNNNNNNNNNNNNNNNNNNNNNNNNNNNNNNNNNNNNNNNNNNNNNNNNNNNNNNNNNNNNNNNNNNNNNNNNNNNNNNNNNNNNNNNNNNNNNNNNNNNNNNAAGUUCACCAUUCAAGAACUACAUUAAACCAUUUUCAAGUCGCUAAUACACUUCUCAAGUGACUAGUACACAUUUCAAAGUACUACACUUAACCAUUUUCAACUCUCUAAUUCACUUCUCAAGUGACUAAACUAAACCAUUUUUGAGUCAUGAAUUCACAUUUCAAGUAUCAACACUAAACCAAUUUCAAGUUACGAAUUCACAUUUUCAAGUGAUAUUACACUUUACAAAUUUUAAAAUACAAGUUCACCAUUCAAGAACCACAUUAAAUCAUUUUCAAGUCGCUAAUACACUUCUCAAGUGACUAGUACACAUUUCAAAGUACUACACUUAACCAUUUUCAACUCUCUAAUUUACUUCUCAAGUGACUAAACUUAACCAUUUUUAAGUCAUGAAUUCACAUUUCAAGUAUCAAUAGUAAACUAAUUUCAAGUCAUGAAUUCACAUUUUCAAUUGAUAUUACACUUUACAAAUUUCAAAACACAAGUUCACCAUUCAAGAACUACUAAGUGACUACUUAACCAUUUUCAAGUCAUGAAUUCACAUUUGAAGUAUCAACACUAAAACAAUUUCAAGUCGUGAAUUCACAUUUUUAAGUGAUAUCACACUUUAAAAAUUUCAAAACACAAUUUAACCUUUCAAGAACUACGAAGUAUCAACACUAAAACAAUUUCAAGUCGUGAAUUCACAUUUUUAAGUGAUAUCACACUUUAAAAAUUUCAAAACACAAUUUAACCUUUCAAGAACUACAUUAAAUCAUUUUUAAGUAGCUAAUCCACUUUUCAAGUGACUAGUACAAAUUUCAAAAUACUACACUUAACCAUUUUCAACUCUCUAAUUCACUUCUCAAGUGACUAAACUAAACCUUUUUUAAGUCAUGAAUUCACAUUUCAAGUAUCAACACUAAACCAAUUUCAAGUCAUGAAUUCACAUUUCAAGUAUCAACACUAAAGAAAUUUCAAGUCAUGAAUUCACAUUUUCAAGUGAUAUUACAAUUUACAAAUUUCAAAACACAAGUUCACCUUUCAAGAACUACAUUAAAUCAUUUUCGUCCUCGAAUGAUGCUUAUAACUUAUUUGACUCCUAUAAUUAUCUAAGACACUCAUGAGAUCAUUUACUUAACUUCCACUUCAUUUUAUCCAUUAUGUGGUCCUAAAAUUUUAUUGAGAUCAUUUACUUAACUUCCACUUCAUUUUAACCAUUAUGUGGUCCUAAAAUUUUGUUAACUCUCAAAAUUUUCAAAAAAUUUUGCCAGAAUUUCCUUUGUAAAUAGGCUUAUCGUAAACCUGUCAGCUAACUAGAUUACAUAUAAAUACGCUUCACCGAGAGUUACAACAAAUAUGUUACUCAACUGAUAAUACACGAGACUCUACUUGGCAUUCUUUAAAAUUUUUAACCUAAAGUAUAAAUCCAUAACUAACUGCUCCAUAUAGAAACAAGACACACCUCAGAUCCGCACUACCACAUUAACUAGCAAGGUACUAAACAUAAAUUCAUGCAUAGGUUAAGUCAAUCUACUAGGUAAGUUCGAUGUACUAGCACUACAAUCCUAAUAAUCUUUCUUUCAUUUUCAAUCACAAUUCAAGCUUAAGGUAUACCACUUAUCAUGGACAACCACAAGAAUUUAUAUACUAUAUUGACUUAUAACUAUUGAAUAGAGAUCGAAUAAAUACUUGUCCACCAAGGGUCUGGCUCUGGUCGAUGGCUGCAGCGUUGAUUGGUCACUGGUGGUUGGUGGCGCGGAGGCUAGUUCGUCCGACAUGGGUCUGGUUCGUUCGACGUCGGAGGCUGGAUCAUCGAUGGCUGUUCGUCGCGAAUGGAGAGACCUGCCGGCAGCGGCUUGAGGGGCUUUGCCAGCGUGGUUUCACCAGAAAAGGGCUGAGGGGUGAGUCUUAGAGAGAGAGAGAGAGAGAGAGAGAGGGAGGGAGGCGGAUGUUUGAGGGAGAAAAUGAGGAUAGAGUUUGAUAUUUUGUUUAAAAGGAAAGAUUGGUCGAUUUAAUCUCAGCCGUUGGAUCAACUUUGAUCAACGACUGAGAUUAAGGUAUUUAAAAGUAGGUCAAUUGGUAUUUAAAUUGGUAUUUAUAUUGAUAUUUAAUUUUGGCUAAAAUUGAUACUAAUUGGAAAAAAGAUUGGCUAAAAAUUAAACACAAGAAAGGAAAAUUAAAUAAGAGUGGCUGCUAGUUUAAUAAAUGUAAUAAUAAUAAUAACAACAAUAACAACAACAACAACAACAACAACAACAACAACAACAACAACAACAAUAAUAAUAAUAAUAAUGAGACGGCUUAUGUGUUUUAAAAGGAGGAAAAAGAGGGUAAUUUGAUCUCAGUCGUUGGAUCAGGUUUGAUCGACGACUGGGAUUUAAAGGUUGAAAAUUUGAUCAAAAUUUACACAAAUUUUAAAUUGUGUCACACAUUUGCUAUAAUUAUAAUAAAUUGAAUAAGGCUAAAAUUAGUAUAUUGUGGUAAAAAAUUGGGUCAGAAAAUAAAUAGAUCAGAUAAACUGAUUUAAUUUAGACUAUUAUUUAAAUAAAUGUUAUAAAUAAUAAUAAUAAUAGUAGUAGUAGUGCAGCAGCAGCAGCAGUAGUAGUAAUAAUAAUAAUAAUAAUAAUAAUGAAAAAUAAUAAUAGUAAUAAUAAUAGUAAUAAUAAUAAUAAUAAUAAUAAUAAUAAUAAUGAAAAACUAGACAAUAUAUUUAUAAAAAAUAUGAAUGUGCACCAUUGCGUGAAAAAAAUAAUUUAAUAAAACUAUGUAAAAUGUCGUUUUUGAGUUUAAAAAUUAUAGAAAAUGGUAUAAAAAUAAUUUGUGCAUUUUUAUAAAUUAUGAAUGUGACACGUCAAUAUGUAUUUAAUAUAAGAAUAAUGUGUACAAAAAUAUUAACAAUUGAAAUAAAAUAAUUUUGAUAAAAUAGCAGCCUAAAUGACGAGAAAAAUAGUAAGACGUUGAUAUUAAAAUAAACUAAGCGUGUAAGAAUUAAUGUUAACUAAAAUUACUAUAUAAAAUAACAGCCUGAGAGGGGUAUCGUGAGGUCAAAAUUGGGUGUCAACACAAUUAAACCGAUUUAGUCCCACAAAAUAGGUCACUGGAGGGUACAGUGUAUGCAGACCUUCUUGAAAACCUAUUUAAGCUUGAAGAUUCUUGUAAAAUAAAACACAUCAUGUAGGAUUUUUGCUUAUUGAUUUGAUUAUUGGUUUAACUUAUUUAAAAAUCGAUAACCAAGAAACCAAACCGAUAAUAUUUAAAUCAAAUCGAAUCGACCGAUGCACACCCCUAAUUUCAAGAAAAAAAAUUGUGAAAUUGGGAUUAGAAAUCGGGUUAAAAAUAUUGAAUUGGAGAUUUCAAUUACGUUAAUACAACAUAUUAAUAUGAUGAAUUGUCGGCUAAUUGGCUUCAUUAUUAUAACUUCAAUAGUGUAUUAUUAGCUCGAUCAUAUGAUGUUAGCGUAUUAUUCAUAAUAUUUGGAUAUAUAGACUCAGUUAGCUAACUUUUAACUAUAUACAUUACAUACACGAGUAUAUUACCUCGUAAUACAACAUAUUUUAUUUCUACUCUGAUGAAUUAUCAUUUAAUUUAGCUUAUAUUAUUAUAUUAUAAUUUAAAAAUAUAUAUUAUUACCUUGAUUAAUCGAUCGUAUGACAUCAAUGUAUUCAAUAUAUAUAGUUGAUUGACUAUAAAUUUCACAAUAUGUAUUAGAUACAUCACAUAAACAUGUAAAUUACCUCGUAAUACAACAUUUUGUAUGUAUAUAUAUAUAUAUAUAUAUAUAUAAUGAUAAAUUAUCAUUUAAUUUAGCUAAUAUUAGUAUAUUAUAACUUCAACAAUAUAUUUAAUUUAAAAAGAGACGAACAACGUCGCUUUUCAAAAAAAUAUUUUUUAUUUAAUUUUAAAAUAAGUGACACUGUCCGUCGCUUUUUCUAAAAAUAAUGAAAAAUUUAAAAUAAUUAUAUAUUGCAACGGACAGCGUCGCUUUUCUAGAAUUAAUAUUUCUAAAAAUAAAAAUUAUAUUUACAUUGUUUGUCGCUUUUAAUAAAAAUAAAUAAAAAUAAAAAUUAAAUUUAAAAAGCGACAGACAACGUCUCUUUUCAAAAAAAUAAUUUAUAUUUAAUUUUAAUAAAAGCGAAGCUAUCCGUCGCUUUUUGUUAAAAAAAAAAAUUACAAAUUGUGAUGGACAGCGUCGCUUUUCUCGAAUUAAUAUUUUAAAAAAUAAAAAUAAUAGCGACGUUGUCCGUUGCUUUUAAUAAAAUAAAUAAAAAUAAAAAUUAAAUUUAAAAAUCGACAGACUACGUCAUUUUUUAAAAAAUAAUAAUUAUUAUUUUUUAAUAAAUUACAACGCUGUCCAUCGCUUUUAUUAAAAAAAAUAUAAAUUACUUUUUAAUUACUUGACACAAAAAUCCGUGAAAAAAGCGGCGUAUAUUAAGGCGUUGGCCGUCGCUUUUAAUAAAAAAUAAAUAAAAACUAAAAUUAAGCUUAAAAAGCAACGACCAACGUCGCUUUUCUCGUCGCUUUUUAAAGCGACACAAUCCGUCGCUUUUUUGCGUUGCUUUUUAGCCCUUUUUAGUAGUGAGAAAAAAUCUUUUUGAUAUUUUCGUUAUAUAAAAAUGUACCAAGCUCCUAUUGAAGGGAAUUUGUUUUUUUUUUUGGAGUUUUUGAAUUGUGAAUGCUUACUAAAGAAAUAAAAGAAUUUUUUUUUAACGUUUUUAAUUUUUUGGGAAAUGAGUACAAAAAGUAAAAAAAAGACAUUUUUUUUGAAUUUUUAAAUUGUGAAAAACAAAAGCCAUAAAGAACCCUAAAAAAUACCAAAUCUCUUUUUUUCCCUUUUUUUUUUCUUCCUUUUUUCAACAAUUUCCUUCCUACACUGUAAUACCCCAAAACAUCCAAACCAAUAUUAGAGCCAUGUACCAAGCUCAUGCAUAGUACAUCUUGGUUAUUUUACAGUUUUAUGAGUAAGUUAGAUGUAUAUUAAGGCUUUUAAUAACUCCUAGCUAUCAAACGAAUCAAAACAUUCCUUACAAAUUGAAUUCUUGAGAAGGAUAUUGGUAUAGUCAACUUCAAACGAUCAUAUCUCUCAUUAUACUUGGAAUUUUUGAGCUCAUGACCUAUAAACAGAUAUAUAAUUGAAUUAGCUUUCCAACGAUACCAAUUUUUCCUAAAUCCAAUAUCGGAGCAAAGAGUUAUCCCCAUUUUAUUCCAGCAUGUCAAGCUAGAAAACGGUGACGACGUUUCUGACGGGCUAUCACAUUUCUGACGACCUUUUUGACGACGUCGUCACAUUUUGACGACAUUUCUGAUGACGUCAUCAGCCCUAGGCAGAAAAUCAAGAAUUUGGACCCCUUUUGUGAUGACCAUUCAUGACGGCCUAUCACGGACCUGAUGGCCUGUCACGGAUGACGUCAUAAGUAUAUUUUUCCAGCAAUUCAAGGGCAUUUUUGCAAGGGUAUUUUGGUCAUUUCCUUCACCUUCCACGACUUAAAACCCUAAAGAGGCAUAAUUUUUCUCAUUUUUAUCCAGUUAAGCAUCUCAAAAACCCUCUCUUACACUCUCAACCACAAGAUUAAGGUUUCCAUCAAACUCAUCUCUCAAAAGCAAGAUUCAAGCCUUUUUCCAAGAUAAUCAAGAAUUAAGUUUUCCCAAUCCAAGAACUCUCCAGCAAAUCAUCAAGGUUUCCUUUCUAAGGUAUGCGUAGUGUUCAUCUAUGGAUCCAAUCCGUUCAUAGAGCUCAAGAACCAUGUUUUAAAUAUUAUUUUGUAAACUUUUUGUGNNNNNNNNNNNNNNNNNNNNNNNNNNNNNNNNNNNNNNNNNNNNNNNNNNNNNNNNNNNNNNNNNNNNNUGUUUUCAUGGAAUAUAUAUGUUUGUUAAUUGAAAACCAUGAACUUUAGGUGGUUUAAUAUGUUGCAAGUAUGAAACCCACCUAUUCCUUAAAGAAUGCAUGCAAGGUGUUUGAUAAAAUGCUUAGGAUACUAGAAAUUCAUGUUUGAAUGGCUCUAUGAUGUCUAAAUGACAAGUCCAUGUUAGCUGUAUACUUCAAUAUGAAUUCUAUGCUUUUCAUGUGUUCCUAUUGUGGUGGUAUGAAACAUGUAAGAUAAUGGAGAUAUACAAUAUGUACACGAAAUAUAUCCAUGCAUUCUCUACAAUGUUUAAGAUGUUGAAUAACUAUAUGAAAUAUGAUAUCCCCUACUUAUGAUAUUAUGAAUUAUGGACUCAAAUCUUGUGAUCAAGUCAUGUCAUGUGUGUCAGUUUCCUUCUAUCGAGUCCUGGGGGUGUUCGUACCUAAAAAUAUAGUUGUGUACCUAGAGCCAUGUCAUGUUAUCACGAUACUCUCAGUCAAGCCAUGAUCUAUAGAAUUCAGUCAAUCAUGUGAGUCAGGAAAAUCUAGUAACCUCAGUAAUCUUAGUAGUUCAGUAAUCUCAGCGAUCUCAGUACUCAGUAAUAUCUAUAACCUCAGUAUUCAAAGUCAAUCUCAGUAACUUCAGUACUCUCAACUAGUCCUCAGAACUCAUUAUAUUUCGUCCGUUAUCGGAAUCUAGUAAACUCAGUUUUAGUUCCGCUAAACAAUACCACUAGUAUCAGUUCAGUUAAUCAGUUCAGUUAAGUUAUUUAGUUCAGCCCAGUUAUUCAGUUCAGUGUCUUUCAGAUGGGAGUAGGAUUUAGCACCGAGCAAACCUAGAGAUAGGGGCUCACCCUCUAGAAUAGGACUGAGAUCCCUAGAAGCAAUUCCUAAGUUCCAGAACUACGUUGACAGCGUAGGUACGAGAUGUCACCCAUUAGAUAGGACUGACAUACUCAAGGGUCACCCGUUAGCACAUUUAUAUGUAUAGGACUGAUCCCAAGAGUCACCUGUUAGAUCAGGACUAACUCUACAGUAAAUGUCUUUAGUGGUGGUGCGGUACUGACACCCUUCCAGUCAGGGCAAAGAUUAGACCCCAGUCAGCUUAGCUUGGGGCAUGUCAUUAGAUGAACACAUCCCACAGUUUUAAUUAUAGAUUCAGGACUGUCAGAUACAGUCAACUCAGUUCAAUAGUACAGAUUUAGUACUGUUAGAGACAAUCAAUCCUUAUCAUUAUAAAUAGACUACAAGAUCACCCAUUAGACAGUACUGAUCUCAACUAUAGUUAAACAGUAUCAAAAUCAUCAGAUUUAAAGAUCACCCGCUAGAUAGGACUAAUCUCAAAUUCAGUUACUCAAUAUAAAACUGAACUCAGAUAGUUCCAUCAGAACAUAGACUGUCAGAUAUAAUUGCUCAGUAUCAGUUACAUCGAUUAGGCCGAUCAUCAUAGUUAUAUUAGUUAUAUUAGUUAUAUUAGUUUUCUGAACUCAUGUAUCAGUCAUAUCAGUUAUCAGAAUUCAUAAUAUCAGUAUUCAGCUUCAGGACUGUCAGACACAGUCAACUAGACCAGUUCUUCAUAAUUCAAAUUAUUAGAAAUAGUCGUUCAUCUAUUCAGUAUCUCAGUAUUAGUACACUCAUGUUGUUAGUAUUCAGACUCAGUAGUCAGUAUCUUCACGAGUUCAAUUACAGUUAUGUAUGCAUGUAUGUAUUCUCACGUUCAUAUUAGUCAGGAUUGUUCAUACAUAUAACCCUUUGCAUUUAGCCUACCCCACUCGUAUGCUCAAUACAUUCAGAUAUACUGACGCAUUUGCGCUAUGGUGCUUUCUCUUAUGUUACACUAUAGGUUCAGAGGCAUGAGCUCCAGAUCAGCAGUAGCAUUCCAGGGUUCAGAGUUUGCAGUGAGUCUUUCUCCUUUGAGGAUGAUAUGAUUAUUGCUACAUUUACUAUUCAGUUGCUAGAUGGAGUUAGUUGGAUACAUGUUCCUUAAAAUCCUUAUUCAAUUCAGUUAGAGGCUUCAGACUAGAUGUCAGAUUAGAUAUUCAGAUAUCAUAUUUUUAGUAUUUAUGACUUAUUUUGGUAUUGUUAUACCUUUUUCAGACAUUUUGUUAUUAGACGUUUAUUCAGUUCGAACCAUAAGGCCUUUCAUGUUCAUGUUUUCGCAUUUUAUGAUAUAUUAUGCAGUAUACAGGUACAGAUACCAGUCAUGGGUUAGCUUGUGGUCCUUCGGGUUCAUAAGCACCGUGUAGCAUUCCGAUUUAGAAAAUCGAGGUAUUACAUACACACUUCCUUCUAACUCAAGCUUUUGCCCAAAUCAGUCUGUCAAAUGACCUCGUUACCCUCAAAGAUGCAAUAUUUAGCAUGUAGGAAUGCUUUAGAGGUGAGUUUCCUACAAAGGACCAAGUGAGCCCCACUAGGUAUUCAAUAUGAUGCAUAUAAGCAUGACCUAAAGGCUGACCUACGUUGAGGUUCACUAACAAGGCUGUUCAGGGGAGCGUAUGAUCGAUAGUGACUGUUUUGCUUUCCACCUACUCCAUAACAUCGAUAGCUCCCCCCUUAAAACAAGGGUGACUCAACUAGAGGCCGUGUACAAUACGUGUACUACGGACUUAUUGCAGAAAGAAUGACUUGGGUUAUGCACAUGAUGCCAGAUAUAAAGCGGUAACACAUAAGAUAAAAACUGUAAACAAAGAGCACGUAGGCACUCAACAAUGAUAAUACAAUAACACAAAACAACUCAAACAAAAUGUCUAUACACCUAUAGUGCCAAACUAAGCCGAUACAACUCCAAAAUAAGCUCGAAUUCUGAAAAGUCCCCAGCAGAGUCGCCAUCUGUCACACCCCUUUUUUAACAACAAAAAAGAUUUAUUUUAAGUUUGAAAAGGAUUUUUAUUACUAAAGUGACAAAAGAUUGAAAAUUUAUUUUUUUUAAAAAAGGAUCAUUUAUAUUUUUUAUUCAGAGUCGCCACUUGACAUAAUCCGGCGUGCCAAGUCACCUUUGAAAGAUCCUUUUCAAACUAAAUUUUGACUCUUUUAAACUGAUCCGCGAACAGAGAUUCCGAUUAAGGAAUUCUAUUGACCGAGAAAAAGGUGUUAGGCAUCCCUCGAUCUCGUGGUUUGACCACGGUCUCUUGGUGGAGCAUAUCGGCUAAUUUGACACUACAAAAUCUAUAAACCACACAAAAACAAUCAAUCAAACAAACAAAUCUGAAAAUAUAGUGUCCCGUCCAACUAUUACAAACUGAAAUAAAAAAAAGAUACUAAAAAGUAAACCUACGCUAACCUACACUAAUCCUAAACUACACUCCAAUGCCUUACUUGCUGCUUCAAGCCUUGAUCACGAGCCUCCUUUGCGUACACGAUGCUUCGGGGCAUUCUCCGGUGAAUAAAUAUAAAUGACCACGGGGCAUUCCCCUCCUAACUGAAUACAUCUUCAAAUCUUGUGCGAUAAAGUAAAAAAAAACAUUCAUACGCACACUCAAUCAUUCAACAAAACACCACAUAAAAUUUGCCUAUCCAACUUAGCAUUUGCCUAUCCCACUCGACUUAUCAUAAUACUAUCAAGUUCGAUUGACGUUUAUUUCAAGUCAAACAAUAACUCAUGAAUCAAACCAACCAAAAUUUACCCUUUUUUUUUUAUCAAGUUUCAAUUCCACCCCAAAUUUCUUUUUAAUUCUUAACGAGAUAUCAUUUCAUUACACAGUCUAUAACCAAACAAUGAAUCAAAACCAACAACUAUUCAUUGCCAACAAUGAUCAACCAACACACAAUAUUUCAUUCAAUGCACCAAAAAUCACAAAUAAUGAAAUAAAAGGGAAAAAAAGAAAGAGAGUAGAAUCGGACCUCAAUUUGAAGCUUUAUUUCAAUUAAUUGAUCUUUCCUAAUAGAACCGCAUCCAAACAUAACCUCAAUGUUGAACCUCAAUCACAAACACAAAUCAUCAACUUCGAUCUCGAACUGCAAUUGACUCGGACCCAAUUGCGAGCAAGGCUCCGCGAAGAACAAACAAAAACAAAAAACAUCUAAAUCAAGGCUCCGAAUGAGAAAAACCAGAAGUUGGUAUGACUACUUCCGGAUGAUAAUUAACUAGAAUCAUCCUAAAAAUGACCAAUUCAAACCAGUGGUGACCGGAAUUAAACGUUUUCCAGUGAAAGGAUGCUAUUUCCGGCCAAGAACGUCGAAACUGUCAAACCCCAUCCCUUUUCUCUCCUCUCUCACUCAAAUAUUUCCUUCUCCUCUCUGUUUAUUCCUCUCUUCGACCAGUUCUAUCUCUACUCUAUGUGUGUGUGCAGCAACAGAAAAAGGAGAAAAAAAAUGAAGUCCUCCACAAUGGCCUCCCCUUUUCUGUGAAAUCGCCUAUAUCUAUGUGUGUAUUUGACAGAUGCACGGCUAUGGCAUAUUCUGGGUCCCCUCCGCUGUUAUGUGGAGUGUAUUAUAUAUAAAAUAGAAAUGGUGAGGUGUUGUGUGGUGGACAAAUUUCAGUGGGGCCCGUGAGUGGAAAAUGUAUAUUGUAUUUAUUGUUAAUGGAAAAAGGCCAUCAGUAGUGGUCCCUCCCUAUGCCUGUAUGCUGCACAAGUAUAUAUUCUGUGAAGCCCUCCAAAAACCUGAGGAUGGGUAGCGAGGUGGGGGUAUACGGGUAGGGGGUGGUGUACAGAUGUGGGGUGUGAGGUGGGGUAGUGGUGAGGUGUAAAAAAUUAGUUAGAAUAAGAUUAAAUUUAUUAUGGAUUUGGUUAUUUUUGUGGGGUGUUAUCACAUAGGCGAGGGUGUAUGAUAAUGUGGGAUAAAAAUGAACGAAUUGAGUUUUUGGGAGGGAUAACAUUAGGUGUCUACACGUAUUGAUUAGUUCAAUUAUAUUAUUGUAAUUUAUUAUUGAAGUGAAUGGAAUUUCAAUUUCGUCAUUAUUAAAUAAAAAAAAAGAAGAAAAAAGACGAUAACGAUACGUGCACUUGCACGAACUUUUGUUGUGUUCAUUUUUGCAUAUUAAUAUUUUGCAUGUUAAUAUUUUUAGUUUUGCAUGUUAAUAUUAAUAUUAGUUUUGCAUGUUAAUAUUUUUAAUAUAAUAUUCAUAUAUAGUCAUUACUUAUCCAUAUGUGUUUAGAAAAUAUAAUAUAAUAAUAUUAUAUUUGCAUAUUAACAUACUGGACAAAAUAUAAUAUAACAAUAUUAUAUUAUUAUUAUAUGUAUUGCAUGAUACUGUUCCGUACUAUUAAUUAUAAAUAAUAUAUUACGUAUUAGAUUCCUUAUCAAAUAUUAUAUUGUUUCUAUAGUUUUUGGACAUAUUUCUUUUAAUUGCUUAGUAAUAUCGGAUUAACAAUUUUUUAUAAAUUCAAAUAAAAAAUUAAUUAUAUAUUAAAAAAGUAUGUAAUUUAAUACAAUAAAAUUAUUAGUAUUUGAUUGAGAAAAAAUAUUCAUGUUUGUUAUUGAUAAUGGAGAUGACUUAUAAUGGUGGUUGCGGUGACAAUGAUUGAUGUUAGUAAUUAAUAUUGUUGGUGGUGAUAAUUGUGAUAGUUGGUAUUGUAGUGACUGUUAUGAUGGUGGCGAUUGACGGUGUUGGUGGUUGUUAUGAUGUAACGUUACUUGAUGUUAGUAGUUUAAGGUGUUGAUUGUGUUGGCUGAAAUAUGAAUGCAUGAUGAUUGACAAUGUGUUGGUGCUAGUUGGAGAUGUUAUUUGUUGUGAUGGUGGAGAUGGUUGUUAAUAGAGAUAAAUUAUAGCGAUGGUACUAGUUGAAGUAGUGGUAGAGGUGACAUUACUAGUGACAAUGGUGGUGGCGGUCAAAGAAUGUGUAGAGGUUGUGAUGUAUUAGUGGUAGUUAGUGGCGGUGUUAGUUGUGAUAUAUAAGUUGGUUGGUAGUAGGGAUUGGCCUCUAGUGGUUGCUGAUUGUGGUGUUGUUGACGGCAGUGGUGGUGGUGAAUAUAAUUAGAAUAAAAGAGGUAGUAGAUGUGGUAGUGGUUGACAAUUGUAGUUGGUGGAGGUAUUUUUUGUUGAUGGUGGUUGUGAUGGUGGAGGUGGUUAGUGUUGGUGGGUGUUGGUUGACAAUGGUGACGGUGGCAGAGAUGGUUAGUGGUGGUAACUGCUGAAUAUGAAUAGAGUAGUGAAUAUUAUCCAACGCCAGAAUAUCCCUUCAGACCUAUUAAGACUUGGUUCUAGAUCAGAAUGAUUAAGACGUAUUAAGAGUUAAACCUUAAUAAAAAACAAAUGCACUUAAUGGUCUGAAGUCCGAACCGUUCAGAUUCAGACCUCUAUUAAGUGCAAACAAAUGAGGCCUUAGUAAUGUCGGAUUAAUAAUUUUUUAUAGUAUAAGCUUUCACUUUGUACAAAAAUUUAAUAUAUAUCUUAUUUGAUGUAUGUCAUUUUAUUUGAAGAUAUGGAUAAUUUUCAAAGUAAGCUGUCAAAUUGUGAAGAUAUAUGUUUGAUUGAUUCUAGCACUACACAUAUAAUAUUCAAAGACGAGAAAUAUUUCUCUCAUCUAAACAUGGGCAAGAUUAAUGUCACUACAAUUUCUGGUUGUGCUAAUUUGAUUGAAGGCUUCGGAAAAGCCAUUAUAAUCUUGCCCAAGGGAACUAAACUCAUCAUAAAUAAUGUCAUAUUUUCUCCUAAGUCUCGAAGAAACUUGAUGAGUUUUAAAGAUAUCCAUGAAAAUGGUUAUCAUAUCAAGACAAUUGAUGAGAUGAAUCUUGAAUAUCUUGGUAUCACCAAGAAUGUCUCUGGGCAGACAUGUGUCAUUGAAAAGUUCCAUGCUUUAUCUUUUGGCCUGUAUUGGACAAAGAUUUGUGCAAUUGAGGCACAUUCUAUAGUAAACCGGAAGUUUACUGAUUUUAAUACUUUUAUACUUUGGCAUGAUCGUCUGGGGCAUCUAGGAUCAAUAAUGAUGAGACGAAUCAUAAAAAAUUCAAAUGGGCAUCCAUUAAAGAACUUGAAGGUUCUUUCGAAUGGUGAAUUUUCAUGCAAUGCUUGUUAUCAAGGCAAGCUGAUUGUGAGGCCAUCUCCAACAAAAGUUGGGAUUGAGUCCCUCGCGUUCCAACCUCGCAUUCUUGGAACACAUACAUGGGGAUAUUUGUGGACCCAUUCACCUACCUAGUGGGUCAUUUAGAUAUUUUAUGGUCCUAAUAGAUGCUUCAUCUAGAUGGUCUCAUGUGUUCCUUUUGUCAUUUUGCAACUUAGUAUUUGCAAAAUUAUUGCACUAACAAUAUGAUUACGGGCACAAUUUCUUGAUAAUCAAAUUAAGUCUAUUCGCCUUGAUAAUGCUGCAGAAUUUUUAUCCCAAGCAUUUAAUGGCUAUUGCUUAUCAAUUGGGAUAAGAGUGGAACAUCUUAUACCUCAUGUUCACACUCAAAAUGACCUUGCUGAGUCAUUAAUUAAACAUCUGGAGUUGAUAGCAAGACCAUUGCUUAUGAAAACUAAGUUGCUCACUUCUGUUUAGGGUUAUGCAAUUUUGCAUGCUGCAACACUUGUUUGUCUUAAACUGAUAAAUUAUCAUAAAUUUUCUCCGUUGCAAUUGGUUUUGGGUCAAGAGCCUAAUAUAUCUCAUUUGAAAAUUUUUGAGUGCAAUGUAUAUGUGCCUAUAGCACCACCAAACCGCACCAAGAUGGGCCCCCAAAGAAGAUUAGGAAUUUAUGUUAGGUUUGAAUCACCCUCCAUUAUUCGCUAUCUUGAACUAUUAAUGGGAGAUAUGUUUACUGCUCGAUUUGUAGAUUGUCAGUUUGAUAAGAUAGUUUUCCCAAAAUUAGGGGGAGAAUAUAGUGUCAUUUACUGAUUUGAAAAGGAUCACCAAAUCACAUAUUCUUGCAAAUAAUGUCCCAAUUCGAAUUGAUACCUCUAAAGGACCAUCCACUAGUGUCAUAGCUAAUGAAUCUAAAGCACACUUGAAGCGUGACAGACCAUUAGGAUCUAAGGAUCGAAAUCCUAGAAAAAGAAAAAUAAAUGGUCAAGAUGACACUACAAAAGGUCCUCAUAUGGAAGCUCAAGAUUUGAGCAAUAUUGAUAUUCCUGAAGGAAUCAAUAAGCCUGAGACUCAAGAAAAUGAGGAACUAUCUAUAAAUUUAAGUGAUGUUGAAACUAAUUUGAAUCGAUCUAAAAUAGUAGUGGAUCAUAUCUUUACAUACAAUGUUGCAACGAAAAUCAUGCAAGAUAGAGAGGAUCUUGAACCUCGAUCUAUCACAGAAUAUCGACAAAGACAUGACUGGCCAAAAUGGCAAGAAGCAAUUCAACCUGAAUUGAAUUCACUUGCCAAACGUAAAGUUUUUGGACCUAGAACUCAAACACCUAAUGGUGUUAAGCCUGUUGGCUAUAAAUGGGCCUUUGUGUGAAAAAGAAAUGAGAAAAAUAAAAGACAAAGGUAUAAAGCACGCCUUGUUGCGAAAGGAUUUUCACAAUGGCCUGGUGUCGAUUAUGAUGAGACAUAUUCACCAGUUAUAGACGCAAUAACAUUGCGUUAUCUUAUUAGUUUCACUAUCCAUGAGAGACUUGAAAUGCAUUUGAUGGAUGUGGUAACAACCUAUCUAUAUGGAUCACUUGAUAAUGAGAUAUACAUGAAAAUUUUCAAAGGAUUUAAAAUGCCGAAAGCAUAUAGUUCAAAGCCUCGAGAAAUGUAUUCCCUUAAAUUGCAAAGAUCAUUGUACGGUUUGAAGCAAUCUGGACGCAUGUGGUAUAACCGUCUUAGUGAAUAUUUAUCUAAAGAAAGUUAUACGAAUGAUGAAAUUUUCCCAUGUGUUUUCAUAAAGAAAACAACGUCGGAGUUUGUUAUACUUGCUGUCUAUGUCGAUGACAUAAACCUUAUUGGAACGCCAAUAGAGCUUCAAAAGGCAAUUGAUUACCUAAAGAAAGAAUUUGAGAUGAAAUAUCUCGGAAAGAAAAAGUUAUGUCUUGGUUUGAAAAUUGAGCAUUUGACAAAUGGUAUCUUUGUCCAUCAAUCUGCCUACACAGAAAAGGUGUUGAAAUGAUUCUAUAUGGAUGGAGCACAUCCAUUAAAUACUUCGAUGGUUGUCGAUUACUUGAUGUGAAUAAGGAUCCAUUUCGACCUCAAAAAAAUAAUGAGGAACUCCUUGGUCCUGAAAUACCAUAUCUUAGUGCAAUUGGUGCACUAAUGUAUCUUGCAAAUACUACCAGGCCUGAUAUUGCCUUUUUAGUAAAUUUGCUAGCAAGGUAUAGUUCUGCUCCUACUAGGAGACAUUGGAUUGGGAUCAAACACAUAUUAUGGUAUCUAAAGGGGACUACCGAUAUGGGCUUAUUUUAUUUAAAAACUUGUAGUUCUGAUCUUGUUGGUUAUGCUGAUGCUGGGUACUUAUCUGACCCACAUAAAUCUCGGUCUCAAACAGGCUAUGUAUUCAUAUGUGGGGGUACUUCCAUAUCUUGGAGAUCAACAAAGUAGUCUAUCGUAGCCACUUCAUUGAAUCAUACUGAGAUUAUAGCUAUUCAUGAAGAAAGCCUAGAGUGUGUGUGAUUGAGGUACAUAAUACAUCUGAUUCGAUAAAAAUGUGGCUUGAAAUGUGACAAAGUACCCACAAUUUUAUAUGAAGAUAAUGCAGCAUGCAUAACACAACUGAAAAGUGGAUUCAUAAAAGGAGAUAGAAUGAAGCACAUUUCGCCAAAGCUUUCUAUACAUAUGAGCUCCAAAAGAAUGGUGAUAUUGACAUACUACAGAUUCGUUCACAUGAUAAUGUGGCUGAUUUAUUCACCAAGUCUCUUUCAACUGCAACUUUCAAGAAGAUGGUACACAAGAUCAGAAUGCAAAGAUUCAAGGAUGUUCUUAUUAGGGGGAGUUAAUAUGCGCUGUACUCUUUUUCCCUUACGAGGUUUUGUCCAACUGGUUUUUCCUUGUAAGGUUUUUAAUGAGGCAACCUAUAUGCGUAUUUUUAGACAUUCAAGGGAGAAUGUUAUGAUAUAUAUCAAUUAUACUGAAUGUCUAUCAAGAUCUAUUUGAUGUCUAUCAGGAUUUGAUGUCUUUGUCUUUUAGUGUGAAACUAGGGGCAAAUUCCCCCUAUAAAUAGAAAGGCUUCCUUCAUUGUAAAUCAUCCAUCAAGAGAAGAAAUAAGAACCACUCUCUCUAUUCUCUCUACUCUUCUUCUUGUUCUUUAUUAUUUUAUAACAAGUAGGUAUAUUUACUAUUUUAGUGACUUCUUAAGUUUCGCGGAAAAAAUUCAUUUUAACAUCUCAUCUAAGGGCCCUUUUGGACUUGGCUACAUAGCUUAGAAUUUUCGAACUCUUUGAGAUGUAAUGACAAAUUUUACAUUUUAAAUUUAUUAUGAGUUAAAACUUUAUAUUUAAAUUAUUUAGUAAAUAAAUAAAGAACACACAUUCAAAUAUAUGAUUUAUUUAACAACAACUUAUAUUAAAUUAAAUAAAUAAAUAAAUAACAAUCGUUUCAUAAAGAAUACUAAAGCAAACCCGAUGUUUUAUACUAUAUCCCAAUAACAAUAAAUUGUAAUUCUAUAGGAAAUCCAAGUUAAGAAAAUUAAGUGUUUUCUGAAUUCUAUCAAAGUGAAAAAUCAUGUUUCAAUAUUAUUUAUAUCACCAAACGAAUCAUUAAUCACGUUUUAAACUUGUUUUUUUUGGUAGAAAGGACAUGCAUUAAUAAAAUAGAAACAUUGUUUAAUUUACAACCAUCCUGAUGAUUAAUCAGGGUUCAAAAAGGAAUAGUUCUAGCUUGGCCAGCUAGAGUCAUUACAGCUAGAACUAAUUGUUCUCUCAAAAAAAGUUUCGGAGAUGUCUCCCCAAAAUGUAUCUUUUGCACACAUCGGUGGAACUUAAAAAAAGAUGGUCUCCUCAAACUUGCCUUCCCUUGUUCCAUAUUUAGCUAAUGCAUCCGCCACUCCAUUUUGUUUCCUACAGCAGUGCCUGACUUUCGGGUUCCCUAGCCUUUUUAGUCUUGACCUUCAAUAAAAGCCAUUAGUCCCAUCAUGUUUUUAGUAGCCUUAUGGAAGCUUUUAUUAAAAUAAAACACCCAACCCCCAUUAUUGGAUCUAACUACCCCUCAUAUUCCACCCUUCUCGGGGUUCCCAAGACAAGAACCAUCGGUAUUAAGCUUGAAAGUAUGGCUGAUAGGAGGGUUCCACUUGAUGUUUAUGGUUUGGUUCUGCUUAAGGGAGCCCUCUUUUUUUUGUAAGAUGCUUAUACUCAACUGCUUGAGAGUAAGAAUGGUUAAAGUUUGGAUGGUCCUUUUUGUCAUUAAAGGUAUUAGAGUUUCAGGUGUUCCAGAUUAUCCAACGAUUGAAAGGAAUGAUGUCAUGCCAAUGAAUAAGUCUAUCAAAUUGGGAGUGUUGUAGAGUUCUCUGAAUAGCGUACCAGUUAGAGGGAAAGAGGUUGGUAACUAGAGGGUGAUUGGAAUGGGUAAUCUUAAGGGUGGUAUGCGACCAAAAAUCCUUAAGGAUGGGAAAUUCAAAGAAAAUAUGGUUGCUGUCUUCCUGGUGAUGGUUGCAGACAACACAAUUUGCAUUUUGUCUGACUCUUCUCUUGGAAAGGUUGAGGUUAUUGGGGUGCCUAUCAUGCUGGCCAAGCCAAAUGAAGGAUUUGAGUUUUGGGGGGAUUCGGGCCUUCCGAAUCUAGUUGAAGUUUGUGGAAUGAUUUCUCUCAGAGAUUUUAGCAAUAUGACUAUAAGCACUUCUACUGGAGAAAAGACUAUUUCCAGUGAUAUUCCAAAUGAGUUCAUUAGAGUUAGCUCUGGGGUUAGGAAUAACGGAGUUAGUAAAAGUUUGGAUGAUAUCCUCAGGGAUUUCAAAUGGGAGAUCCUUGAGGUUUCAAGAUCCAUUUUUCAGACCUCAAAAAGUUUAGUGUCUUGAGCAUAUUGAGGAAGGGGGGCUUGAAUGAUAGAUAAGAGGGGGUUCAUGGUGAGGGAUCCACCUAUCCUUCUAAAUUAACUUUGUCUCUCUUAUGGAUAUUCUAAGAAGAAGCAGUUUUGCAAAUUUCCCAACCCACAUGGAUAUUUUUCCAGGUUCUAGAGCUGUUGGAUUUAUAAGACAUGCCAUGAGGAUUAUAUUUUUUUUCAAGGAUUUUUUCCCAGAGGUUGUUGGGGUGCUUAUAGAGCCUUUAUUCCAGACUGGACAACAUAGUGGUACUCCUAAUGGAAGCUUUUUGGAGGCCCAGGACCCCAUUGGCUUUAAUGUUAGUCAAGGUUUGGCAGUUGAUUAGGUGUAUUUUUUUUAUCAGGGGUUGUACCCUAGAUAAAAUUUCUUUGGAUUUUGUCAAUCAACUUAUGGAUUUUAGAGGGGAGCAUAAUGAAUUGCAUGACAUGAGUGGGAAUGCUAGCAACGGAGGACUUGUUAAGGGUAGUUCUGCCAGCUACAUUGAGGAAUUUUAUUUUUCAUCUAGCCAACUUUGUUUUGAAAUUAUCCAGGAUGAAUUGGUAAUCUCUAUUACAAGGUUUAUAGUGGAAGAUGGGAAAACCAAGAUAUUUGCCAAACUUAUCCUUAGAUUGGAUGUCUAAGAUGUAGGACAAACUAUUUUUGACCUCCUGGUGCAGUUUCCAGAGAAGAUUACUUUGGAUUUGAGAGUAUUUAUUUUUUGUCCAGAGUAGAAGGUGAAGCCGCUAAGAGUGGUUCUGAUAGUUUCACAAUUUUUUUUCAUUAGCAGCAGCACAUAGGGUGAGAUCAUCAACAAAAAAAGGUGAGAGAUUUUGGGUCCUUUCCUACUGAUUGAGAUGAGAGUCCAGGCUAGGAUAUCCACCUCAUGGUUAAUUCUUCUUGAGAGAAGUUUCAUGCACAUUAUGAAGAGAUAGACGAGAUAGGAUCUUCUUGAUAAUCGCCCUAGUGGGGGUAAAAAGAGGGUUUUCUCUCCAUUAAUAAGGACAGAGAUAGAGGAGGUAGAGAUGUAAGACAUUAUAAGAUUGACCAGUUUGGAAGGAGCAUUAAAGAAAUGGAGGAUUUGUCUAAUGAAGGACCAUUUUAGCCUGUCAAACGCUUUUUCAAGGUCUAUUUUAAGGAUCAUGUUGAAAUUUUUCCUUUCCUUUUCCUGAAGUGAGUGAUGAUCUCUUGAAAAAUAAUGGCAUUGUCAGAGGUCUUCCUAUUGGGAAGGAAACUAGAUUAGGAAGGACUGAUGAACCUUUAAAGAAGGGGCCUCAACCUAUUAGCAAUGAUCUUUGUAACAAUUUUGUAUUUGAUGUUAUAAAGUCCAAUGGGUGUGAAGUUCCUCAAGUUGGUGAAAUUAGAUCAUUUGGGGAUGAAGCAAAGAUAGGUGGUGUUUACCCUGGUGUCGAUGGUGGCAUUGGUAAAAGUCUCAGUGCAGAAUUUAAUAGUGGCAUUACCUAGAAUGUUCCAAUAUUUUUGGUACAUUAGGGGAUGGAUCUCAUCUGUGCCAGGGGCUUUAUAAGGAUAAAAGGAAAAAUAGUUUUUUUUCAUCUGUGCAUUAGAAGGAGGGUUAGUCAGAAGAGGGUGGUCUUCAGUAAUUAUGGAUCCAUGAGAAUAAGGAUUGUUCUGGCAUCUAAAGGGGGAUGAGGAUUGCUCAGUGGAUUAGAGUUUAGAAUAAAAGCUAAGAAUGGAACUUUGGAUAUCAUCAGGGGAAUGAUACCAGUUUCCAUUAUCAUCUUGGAUGGCUCUAAUCCCGUUCCUUCUCCUUCUAUUAAUGGUAGAGGUGUGGAAGAACCUGGUAUUGGAAUCUCCCUCAGUGAGCCAAUUUAUUCUGGAUUUUAUCCUCUAGAACUCUUGCUCAUCCUUGAGAAUAAUACUAAAUUCAUUUUAGAGAGAAGAUUCUAGAGAUUGGAGGAAAACAUUGUGGGCAUAACUAGGGGAUCUUUGGAUUCAACAAAGUCUAGCCAGGAUUUUGUUCUUUUUUUUUGGAAGAUAUUUCCAAAGAGUUCUUUAUUCCAAGUCUUUGCAGGCCAUUCAAAGGAGGAGAUAGCCUCAGUCAGGGGAAGGGAAGGAGUAAAAGAAUCCCUGACUAGGUCUGGGAAGGAACGGUGAGAACACCAAAUGGAUUCGAUAAUAAAGAGUUUUUGGGAGGAGGAAGAGCAGUAUCUUUUAAAGGAAAAAAGAUGCGACAGUGUUCAGAAUGGGUUCUGGGGAGGUGAGUAAUAGAUGUAGAAACGUAAUUUUGUCCCUCCCAAAAGACAAAUUUUGUCAUUUUUUGACUCAUCUUAUCAUACACCCUCACCCAUUGAAUAAUUUACCCCACAAGAAUCUAAAAACCAAACAAAAAAAAUAACAACCCUCUAACUAAUUUUGACGCUUCACCCCCAUACCCCCACCCCUAGAAUAUACCCCCUACCCCUACCCCAACCCACAUUUUAAGCAUUUUUAAUAAUACAUACACAACUCAUGACAUACACCAUCAGUUAUACACACUGACAUCAUAAUACUUAUACAGAGAAGCUCCAUUUUUCCAUGGAAGAGCAGCAUAUACACACACAAUUCCAUUGAUGCACAAACACCCUCACCAAUAAUCACUCAAUCGUACACACACCAUUACACAUAUACUCUCAUCCUCACUAAAAAUACACACUACACACUAUCAUCAUAAGAAGGGAGAGGGACGCCAUUAACAGACCACUUUCACAGCUUUACACGGUAAUUCUACACACACACAUAUAAGAUACACUCAUAUACAUAUAGAAUCAAAGAUAUGGAUGGAAAUGGUAGUAAGAGUUGAGGGAGAAACACGAGGCUCACAUUUUGGUUACUGUUCCGAUGAUGGAUUCACCGAAAAUACGUCAAACCACUCAAAAAUUCAAUUUAAUCUAUCAGAAAAUUCCAGAAAUUGGGUUCGUUCAUUCUUAACAGGCUAUUUUGGUCACGCCACCACCAAAAAAUGUGCCCCUUAUUAGAGACGAGAUUAAUCUCCACCAAAAUUCCAAAAAAAUCCAAGCUCGCCCAACUGCUAUUACUUUUCAGCGAUAGAAGUCCAUCUAAAAACACCAAAAAUCCAUCGAAAAUGGAUGAUACAGACCAAUCUUGAUACAAAUUCAGGUUUGGAUCUUUCGUUUCUUGGCGAUUUUUGUUCGGAUUGGUAAAAAUUGAAAAAGGGGUUAGAUCGAGGCUAGACUUGUUCAUUCAUUGAGGUUCAGUUCAAGAUUCUGAUCAAGGUCUUAGUUGGAAGGAGAAAUUUUAAUUGAAAGAAAUGUUAAAGUCCAUUUCUCAUCUCAUUCUCGUUUAAUUUUAUUAUUUGAUGCUAUGCGUGACGAAUUCAAAUUGUGUAAAGUUUUGUUUCAUGUGAUUUUGUAAUUUUUGGAACAUAAAUAUUGGUUUUUGAUAUCGAUUGAUCGAAUGUGUAAAUUGAAUAAUUAAAAGAUUUGGGCUCAUUUGAGGUGGGAAUAAAAAAUUGAUAAAAGUGACUAUCGUUGUGCUUUGAUUUGCUAUUAGUGAUUUAUUUUGAAAUAAUCAUUAAUUUUCUCGGACUUAAUAAUAUCAUGAUAGGCCAAAAUGGAUAGGAAAACGUAGGUCGGGUAGGCAAAUUUUGGGAUUGUGGAUUACUGUAUGCUUGAAUAGUUUGAAUAAUUUUGUUUUAUUGCAUUGAAAGAAAUGUAUUCAUUUAGCCGAGGAAUGCCCCGAGGCUAUUUGUAUUUAUUUACUGGGGAAUGUCCCGACUUAUUAUGUUGGCAAAAGAUGAUCGUGAUCAAGGCCCGAGGCAUCGGGUGAAGCAUAGUUAGGAUAGUUUAGGUUUCAUUUCAGUAUUUUCAUUUUUGGCCUGUAAUAAAUUGAACUGGACAUUAUUUUUUGUUUUGAAUUUUCGACUGUUUGGUUGGUUGUUCUUCUCAUUGCGUAUUUUGUAUGGUUUAUACAUUCACAGCGUCAUACUAGUCGAUACUCCACGAAAGGACCAUGGUCGAACCACGGGAUCGAGGGGUGCCUAAUACCUUCCCCUCAUCAAUAGAAUUUCUUAACCGAAAUCUUUGUUCGUGGAUUAGUUUUUAGAGUCAAACCAUUUUAAAAAGGAUUUUCAAAGGUGACUUGGCACACCCGAUUUAUGUCAAGUGACGACUCUGAGUUUAAAAUGUAAAAAAAUAUUUUUCAAAAUAAACUUCAUCUUUUUGUCACUUAAUAAUAAAAAUUCUUUCAAACCUCAAAUCUUAUCUUUUUGGUGAAAAAAAAGGGCGUGAUAGCUCUGACGACUCUGCUAGAAAGUACAUCUUCUAGGAACCAAGGGGAAUGACUCGACUACAAAGUACAUCUUCUAGGAAUCAAAGGGAAUAACUCGACUAGAAAGUACAUCUUCUAGGAAUCAAGGAGAAAACCCGACUAGAAAGUUCAUCUUCUAGGAGUCAAGGGGAAUGACUCGACUACAAGAUAUAUCUUCUAGGAAUCAAGGGGAAUGACUCAACUAGAAGGUACAUCUUCUAGGAUUCAAGGGGAAUGACUCGACUAGAAGGUACAUCUUCUAGGAGUCGAGGAGAAUUUAAGAAGUGUAUCACCUAGCAAUUAAAAACUGAAAUACCUGAACAAGAAAGUGUGUCUCCGGAGGAUAUAGGAUGAUGAAUUUUUACCAUGAUUUGCUGAUCAAACCUGUGCAUCAAUAUUGCUUCCUAUAUUUGUAGAAGUUAGGCAUUGCAAACCUUGAUAGUCCUUGAUUUGAAGGUAACAUGUUUCCUGUUUCAUCAAAGAAAACUUGUGAUAUUAAAAACAUGGUGGUUGGUUUGUGGAUUUAUCUUUCGCGACAAUCUCUUUCCCCCAACGCAUUGAAUCUUGCUUCCAACCAUUAACAUAUGUCAUUCACCUGCUGCAAUACUGAUCUAAACUUAGAUAAUUAAGAGUGACUCUGACACAAACACAAUAUCUCUGUUUUUGCUAUGUUCCUUGGACAUAUCCUUUGUACCUUGGUAUUUCCAUGAGUUCCCAGACUUGUCUGUUGACAAAACUUUCUGUAUACCUUGUUUCAGCUCACAAUUAUGUCUCUUUCAUGUGCUGGCUUUUUGUCUUGCUUUGUGUAAUUGAAGAAGUUAGUAGCCAGUUUUAAAAUCUUUUCUCACUUGUUUUGACAUGUACUUGACUCAAAGACACGAGAAAAAUGACAAUGAUUUUUUUAUUUGAAUAAUUGACAAAAAUAAAACUAUAGAGAUGAAAGAAAAAACAAUGAAUGUCCCUAUUGAAAAAGAGAAAAGAAGAAUUUAUCUGAAAAUGACAGUCAACUCUAAUGAUUAUGACAUGCAUUUUGGAUUAAGCUGUCUGAUCUUUCCAUCCAAACUUUCACCAAUUGUUGUUGAGUUAAUGACCCUGAAAUUGAGUUGUUUUCAUAGGUCAAUUGCACUUACAGACCUCAUUCGGCUAGUGACACCUUGAAGGUGUUUUGCCAAUAAUUCUCUCAGCUUACCAUUGCCCUAUGGUAUACAUGGGGGUUUUCACUAAUAAAACUUUAUCAAUUUUAUUUUUCUCAGCUCACCAUCACCUUAUGAUGCCCAUAAGGGUUUUCACCAAUAAGGCUCUCUCAUUUUUAUUUCUCCUAAUUCCUUAUGCUAAGGAAGACAAGAAGUUCCCAAAAUGGAUCAUCAUAUUCAUUGCAUACUUAGCCUUAACAUUCUUAGAGAUUGAUCUGAAGGUCGUUCUUUAGUUGUAACUUGGAUUUUGGAUAAGGUUAGAAAGAAAGGAUGACAUGAGGCCCAAAUGACACUUGAAGUGGGGUAGGACUUACAACUUUUAGAAUCUACUCAAACAAUGAGGAUUAACUAGUGCCCCAGUUUCUUUUGGAGAGGUGAUUCUAAAUUAUUUAUUUUGUUGGACCGAGCUCUGAGUAGGGAAACAUACGUAUCUCACUCCCGAGAGAGGAAAAUCAGGUCACACAUAGUUCCGAUAACUUGUUUUACAUGAUUCUGAUUUCUUUUUUUCUUUUGUUGACUCUUUUUCUCUUUGGGACCUUUUCUGACUUUAUUUUUCUUGACACUCUUCUCUUUUCUUUCUUUUAGGGCAUAUUUUUUCUUUUUCUUCUUUCUUAUUAAAUUUUUUCUACUCUAUUAUUUUGCUCGACACUUUUUUUUGAGCUUUGCUGACUCUAUCUUGAUUCCAAAAGAAGGGUAUGAAAUAAAAUAGAAGUAAAUAUUAAAUGGGGUAAACAAAGGAUGACACAAUGUUUGGAUAGCAGAAUGAAAUACCUUCAUCAUAUCAAUCCUUAAGAAUGUAAGUACAUAUCAUGCAAUAUGAAGUGAAAGAUGAAGAUCAUUUGCGACACUUUAACAACACUAAGUUUAACUGAGCAUGUGUUCCACUUCUUCUUCUAUACUUUUUAAAUAUACAACUCCACCUUUGUACAUCCAUCACAUUAAAUGACUCAUGCUUUCAUGGAGUGGAUUUCCUUUUUGUUCCUCUUGAUAUAGGAUCACACAUUUAUUGUUUGACCUAAUUGAGACAUGUCUUUCAAUUGAUGACCAAGUUAUUUUUGUGAUUCUCAAAAUAAUUGCCUUAAUUUUCAAAGAAGGCUUCAACUUAUCACCAAAUGUCUCAGCACUCUACCUAUUUUCUCAGAUGCUUUUUUCUAACUUUAGCCCUUUAAUUCAAAGUUCAUGCUUAAAUUGAAUUUUAAGAUCUCGCAAAAAAUUUUGCUAGCAUGUCAUAUCACUAGAAUGAACAUAAAAUGUACUGUGUAAAGAAAACAAACAAACAACACAUAUACAAAGUUAAAGAGACACUUCAUUUAGAUGAAAUAAAAGAUAGAAGGGUUUGAACAUAAAAGACAAAACAAGAUACAUCCCGAACUACAACCAUGAAAUAAUUCAGAUAAGAAAAAAAAAUAAAACAAACUGCCAAACAUCCAUCUAGCAGGGAGAUGAGUGACUUCCUAAUUCCUGAGCUUGACAUCUUAGCCACUGGUUUGUAUAUCAGCAUGAUUAGAACUUUUCUCACUGUCAAUGUUCUAUGCCAUAAUUGAUAUAUCUUGAAUCAUCUUUUCAAUUUCUUUUUUCAAAUCCCAAAAUCUUCAAUGCUGGACCCUGAACAUUAGAAUGAUACGUAUAUCAUACAUUAGGAUCAAAAUUUCUUGAAUGUGGAUUAAGAGUGUGCCCAAGGAGAGAAGUGAUCAUGCCCUAUUGUACCAAUCUCUGAAAUAAACUAGCAUAGACUUUCCAAUUGGUGUGAAGCUAUCUCUCAACUUUUGACUCAUUUCAUUGUUUGUCUUAGAUAAAAAAUCGAGCCUAGAUGGGCUUUGGUAUGUUUGUGGAGUUAAAGGAUGACUCUGAGGAGUGGUGUGUGCAAUUGCAGGUAAUAUGGGGGUUAAACAUGUGGUUGCGCAUUAUAUACUGGAUAUAGAGGUGGGGAAACAGAGUAUAAUGGAUUUUUGGAGUGAUUAUAUGGAGCUUGGGCAUGAACUUGGGCUUGAGCCUGAGAGUAAUGACUACGUGGUUUGCUUGAAUGUGCCCACUGUCCAACUACAAUAGCAUAUGUGUCUUCCUCAUUCUUUUUCCCUCCAACACUUCUUGAACCUUUUUGAAUUAUAUGAGUAGUCUCUUUCAAUGUUCUAAAACUCACAAUACGACCAGUCUUAAUUCCAUCUUCUAUCAUCUCCCCCAUUUUAAGGACCUCAAUAAAUGGCUUGCCUAAUGCAGGUAACAAGUGUUGAUAAUAUACUUCGUUGUUUGAUUGAAUAAACACCUCCACUAUCUUACUUUCUUUCAUUAGUGGUUUCAUCGUAGCAGUAUGUUCAUGCCAUCUAAUCACAUACUUCUUAAAACUUUCAGUACUCUUUUUCUUCAUAUUAGUUAGGGAUUGUUCAUCAGGAAUCAACUCUACAUUGUAUUGAAAUUAUUAUACAAAUUCAUUAGCCAGGUCAUCCUAACUAUUCUACUUAUCAAUGUAUUGAUCAACAAACUAUUCUGAAGCUAGACUUGAAAGACUCUCAUCGAAAUAAGCCAUGAGUAAUUCUUUCUUCCCUCCAACUCCCCUUAGUUGGUUACAAGAAUGCCUCAAAGUAAAUCUUUCUGAUCCACGAAGCGACUGUGGUCGAACCACGGGACUAAGGGGUGCCUAACACGUUUCCCUCAAUCAACAGAAUUCCUUAAUCAGAAUCUUUAUUCGUGGAUUAGUUUUAAAGAGUCAAAGCAUCAUUUUGAAAAAGAUUUUCAAAGGUGACUUGGCACGCCAGAUUUAUGUCAAGUGGAGACUCUAAUUUUAAAUGUAAAGAAUCCUUUGUGAAAGAAACCUUAUCUUUUAUCACUUAAUAAUAAAAAUUCUUUCAAACUUAAAAUGAAUCUUUUUGGUUAAAAAAGGAGUGUGACAAUAGAGGUGACAACAGAGGCUUGAGGGAACAUCUUAAUCUAGGGGUUGUUGGCUAGAAACCUAUCUAAUCUCUCCAGGAUGAGGGAAUUUCUAUUCCUAUAUCUCUUGUUUGUCCAAGUGAAUUUUCUUUCUUUGAACCCUAAGACUACAAGCUCACAAGAGUUGAUAUAGUCCCAGAAGCAAGCAACCCUAUUAUUGUUAAUGACGUUCCCACCAAAUUUCUCAGAGGCUUUAAGAACUUUAUUAAAGUCCCCUUCUAUAAGCUAGGAGUUAUGGAUAAGGUCUUUUAUGGAGCCAAAAAAGUUACAGAGUUUAUUCCACAAGAUUUUUCUAUCCUCAAAAAUGUUACUAGCAUAGAUAAUACUUAAGAACUAAGAGAGGGGAGGGGAGAGGUUAUUUACCUUAAUAGAGACAUGGAUCACCUGAGAGAGGAUGGCUAUGUCAUUAAUGCUUAGAGUAGAGCUAUCCCUCAUAAUGACAAUGUCUUCGAAGCUACCUAAGGCAGGGAACUAAAUAUUCCUAUUGAAGCCAAGAUCAUUAGUGAAGGCCUUGUGGUUACUUAUUUUUAUUUCUAGGGGGGCUAAAAGAGAAGGGUUGUGCAUUUGAACCAUAGCCUUGCAGUGUCUUCUAAACUUAGGGUUAUUUUCCCCCUAGUAUUCCAUAUGAUGCAGUUCUUUAUGAUCACAGAAAGUUUGUAGGGUGAGUCUGUUAUCACUACCUUCCCCCUCUGUUGGGAUGAUGCUCCUUGAGUGAAGUAGGGUUCUUUCCUCUUCUAUGCCAAGGGAGUUAUCUUGGCUUUGUAGAAUAUUUAUUUUACUGGAGGGAGAAUCUCCAUGUUAAAUUUGCUGAGUUUUAGUAGGAGUAAGACCAGAAGCAUCUCACUGAUAAGUUCUUCGAAAGAGUGGUUUAGAGGUCUUUCUAGUGUGACUACGUCUGCCUUUUGUAUUUUGAGAGAGGACAAAAUUUUCUCCAUUUCCUUGUUAUUUUUUUCUAGUUCUUGGAUAGUCUUCUCCCUCUCUUGCAUUUCCAAGAAUAAAGUUGGAAUUGAAGGAUUUAAAGUGGUCAUUGGUUGGAAGGGCCCUCAAAAUCUUAGAACAAAAGUUGGGCCCAUCUCUAGCAUUUCGGGGAUCCUUGGGAGAAGGAAGGGUAGGCUUAGACUCACGGUUGUUAGCUCCAUCUUAGCUAGUUCUGGUGUUAAGCUUCCCUAGAACUUUUGGUUAAUGAUUUUUAUCAUCGUGGACAUCCAUAUUGUCUGUCCGUAGUUUGCAAAGACUUGAUUGAGACCCUCCAUUACCAGUUGGGCAAGGUAUGCAGGGUCAUGAAUCCUGAGUUGGAAAUUUAUGUUUCCCACUCUGAGCUUUACUAGAACCACUAUUUGAGAAAAGAACAUUUCUAUCCAUGAGGAUGGCUGGUGGUCUAGAGGUAGAGGGAUUGUUAAGAAUAAGAGAUUUUCCUGAGGAGGUUCCGAUAUUGUCACUGGGAGGAGAGGAGAGCGAGUUUUAGAGAGUAUUUGGGUUCUUGUAAUUAGAAAUGGUUUUGCAGUAAGAAAAGGACUGAGGGAAGUUCUUUGAGAUACCCUCAUUAUUACCAUUGAGUUUGGUGAUAAAUGCCGGUGCUUUUGAAGUGACAGUUAUGUCGCUAUUAUUGAUUAGUAUCGGUAGAGAUAUGGGAAAAAUUGAAGAAGUUUGAGUAUUAGAGGAUGAGAGAUGGGUGAUGUGGAAAUUGUUAAUUUCCACCUCAGCUUUAGAGGGGGUAUUAUUACAGCUUACCAUGAAAUCUGACUCUGUUGGUCUCGGGCAAGGUGUUUUAUUCCUUUGGGUACUUUUGGGGGGAAUUGGGCCUUUAGUAGUUUCAUUAUGUGCUUCUACACUGGUAGAAACAAAUUUCCCAAUAGGCCAAAACAUCUUAGAGCUCCCCAUGGGUCUCUUACAUUGGUUAUUAGUGGGCCUUGAGUUAGCCUUCGGAUCCUUAAAUGUAUUGGGCCUAACUGAGGAUGGGGGAUUGGGCUCAGUUAGCUUCUCGGGUCAUGAUCCUGGUGAAUCUAUGAAGCUUGGGUCACACCGUAACCCUGGCCACCGUUUGAGGCAUAUUAAAAUUUUUAAGUUUCCACGAACUUACCUGAAGCAACAUCAAAUAGCUUUACCUUGAUUUUUUUCACAUGACUUUGAGUACUUGGGAUUUUCUGAUUUUGGCAAUUAGUGUUGUUGUUUUUCUUUCUACUAAAGGCCACAGUUUUCCACUCCUCCACUGCUGAGUUGGCCGGCUGAUUGAAGGUCGAAGGUUGAUCUAUUGAUCUUGGUCUUGAAUGGGGGCAUGAGGACAAAGUGUGUCCCAGAUGUCCACACCCUUUGCAUAGGAAGCCCUCUCCUUCAUAAAUAAUUAGCUGUUGGCGGUUGCUGAUAUGGAUCGUGCUUAUUAAAGGGGUAUACAUGGGUACUUGGAUGCAUAUGCGAGCAUAUUUGCCUCUCAUAGUGGCGGAAGUGCACACAUCAAUUUUUACAGUUUUCCUAUUUUGCUUCCCACCUUCUCCAAGAUCGUUGUGUUGUAGAAUUUGGUUGGGAGUUGAGGCAGCCAGAUCCAAAUAGCAGUAGUUUGUAUUUGUGAUUCCUUUGGGAUGAAAUUCAGUUCCAAGACUCGGACUGGCAAAUAGGAGCCCGCUACAAACCAAGGCCCUUCUUGAGUUAUUUUUUUCUGAGAAAGGGCAUCUCCCAGUUUUACAAUAUAGUAAUAGAGUCCUAGAUCGAUCAGUGCAAAGCUUUCCUUAAACUUCUAGAGGUCUGAGAGUUUAGUCUUCAAGUAAUGAUGAUUGAAUCUCUUUCCUACGACUUUGAUUAUGAUUAACCAGGGGGUGUAAAGUCUUUUCUUAUCAACAAUGGAUAAUGAUAUUGAACUUUCAUCCCCUUGUUUAGAAUGUUCGGGGGAUUCUUCAAAUUCAACGAAUUGGUUGACAACUUUUGGGGAGAUAGAUUUGUCACUCACAAUCUCACAGUAGGAUAAUUUCUUAAUUGGGAUGUCGAUUGUCAUCCGACAAUUUGAUUCUCGGGGGUAUCUGGUGGCUUUGGGGCAUUUCAAUUGGUGGACAGACAUGGCCACUGGUACUCUUGAUUUUUUAAGAAGAGGGGAGUUUAGAGAGAAGGAGGCCUUUCUAAGCUUGAGACUGAUUAUUUGUUUUAAACUUAUUAGGACUAUACGAUAAUUAACUUCAUUUUUUUUGGUCAAAAUAUUACUUCCUUCGUUCUAUUUUAGUUGAUCAUUUUACUAAAAAUAAAUAUUCCAUUUUAGUUGAUCAUUUACUAAAUUAGGAUAAAAUUAAUUAAUUUUUUCUCUUUUUAUCCUUAUAAUUUAUAGUAUACAUUAAAUAUGAACACUUGCAAUUUCAAUGUCCAUUCCUAUGUCUAAUAAAUAUAAAAGAUAAAAUAAUAAAAUUCAUUAUUCAAUUUAAGAUUUCUUAAUGAGAUGGAGGAAGUGAGUGGUAAAACCAACCUAUUUGAUUUUUUGUUAAAAUAGUCAACAAAUCUCUUUGGUUUCAUUUAUAAGCUUCCAAUCCAAACCAAUUGCAUUUAUUAUUUUCAAAUUGUUCUUAUUUAAUGUCAAAACUUGAACAUUAAAUAUAGAGAAAAGACAUCAUUUCCCCCCUGAACUUGUUGGCACAACUCACUUUAGACCUUUAACUUAACACACAUUUAUUUAUCCCCCUUAACAUCUUUAAAGUAAAUUAAUAUUCCCUUAAAGCUGACGUGGAAUUUUUAAAAAAAGAAAAAAAAAGCACGUAUUUAUUUUAAAAAAGGAAAAUGGUUCCACUUUCUUUCAACAAGUCCAAACCAGCAAUAAAAAUAAUCUUCACUUGUAAUUCACAUUUCCUACUGAUCCAUUAGUCAUCCCUAACUCAGUCCUCUUUUCACUUACGGAAUAUGGAUGAAUUGACAGCAAUUACUUUAGUCUACCAUAAAAAUUUUCACUUAUAAUAGAGAGAAAAACCUGAGAAAGAUCAGUCCUUGAAGUCGAAGAGUUUUUUUUAGAAAUGACUUCAAGAUGUUUGAUGAAAUGUCUCAACCAAAUAUUGCGAUUUUUAACUUGAUUUUAUGUUGAGUUUGACUCAUUUUGAAUUUUUGAAAGAAUAUAUUAUUUUAACUUUUUUAGGUGUUUGCAGGGGUGGUGGGGUGGAUGAAUUUUUUUAAUAGAGUAUGAGAAAGAAAGAUAAUUUUUUUCAGUCUAAUGAUAAUCUUUUCUUUAAAAAGCCUAUUAUUUUCAAAUUCAAAUAUCUCUAAUCUUUUAAUUCGAAAUUUUUAUUACAAUUUUAUUAGUCUUGUCCUAAUUCUGUACACUUGGUAAUAUUUUAUGCUACCACUUGGCUAAUUGUGAUGCUUCGUCUUCUGCUUUAUAAUAUAUAUAGAUAUCACCACACUCACUUUUAUUUUUAGUUUUAUUUUUUGGGUAAAUUUUUUGUAUAAACAUUGAAUAAAGAGAACAACAACUUGAUCUAAGUCAAUUUCCAAGCCAAUGACAAUUUUUACUACAAAAAAUGUGAAUUUUUAACUGGCAAAAAUUCACAUGAAAAGUUCAUCAGAGAGAUUUUCGAUAAGUCCAUAAAUUCUAAUGAUAAUCAAGUUUUUUAGUAUGCUUGUCUUUUAAAAAAAUCUAUCACCAUAACCAUAGACCUUCAAAAAAAUUUUUAAUGUAUAAUACUUAUCAAGAAAAGUAGAUUUUGGUUUACAAUCAACUCAAUUAACAAAUAGCAUUUAAAAGAUAUGAAUUCAAAACCUAAAAUUAGGCAUCUUUAAAAGAAAAAGUAAAAGAAACAUCCUUUAUAUAUUUAAAAACCCUUUGAAGGUUUGAUCGAAAGGAAAAAUACGAUAAAAACAACAAAUAAGAAUAUUUUUGUUGAUUUGAUGUAAUAAAAGAGAAAAAUACCAUAUGAGAUUAUUUUAAAGAAAAAAAAUUACCAGAGUUUUUAAAAUCAUCGUAUCUUGAUAAAGGACUUUACAAACACAAAACUUGAUAAAAAGAAGCAGCAACAACAUUAAUAAAUUCAAAUAGUUAAAAUCUACAAAACCAAUUAAUAUGAAGUAAUUGCUCAAAGGAAAAAAAUCACUAAAAGGUUUGAUCUAAUUCUAAGUGAAAAAUAUAACAACAAAGAAAAAAAUAUCUUUUCUUUUGGCUUUUUGAUUUUCUAGAUUAGUGUACGUGCUUUGCACAUGUAUUUCGCACCGAUCAAUAAAAAUAUAUCCAUAAGAAGAACAUAUUAUUGAAAGGUAGCAAUUGACGUUAAAAUACAUGCUAUAUGUAUUUAAACAAUCGAAAAAAUAAAUUUAAUCAAAAUUUCAAUUAUACCACGUAAAUUGAGACAAAGUAAAUAAUUAAAAAAAAUAUAAAUCUCUAAAUAAUUUUCUUCAAAAUAUCGACCCAGACAUGACCCUAAAUCCUAAACUGAGACCCAAUUCCGAAUACCAACCAAGGACCCAAACCCAAAUCUCGAUUCAUACCUGACCUCGAAUCUUUAUCUAAGACCGAACUCGGGACCUCUAAUUUCUACCAUGGUCUCAAGCCUGAAUCUUUACCUGGGAGCCCCAUGAAACCCUAUUUGGGACCCGACCCUGACUCCUGAACCUAGAUCUAAUCCAAUCUUCUGACUCAGGACCCACCCUGAGACCCAAUACUGAAUCUUCACCUGAGACCCGAUCCUAAAGGGGAAUCACAGUAACAAUAUUUAUUUAGAAUCUAUAAUAUACCUUUCCCAAAUAAAGAAUAAAUACGAUAGAAAAUCUAAUUAUUUUCACAAGUAAAUAUCGUACACAUUAAAUCUAACCACUAUAAACAUAAAUAUAAAAAAUCAGAGAAAGUCUUUUUACAAUGACUAAAAUAAUUUUGGAUUAAUUACAAAGAAAACACUACACCUAUAAUGAAUCAAUAAUUGGUAGAAAGAAUCCCAAAAAAAACUAAAGAAAAAUUCCCUUUGAUGUAUUUUGGUGGACGAAGUGUCGUCUGGGCAUGUACAUUUAUAAUGAAUAUGUGUGAAUUCGACAGCUAAACCUAGACCGAUUACAAAACGAAAAAUAUCUUUUGCCACAUAUUUUAGAACUCCUAAUUUAGAAAAAAGUCUUACCAUAUAUUUUAAAGUCAUGAUCUCAUAUAUUUAAAACUCCUAAUUUAGAAAAAAGUCUUACCAUAUAUAUUAAAGUCAUGAUUCAAUAUACUUUAGGAGUCAAUAUUAGAAGGAGAUUAAAUAAUAAUUAAAAAAAAAAGUGAAAAGACUAUUUUGUCCAUUAUAAAUUAUUUUAAUAAAGAAAAAAAGUUCAAAUAACAUUUCUAAAUGUCUUCACACUUUUAAUAUACUAAUUUAGGAUACGUGUGUUGCACGUGUCUCUCAUGUUAACAUUCUUAACUCGAAUAUAUAAAGGUUUUAAAAUUCAAACUUUAAUAUUGUUGUAAGCCUACACAAUUCUUUUGAUGGUUAGUGGUUACAUUAUUAGUUAAAUGAUGCAAAAAGAUUCUUUCUAUUUUGAAGGAGGGAUUAAGUUUGUACUUGCAAUAAAUUGCAACAAAUUUGUCUAAUAGAGAUAAUUUGACCAUAUCACCCUUUGAACAUAAUUAAUAUAUUUCUUUAGAAAAUGCAUUCGAGAAUGAUAUAAUAUUUAAUAUCAAGGGUAAAAUGAGCAAAAAUUGACAAAUCAUUCAUUGAUUUUGCACACUAAAAAAAUAUUGUUGGAUAUCUAUUUUAAUAUAGUAAAUAAAUAUUAUUGAAAGGAGGGAGCAACACUUUACAUAAGUGUCAUAACUUAUUUAAAGAGUAUCCUACAUAUAAAGAAAUCAAGAGUAAGUCAGUCAGCUAAUAUUAUUUUCCUAACUCAAUUAAUUCCUACACCACCUGGGAGUGUAUAUUGAAAACUUCAGUGAACUACAAAGUCUUCAUAUUUUUGGCAAAGUCAUUUGAUAUGAUUUCUUCAACUCCUCUUUGAUUAUACAAUUGAACUUUUCCUACAAAAGAACUCAAGGUAAAUUGUGCGUGUGCAAUGUAAAAUUGUCACUUAUUUAAUGCACCAUUUGAGCAUGAGAAUCAUAACUAAUGUGAGUGCGAGCAUUGCACACAUGGUGCUGGGUGCAACACCACAAUGUAUGAAUUAUUCAGAUUGAUGUAUAAUCAUAUACCAACAUUCAUAACUCUAGGUACCUUUAGCUCAAAACAAGAGAAAUAGUACUAAUUACCAAAACUCUAAUUACUCACCUCAAUAUAUUGCCAACCAAGUACUCGGUAAGUAAGUUGAUUGUUGGACUUAAUUUUCUUAAAAGUAUAAUCUAUUUUUAUAAAUAUCACUUGAUAACGAUUGGUGUCAAAGCAAGAAGAAUACUCAUUAAGGAAAACCUAAUUACUCACUUCAAAAAAGUUGUCGACCAAAUAAGGAAGUUGCUUAUUGAGUUGAAUUUGCUCUUGGUUCUCCUUUAUCUCUUCCUUGAAGGAAUUCAACUCUAGCUUCCUCCUUAUAAUUCGCCAUUCAAGUUAGUUAGCCAAUCUCCUAAGUAAAGUUCGAAAAAUUGAGACAAAAAACACAAUAAAAGCAUUCUAACAAACACAAAAUAACAUGAGUAGGGCAAACAAAGAGAAGUCAGAACCUUUAUGAUUCAAUUUCGUUGUCAAGAAGGCGUGAAUCCCUAGUAAUAUCCUUAAUGACAUAGCAUUUCGAAGUUUCUAUUCUCUCAUCGACGGAGAAUUCAAGAAAAAAUUGGAAUGAGGGAGUCGAUCUGCUUAAGCUUAAACAAUCAAAAAACUAUAUAUUCUCUUCUUUUCAUUGUCGAUAUUUGUCAGUUUCUUCUUCAAGAAAAUAAUGCUACAUGUCGUGCACUGUCACAACAUCACCAUCUCAAAUUAUAGAAACACUAAGAUCAUAUCCCUCAAAUCUUCAAACAAAGAUAAAAUAACCCAAUUCAAUUUUUUUUUUGAGAAAAUAGAAAAAAAUUAUUAAUAAUACCGCAAAUACUAACCUAAGCGACCAAAAGAAUCAAUUACAAAAAAUAAUAUUCACUAUAAAUCUUAGGUCAAUCAAUAUUAUCAAUAUCGAAAUCCUAAAAACUCGAGAUUUAGCGAAUAAAACUACAAGUACGCACGUACGGUAGAUAAAGAAAGGUUCUCCAUAGUGGCUGAAUGUAGUGCGAGAAUGAAGUUAUAAUCAUUGGUUGCCUCCUCAAUUACGAGCAGGUUAAGAUAUGUCUUCCUAUAGAUUCACCAAAAAAAGAAAAAAAAAGUAAAUAACAACUCAUUUUUUAGUAUAGAAAAGCUUAUUCCAUUCAUUUGGAAUACUGUUCAACAAGUUGGGUUUUAAUAAUACAGUCUCCUUGACCAAAAACUUUACACAUAUUGUGAAUGACAUCUAGCAUAUAUUUAUAAUAAUUUUUGUACUCAACAAUUACUCCUUUGCUUGUUGUAUAACCUCUUCAGACAAACAGACCAAGAACUAUUUUCACUCUUGAGACUACAUAUAGUACUUAUUUGGAAACACCAAGUACUGUAAUGGCACAACUUCUCUUUUUUUAAAUAAUCUGGUGUUCGGACUAGCUUUUGCACACCACAACUAACUCCAUGGGAUACCUGCCACCUUCCACCAACAACAGAUACUAGGUAAUUCUAUUUACUAAGGCUAGAACAUAUGCGAAGAAAUCACCUAGUGUUUUUGUCUUUGCUGAGAAUUGAAGCUGAGAGCUCAUGGUGCUUAACCCACAUCAUCGACCACUAGGCCACCCCCUCCUUUAUAUUUUGGCUCAAGAAUGUCCUUGUCGUUACGUUUUUGGCUCAAAAAUGUCCUCCAAGUAGCAAAAUAGUUCACAAGUAUCCUUUGUACUAAUGAUUGCUCCAAAAACAAUGGAAAAUUGAUUAAUUUUUCCCUUGAAAUAUUUUGAAAUAACAAGAUACGGUCAUAUACCUAAUGUGUAAGGAAUCAGAAGGAAAAAAAGUUAUAUGUCAUUGAUUUUUAUUUGUUAAAAUGGCUACUUAUUUUAUUAGGUUGUUAUAUGUUUCAUACACCACCACCACCCCUCCCCCCUCCUCCUUUCAAAAAAAAAGAUCAAGGACAAAAUUGGCUCAUUUCCUUAUUUAGGGCAGCCGUUAGUAGGAACAAUAUGUUAUUUUUGGGUAUACAAAAUCUGUAUUUCGGCACAACAACUUCAACACAAGUUCAACUAUAAAACAAGAACACUUAUGAAGUUAUGCAACACCUUCAACACAAGAUAAAAUGACUUUUCAAAGAAGUGUGUUUUUAGAAUUUUAUUAAAAAAUGAGACCCGAGGUUACGAAAUUUUUCUCCCAGGAUAAAAUAGCCUAACAAUCCAACUGUAGUGGUCGGAAAGGUGUAUCCUUUCUUCAGUUGUUUUUGCACAAUAAAAACUGGUUUGUUCAAAUAAAUUUUGAACAAAAAAAUAGAUCUCAUUUAUUUUUUCCAAAUUUAAGCCGAGCGAGCGACGACGGCGGCGGCGCGAGGCACCUCUUGGUUCUUUCCUCACUUACCAUGUGGAGUAAGUGUUCCUUGGUAUAAUCACUUGAAAGUUCCCUUCUCCCACUAAUGUGGGAGAAUUAGUAGAAUUUCCAUUUUUGAGUGUUAUCUCAAUUUUUUCCCUCCAUUUUUCAUUCACACUUUAAUCUUAAAUCCAACACAAUAUUUUUGAACUAUUUGGCUAGUUAGAGGACAUUUUGAGCCAACAAAAUAACAGCAGGUGAAUUUGACCUAUUUCAGUUAGUUUUGGGAGAUAUUUUUUUGCACUUUUCCCUUUCUGUAAGGAUGAUGCAUAUUUUGUGUAUAACAUAUUUCUAUCUUUUGAACCAAAAGAAAAGAAAUCACGAGUGCAUAAUAACUGCAGAGAAGUAUUUUGAGAACAUAUACAAUAAAUCUUUAUCUGCUAGCAAGUCGAUAAUAUUGUUUUGUGUUUGAAACGAUAAUAGAUCACACAUUUCUAGAACUAAAGUUCAAAUUAAGUAAUCUAAGAAAGAAAUCAUGCAUACCGUUGGUAAGUGUCGUCCAUUUCAUUUGUGGUUAACACAAUACCGCAUGUAAAACAAAACAUCUUCCCUACGUAAAACAAAACCAGAUGAAAUUCAGUAGAAGCUCCAAAGGAGAUGCAGAACAGAAUAGUAUCUACAACAAAACAAUAUGAUAAUUGAGACAUCAAAUCUAUAUGAUCAAAUCUAAUCUUCAAUAUGAUCAAAUCUAACUUGUACACAAAAAUUCUUCAAAAUUAGAACAAAAAUCCAUCUACCACCAGUAUCAAGCAAAACAAAGCAUCAGAAACCCAUCAAAUCCUAAUACCAACCAACAUAAAGAAUAAUACAAAGCAUAUAACACAAUUUCUUAGAAGAAACACCAUAAAACUUCUUUUUAAUCUAAAGGAAUCCUAGUAAAAAAUAAGCUCUUUUUAGAUAUCACAUGUUACGUUACAUAUUACAUUACAUAUUACACAAACAAAGUCACAACUCCCGUAUAGAGUUACCAAAUUAUUAAUUUUUAAAAUAUAUCUUAUUUUUCAAUCAUAUAUUUUAGGGCUCCUUUUUAAUGUACAUAAGGAAAAAGAAAACCUACUAACAUUAGUUUUCCUUAUAGUUUUAAUUAUAUAUUUUAGGAUUCCUUUGUAAUGUACAUUAGAAAAAAGAAAACCUGUUAACAUUAGUUUUCCUUAUAUUUUGUUCCUAUCAUAUAUAUAUUAGGAUUCUUUAAACUUUAAUAAUUAAAUAAUAAUUAGGGAAAAAGGGUGAAAAGACGAUUUUGUCAAUUGCAGAGACUUUUAAUGAAGGGCAAAAAGUCCGAAUCACAUUUCUAAGGGCUUUCACACUUUUAAUAUAUUAUAAAUAUAGAUAUACACAUAAGUAGUAAAAGGAAGUACCAUAUAACUUGAUUAAAGUUUUAAGACCAUCAAAUCCAAGGAAAAAGAUAUUACAAAUUCAAAUUGAUUUUAGAAGAUGCAGCGACCAAAAAAUUAUUAAAUUUCACCUAUAAUUCCACUUAGAAAAUAAAUAAAUAAAUACUUACGACUUUAAAAGAACGGGCAUAAGAAAAUUUGAUUUGCUGAGUUGGUCGAAAGAAAAAGAAAACUUUUUACGAUUAUAUAAAAUGAAAAGUAACCCCUUAACAAAAUAAAUAAUAAUACUGUAGAAUAAUAACUCACAGUCCUUAAACUUACAAAACUAAUCAAUGUAUAUCAAUUAUUCAAGGAAAUUUAAA
rnacentral:lncRNA from 1 species